rnacentral:lncRNA from 1 species
UGUAUAUAUAUGAUUUUCUUAUCUUAUGCUACUAAUUUCUGACUAUGAAGCAUGGACACUCCUUGGAGUAGGUGUAUCACGAUAUCAGACACGCGUCAGUGUGCGAAACUGGCACUUAUUAUUACAUUAAAUUAUGUCAUUUUCUAAAAAAAAUUAUUGGUGUUGACGUGCCAGUGUUAGUGUCGUGCCCGGUAUACAUGUUUAUGUCCGUGCUUUAUAGAUUUCUGAUAUUAUGAUAUACUAUACUGAAUGUGUUGGCUACAUGUUUGACAUGAAUGAAACUCUCUCAGCUUAGAGGAUUUGAGCUGCUGAAAGCUAUUUAUCUGGAUCCUACUCCUUUUGACAUAGAGAGAGAUCUAGUAACUCCAGCAUUUAAAUUGAAGAGACCACAGUUACUGAAAUACUACAAGGUUUGUGGCAUGUAUCUUUUUUUUUUUGGUACAUUGUGGCAUGUAUUUUGAUCAAUAUUUCAUAAUUAUUAACUUUCUAUUGCACAAUUUAUGCUAUAAUAUAAAGCCUUUAGUGUUUUUAUUUAUUUUCAGUAUCAAAUUAUACUAUUGUGAUAAAAAUUUAUGCUAUAACAUUGCUUUGCAGGAUCAGAUUGAUGAACUAUACAAGGAAGCAAAGCGAACAAUGGCAUGAACCAUGUGAUGCAAAAUCUGUUUGGUUUUCUGUAUAUUUGAUUGUAUUAACUAAAGUGAUGAUAAUCUAUAAAAAUAGUAGUAUCCGCAUAUAUUAAAACCGCAACUCCGAAUGUAAUUCUUGUCAGAAUAUUUACUUAAUAGUUAUAUUUCAAAAUUAUGAAAUGUUAGUAUUUUCUCCAACUUGGUUAACCAAAUUAUAAUUUCCAAGUACAAUAUACAAUUUGUGAAUACACAAGAUACGAAAAUACAGCAACGCUAAUCAUUUUUUUAAGGAUUAAUGAAAUUAAAAGUCUUCAAAUAAUAUUUCACUUCACAUUUAUACAGACACAAACUAUAGGGACAUGUAUAAGUCCCUAGAUAUCAGUUUCGAUCAAAUGAAUGUCAAAGAAGCCAAAUUGUUACACUUAUAUCAAUCAAAUACAAAAUUUUCACUCUAUGUCUAUGUCUAUGUAGUAAUGUAGACAACCAAUGUCCAGAUAGGAAAGACUAACAGAAGAAUUAUGCCAACUGUAUUUGAUAUACCAUGAGCUUUUGUUAAGGAAUUUCUAAAACCACCAGAUGCCCGAAUAUGUUCUUGCAGCAAAUAACAUGCAAUGAUAAGGCAUACUACCACCCCAACCGCGUUGCUUCUACAGGUGUUGGCAAACAGAUUGGGGGCAACAACAAUAAGAAGAAUCAAAGCAGCAGGCAAUUCUAGCCAAUCUGUGAUAACCGUGACAAAAGAUUAGAAUUUCGUGGAAAAUGUUUCGUAGCACUCUUUAUUUUUCCUAUUUUUCAAGUUCUAGGUUGUUCUUAAUGGACUAGGGGAACACGAGACAUGUAUCCUCAUCCUCCAACAAUCAUAAUUUAACCAUAAGUAACCUCCCUUGUACAGAACAACACAGAUACUCGUUGAGCUAAGCUCAACCUGUUCUUAUAGUACUUAGUUUUAAGUUAAGGUAUCUAUAUCAUAAUAUAAGCUGAUAUCUAUCUUUUUUUAUAUGCAAAUGCUAGUGGUUAGUUUGUUGGGGCGAGGGGGAUAUUGUUAGCAGGGAUAGAACCCUAGACCUAAUCUGUAAUACUCUUUCAGCGUUCCAACCUAUGCCAUUGAGCUACACCUUCGGUGACAAGCUGACAUGUGACAUCUAUCUAUAUAACUUUGAGGUAAGGUGAUGUGGGACAGUUUGAACUGAGAAGUGUAUAUAUAUAUAUAUAUAUAUAUAUAUAUAUACACAACAACAAUGAGAGCAAAUAUGUUGACAACAUACAAUUAUAAUAUGCAUCUAAUAAAAAAGAGCAAGAUUACUAUCUUUGAAAUUGUAUCAUACCAGGGAAGUGCCUUGGAGCGAAAAGUCGUAAUACUACAGCAAUGAAAGCGAUCCAUUUCCCAAUCUCUUCCCUGUGAAGCGAGGAAAAUAAGUAGAUGAUACCAAAAUUAAAAAAACACAAAAGUUGGUAUUGGAGAAAAAUGAAGGGUGGGAAGUUGAUAACAAUAAUGCAUGAAAAGCUGCAGUCUUCACCUGAAGAAGGCGAAAAUCCAUGAAGGCGCGCUGAAGAAAAUGUACGGAAUGAGUAGUGAUGUGAAAAUGUUGGUCUUCCAGUUUGUUCGAUCUAAAAUCAACAAAUAACUGCAGUGCAUAAAUAAAAAUUUACCAUCAAUAACAUAAAACACCCUCUUGAGCAUAACAGUUUGCUCCAACUUGACUCAAAUUGAAGUGUGUUGACUAUGGCUCAUAUUCACUAAUCACUAAUAUGUAGACAGACACUUGAGCAUAGCAUAGCUAAAACACAACAAGCUUUGUGGCACAGUUCAGGGCUCACGGGUACAAUUCAAGGGUAAACUUGUAAUCUAGAUUGUAGUAUUUAAUCACAAUUUUGCGCUCUUUAACCUUAAGCAUUUUAAAAUAAAAAACUACAACAAUCACUCUCACUUUGUGCUCUUUGACCUAAUUCCCUGAUCAAAGCGUGUUCGACAAAACAAUAUAAGAAGUUGCUUAUCAACAUUAGAUAUGAGCACAAUGUAGCACCGACACUUCAGGUUGAAGACAUGUCCAACAGUCGUAGGUCUCUCACAUUUGUGUUUACAUUCAAUCACAUCCAUUUUCUGAAACUAUUACUAGUGCCUACGCGUCAGUGUCAUGUUUGAGUGUCCGAUAGUCGUACCACGGUGAUACACAUAGUUCUAAAUUGCGGUCAGCAACUGCAAUUGUGACCGCAUUAUAAUGGAUUUUGAGAUCAUCACAACAGCAUCACAUCUGUAAAUUGUGAUUGUAUUUUUUGCAAUAUUCACAUCGUAAUUGUAACUGCAACCGCACAUGUAAUUACAUUCAAUGAAUUCCACUUCCACUUCCACUUUCUUAAAUACUCCCUAUGUUCCCUAUCAUAAACAAAAUUUCACUUUUGACCGGAUACAUCAGUUAUCCGAUGAACCUAAAAAAUGAAAUUUUGCUUAUAAUAAGGAACAGAAGAAGUAAUUAUCAGUCACUUGAGAAAUUACAACUAAAAAUUAAACAAAAGAAUGAAAUUUAGAGGUAGAUUAGUGAUUACUAGUAUUACAUACAUAGCAGCAAUGGAAGCAAUGAUUUGGAGGACGGAGAUUCCAAAAUCUGAGACCCCAAAAAUGAUGAUGAUAUGGUGAGCGAGGUUAUUAACAGCCACAGCAAUGUCACUAAGAUCAGAGAUAAUCAAUUGUGCUGCAGCUUUCUCUUCAAAAUCUGUUUUCAUUGCCAAGUAGCUCUUCGUCUUCCACAUUUUUUCGUAGCAAACUCAGCACUUCAAUGGCAGAGAUGAAAAUUGUGUUGCGACAGGAACAGGUGGAAAUCACAACACAGAGGCAAAGAUCUAGUGUUUUGUUGUGUACUGUGUGAACUCAUAGGAAUGUGAUUCUUUCCUAAUGAGGAAUUGCCACGUGGAAGUGUUAGAGUAUGUGAUGGACGUUAGAUAUGCACGUUGGUUGUUCCACCACAAUUUUUGUCUUGAUAGCUUCUCUUUUGUGCCUUCAUGAUCCUCCCUCGAAAUUCAAUUUUACGCUUGGAAAAUAUUUUGGAAUGCAGAAAUUGAAGUUUUUCUGGUUCAAAUUUAAGAAAAAUUUUAAAAACAAAAACCAAAUUUUCUCAUUUUAAGAGAGUCGUAACUCACGACCCAACUUAUACACAAAGUCCUAUGGGUCCGAAUAAAGAGAACGAUUUGUGUAGUCACAAUAUUUUGGACAUAAUAUUUGAGCACAUUUACAUAUUUGAGCACACUUACAUUAGGAUUAGAGGAAGUAAUAUUUUGUUACCUCAAAUAUAUCUCAUUUUAGCUUGUUCAAAAAAAAAAGUAAUAUUUUGUUACCUCAAAUAUAUUAGAAUCUCAAUUACAAAUUAUUAAACAAAGUGACAUCGACCAUUUUACAAGUGUUUCGGGUAGAAUUUAAACAAUAUAUUUGAGGCAAAUAAAGUUAAACUCUUACCACCAAACUGAGAAGUUACUGAAACAACAAUCCAAAAGAGAAGGGAGAAGAAAUACAAAACAAUAACAUUAAAUACAAUGCAAAAGCAAAUUUAGAUAGUAGAAGCCUUGGUGAGAGAGGUAAUGGUAAUAGAAACACCAACAGCAGCAGCUUUAGUCUCAAAAGUAAAAGUAUCAUAGCGCAAGAAAAACUCCACCAAAAACAAUCUACACAAAAGCACAACAAGAUUUUUCCCAGGACAUUGUUUAUUAUCCACACUAGGGUUCUCCGUUUCUCUCCCAUUUGACCAUAAAACAUAUUUCAACAACUUCUCACCUUCUCCAAUAAACCUCUUUGGAACGAAAACCUCGGGAUCAUCGAAAAUCCUAGGAUCCUUAGUAGCAAAAGGUUGGAAUCCGAAUAUCGUCUCACCCUUUUUUAUUUCAAAACUUGCAUCAUGACUCUUGACAAUCAAAUCUUCUCUUGCUUUUGCAUACUGAUAAGGUACGAUGGGUUCUAUUCGCAUUGCUUCAUAAAUAACGGAUUUUACUAACGACAUUUUUUCCAAUGACUGAAUUGUUACUCCGCCUUCUUGUUUUACAAUGGUUCUUAUCUCGUUUGCGAGUUCUUUGUGUAGCUCUUCACCGGAUAAACCUAUCCAUUUGAAGAGUGUUGGAAAUUGAUUCUUUAAUCCGGCAUAUCCGUUAAAGCCGGCUAUGAAAAUGAGAUUGUGACAUGCUUCACUUCUUUUCAACCCUACUUUUUCGGCUUCGUCUAAAAUUGUUACAGCAGAAGAAGAAAAUGCUUCGUAGAGCUUCUUGUAAGAGGACCUGGCCAAACAAGUUUGUUAACACGGAUAUAAGAGAUUCGUAAAACCAACAAUUAUUAACAUUUUUAAAGAAACGUUUUGCAUCUAGUUAUCCAUAAUUAUGUAUUAUUUUCAUUAUUUUUAAAAUGCACCAUGUCUUAAUCACAAUGAUUAAAUUUUAAGAUAUUCACUUUUUUCGUAUUAACAAGUUAAAAUAAACAUACAUUUUUUAAUCAAGAUAAAAUAUAUUUUCAUUGGUCCUAUAAGUUUAAUUCAGUUAACAAAAAUAUUGCAUUAUAUAUGUAUAGGGCUGAGGUUCGAACUCCAGUCAUCUCAUUUAUCCACCUUAAGAUAUUGACAAAAAAAAGUUUAUUUUCAUUGAGUAAAAAAAACCUUAAAGAGAAUCUUAAGAAAAAUAAAAUUGAAUAUUUAUUAUCGUUAAUUACAAUGAUUAAAUUUUAAGAUACUCACUUUUUCGUAUUAACAAGUUAAAAAAAAACCUUAAAGAGAAUCUGAACCAAGGUUUUAAAUUGCGGUCCGCAUCCGCAAUUGCGGCCGCAGUAUUGCUGAUGCGGUAGCCACCGCAACCGCAUCGCACCGUAAUUGCGGUGUGAUCUUAAUUCAUGAGUACAGCCGCAUUGUAACCGCAUCACAACCGCAUCGGAAGCCGCAUCAGAUAUUUUCGGUGAUGUUCGUUCAAAUUUUCUCACAAAAAAAUAAAAUUUAUGAACUUCAAAUCCUAAUUUGUGUCAAAUUAAUGAAAAAUCUUACUUUUAACAAUCUCUCAACCGUGUAUUUUAAAUACAUUCAAAUUAUUGUUUAUGGAAUAAACUGAGACUAUGUAAUGGUGGAUAAAUAGUAUAAUUACAUAGUAAUUUCAUUUUAUAUAGCUUGUGAAAUUUCCAAAUGAUUUCACGCCGCAACAACCGCAUUGCGCGUUGCAGCAACCGCAUUCGCAACAACUGCAACCGCAACCGCAUCCGCGACCGCAACCGCAAUUUAAAACCUUGAUCUGAACCAUUCGUUAUUAAGAAAAAUAAAGAGAAUCAUUCGUUAUUUUAAUUAAAGAGAAUCUUAAGAAAAAUAAAAUUUCUCAUUAAAAUUAUAUGCUUAAGAAUUUUACCUUGUUAAACAAGCUGGAAUGGGAACUGUACGAAGCAAUAGAUCUUCAAGAUAAUUGAAAAUCUUAGGAGGUUUUAAUGUUUCAAUUGGAGCAAUUUGAAAGAGAAUCCAUGUGUCCAACAUUUUAGGACCUUGAGAACCAAGGUUAGUUUCAGAAGGAUACUUAUUAUCACAAAAGAGACUAAACAAGAAAUUAAAAGAAGCCUCACUAAAAAUAGUGUUAAAAUCAGCUUUACCACUUUUUUCAGAAAGUUCAUCUUCAAUGUUAUUAAAAGAAUCAGAAAGUAUACUCUUAAAAAGAGGGAUAAUAUUGUCUUUUCUCAACAAAAGAGCAUUAAGCAAGAGACCUUUGAUAAGAGCAUGGUUUGGUUCAGUUGUGUCUAAUUGAGACAAGAUACGGUAGCCGCCGGUGAAAUUUGUCGAUGGCAUGAAGGUACCGUCGAAGACGUUGUGUUUCUCGACUUUUUUAUUGUCGAAUAGGAUCGGGAAGGAUGCGGCGUCUAAGAGAGCUAUGACUCUAGGGUUUGAGGCAAUGAAUGGACCUGGUGGCAUGUUGGUUCUAAAGACUGUUGAAUUGUAUUUUUGAAUUCUUGUUGAGAAGAAUUUGUCUCUACCUUGGUUGUAGAAAUAGUCGUGUCGGUCGAAAAUCGGUCCAAUGAAGGGGAGGCCAUAGCUGCCUGGGAUUUGUUUUAGUGGGAGGUCUUGCUGGUGGUUGUUGGUGGUUGUGGAAGAUUGUUCUAAAGAUGUCAUUGUUAAUGAAAUUCUUGGUAUUUUGAUUGGUUAAUUUGUUUGGUUAUGGUUUAUGGCAUAGUUGUUGUUUCUUUAUAUAGAGUUGUCCUUAGUACUAGUAGUAAUUUUAUUUCAAAAUAAAAAAUAGUAGUGACAACUGACAAGUGCCCUUAUGGACCCGACUCUUAAUAUUAAGGUUGAAAAAAUAGGAAUAGGAUUUCCUGCAGUAAAUGUUUCACGCUGUUUCACGCUGUUUUAAACAAGGACCGUCCGAUCUAAUCUGAAUGGUUCAGAUUGAUUUGGACUGAUUUUGUAUAGAUUCAAUAUGAACCGACCGAUCUGAAAUGGACGGAUGAGAUCUAAAACAGCGUGUAACUUUGUGAUUUCCAACUGCAGAGAAUCUUGAUCCCUGGAUAUCCACUACCUCUUGAUAUAAUUUGAAAGGAUAUUGUCUUCCGUGGAUAUCUCACCGGAAGAAAUUAGCGUUGAUAUCGACCCUUUAAUUAUUUCUUUUUGUUAUGAUAUUGAACACUUGAAAAAAAAAAAUUAAUGGUUAAUAUUUAAUGAGAGAUAAAUAUUAAUAGAGACAAUCACUUUCCAAAUAAUUUAGAGUAUUCAUCCAAUAAUAAGAAGUAAAAGGUGGGUUACGAGCUCGUCGAUCUUUCUUACAGCUUGUCUGGAUGUGUUGCAUUUCAGUUAUAUGGCAUGAGCGGAAUAAUAGAGUUUUCAAGGCAGCAAGAUUUACAGUUCAACAAAUAUUUAAUAAAGUUAAAUUAUAUACGUUAUGGUGGUUGAAAGCCCAUAAUGUGCAUCUAGGUGUAAACACCCACAUGUGAUGGUCGAGUCCGUUUGUCUGUUUAGGUAUCGACUAAUUUAAUGUGCUCUUGAAUUUUGUAAAAUUUUGUGGCUCUUUCUGACAUACCUUGUGCUAGACAUGACUCUCUUUUGGUGUUAAUAUAUUUCAUUUUUACUAGUUAAAAAAAAAUUUGAUUAAAAGUUAAUUGUGAUAUCACAUGUAAAUCUAUUUAUAAUUUUAUUUUACUUAUUAUCUCAUUGAUUGUUGAGUAGAUAUUCAUCAUUAAGGAUAGUGUAAGUCUCACCAUUGCGACCGCAUUCAUAAAUAUACCAGGACAUGGUUUGUAAGUUUUUUUAAAAUCAGGACAUGAUACAUUCAAGAUGUGUUAAUAAAAAAAAAUUUAAUAAAAUUUCCAAUUGUUCCUUUAAAUUUUCUGUUUUCAAUUUUAAUUCCUCCAUUUUCCAAAAGUUCACAUAGCAUGUUCCAUAUGGCUAUUUUUAUAACAUGUCAAUAUUAAAACUUUAAAAUAUCAUGAUUACUUUAAUAAUUUAAUUAUUUUAUCUUUUAUUUGAAGUUAUAGAUAACAUAAGAUAAUAUAGAUUAAAAGUAAAAUAGUUAAAUUAUCAAACUAAUUAAUGAUAUUUUAAUUAAGGUCUUAUCAAUGACAUGUUAUAAAAAAAAAUCAGUUGGAACAUGUGACAUAAACUUUUAUAAAAAAAUAGAGACUAAAAUUGAAAACAAAUUUUUUUUUUUAGAAUUAAUGUCUGAAGAAAUUUUUAGAGGAACAUAACUAAAACGAAAAUUUGUAUAUUUAGAAGGAUCAAAAAUAUAUUCACCCCCAAAAUUUAUAUGCAUAUAAAAUACUUGAAACAAAUAUACAUCUACUUAAGCUAAUUAGUCAAAAGUUAAAUUUCUGACUCAGAAAUAUUUGAUUGGAUUAUUGUGAAAAAUUAACCAUUACAGAGUAUAAAAUAACUUUAGAAAUUUCGUACCACAUAACAUAAUAUAUUGAAAAAAUAUGCAUUCAUAUAAAAUUAUAAACAUCACAAUUUAUAAAAAUUAAUACCUAAUACCUAUAAUUAAAACACAAAGUAUAAAAUUUUGGUAUAAAUUAUAAUCUACUUUGAUAGAGUAUUUGCAGAGGAUUUAAUGGUCCUAUUGUUUACACUGAUUUUUGGUAAACAACCGCUAGUUUAAAUUAAUUACUUGAGAGAUCAACUAGUAAAUCUCGGAACAUAUUUGUGUGUUAUUUUCUAGAAAAAUAUGAAUGUUCAUCAUCUUUUACUUGNNNGGAACUUUAAAGGACUUGAAAGAUUAAAUUGCAUUUGAAUGUAAAUAGUGGUUGGAAUCCAUCUAUGUCCGUCCCUUGAACCCGUUUGCCACCGCGGCGUGGGUGUUGCAAGACUUUCAUAAAAUAGGAUAAGUGAGUAUAUGGUUUCAUUUUAUGCAUGUGUUGUCAUUAUGUGCAGUAGAAGUUACUAAUACAGACAGAGCACGAGGCUGUGUACCUGUGGAUGGCCUGACGUACGUUCAUAUGAAUUCAAUUACCGGUCACUUUCAAAUAUCUUUAAAUAGAUACUUUUUUUCAAUGAAUUUUAACUUAUUAUUACUAUAAUAUUAAGAUUGGCAAAUGAAAUAAUUUUCCCGUUUAAAUCAUGUCUAAGUAAUUAAAUUAAGAGAAAUUAACGUUUUCUUUAGUAUUGGUUUCAUCGGAGGCUAUAGACUAGUGGUUGUGUUUUUUGUUUAGUGGUGUUUUUCUUUACGUUUCUAUUUUUGGUUGUUGUUUAUCUGCUUGUUGGAGUAAUUAAUUAAGCAAUUGUGUUUGGUAACUUGCUUGAGCAGAUGUGUUGUAUAAAUAAUUUCCUAAUUCUAUAUGGCUCGGUCAGUCUUGUGCUUUGGAAAAGACUUUUAUCAAUUUUUUCUUUUUUGCCUAAUAUUGGCCGGUUGAAUCUUUUAGUUGUUGUGAUGCACAUUGCAGUUGUUACAGUGUGAAAUAAUAUUAAAUUUUCACAAUAGAGUCUCAAUUUGUCAUGUAAAUUAAUAUUGAAGGGGAGAUGUUUGAAAUAGACAAUUGAAAAUUUUCAUUAGAUAUAUAAUGUAAAUUCGGGUUCAUAAAUUUUAACAUUUUAUAAGAUAAUUUGAGUGAAAAUAAUUGAAAUUGUCUGAUGCAGCUAUGAUCUAACUAUUCCCGUAAGUAAAUUAAAAUCACAAAGCAAUUGCAAAAUGUGAUGCUCUUAGAUUUAUAGAAACUACUAUGAUCAAUUGUGGCUGUAAUCGUAGUUUUUUUUUAAUGAUAAAUAUAUAUAAAAUAAACAGUUACAAUACAUCAAACAUAAAAAAUAGAAAAGAGAAAAAAGAGCAUUUUGAAGUACUCAGAGAGUACUAACAAUCGAAACACCAAAAAACCGGCUACAGCCAAAAUGAAACAACCACCCACCACACGUGACUAUCAAACCUGCACCACAAACAUCUGAUCAUAGAGAGAAUAAGAAAGAAGUGAAGAAAGAUAGGAUCAGGGCAUCAGGCCACUCAUCAACCAAAGGCAACUACAACACCCACCCCCGCCAACUUCUAUCGACUCUAACAUUAGACAGGUUGUACUUCCCACUAGUAGAAGGCCGCAAUGGUGGUUGUUGCCUGCUAUUUGAAACCAUAUUAUUGGGAAGUAUCUUAUAAAAAUCUAUAUUUUGGAGUAUUUGACUUCAUAUUAUGCACGUGCUAUCAUUAUGUGGUAGAGGAUACUACUACAAAGCACGACAUUGGAUUACCCACGUACCGAUGAGAUGAUGAUUACCGGUCACUUUCAAUUAUCUUUCUUUUUUCUGGUAAUAAAACGGGGCAAUUACCACUUACCAGUCACUUUCUCAAAUAGUUUUUUUUUUUUUUUCAUUGAAUUUAAAUUUAUUAAUAUAUAAAUAUAAUUGACAAAUGAAAUAACUUUCCCGUUUAAGUCAUAUCUCUAAUUAAUUAUAUUAAGGUUAUUCAAAAUAAAUUAACCAUGUUAAGAGAAAAUAGCGUUUUGUUCCUAGUAGUUGUUGUUUUUUCUUCCUUUGGAGUGUUUGUUGUUCUUUAGUAUUGGCUUCAUUGGAGGAUGUAUAUAGACUAGUAGUGGUGCGUUUUUUAUUUAGUGAUGUUUUUCUUUACGUUUCUAUUUUUGGUUGUUAUAUACUCUGUUUUGGAGUAAUUAAGCAUAAUUAAUUGUAUCGGCCGGGUAGCUUGCAUGAGUAAUGUGUUGUAAUUUCCUAAUUCUAUAUGAGCACGUCUUUUGCUUGGAACAGUCUUUUGUCAAUAAUUAUUUUGCCUAAUAGUGGUUGGUCGAGUCUUUUAGGGCAUGCAUGUGUGCUGACUCAAAGAUAAUUUUUGGAAAAAUACAAUAAAAUAAAUAAAAUAAAGUAAGCUUCCUUAGUUUGUGUAUGGUCAAAAUAAAAAAUUGUGUAUAGUUACGAGAUAAGAUAAGGGGUUUAGUAUUGUAAUAACCAUGUUGAAAUUCCCGUAAGAAAACGAAAGACAUGUUCAAAUGGAAUAAUAUUCAUUGCAAUUUGCAGGCCGGUUGAAUAUUCAUUUACAAUUAGGUAGGUGAAAAUUUGUUAAUUAAUAUAAUCGUGGAAGAAUGAUAUAUGCGCUAUUGUCGGUGCUUAUGGAUCCGAAUCUGGGUGAUCUAAUUCAUGACCAGGAUGAGCUUAGGUGAAAUUAAGUGGAGGUCCGAACCAACUGAUAUUGAAAAACCAGCCGAUGAGUUGUGGUUAGCGGUGAAAUGCCACUCGAACCUAGAGCUAGCUGGUUCUCCCCAAAUUGCGUUGAGGCGCAGCAGUUGACUGAACAUCUAGGGGUAACUCACUGUUUUGGCGCGGGUCGCGAGAGCGGUACCAAAUCGAGUGUGUACAUUGUCAUAAUGGAUGAUGCUAAUUAGGGUGGAGGAGCUUGUGGGCUGGGCAGGGCCAUGGACCGCCCGAGAAAAUAAAGAAUUUUUUUUAUAUACUGAGAAAUGACAAAUAUACCCCUGCUUACCUUUGUUUUUUCCCUCCCAUAUCCAACUUGUCCAACACACACACGCAAACACAGAGAGAGAAAGACACAAACGCAAAAACAAAGUACGACGGACACACCGCGAUUGCACCACCAUCGAUUAUGGACCAUUUGAUUUUCAUUCUAGUAGGAGGCCGUAAAAAAAAUUAAUUUAUAAAAAUCGAAUGGUCCACGCAGGGACGGAUCUAUGGGGGGCAAGCAGGGGCUUCAACCCCCCCUCCCUGCCAAUCAUGUUAUAUUAUAUAAGUAGUAUAAUACUAGUAUAUGUGUCAUGUUAUUUAUUUGCUUAUAUGCAGUAUAAUAUACCCAGGUUUCUAUUUUAUUAGUCAUUUUGGUUUUCAAACAUAUUAUUAAGUAGUCAAUUUAGUCUUCAAAUAUAUUUUUUUAUGUCAGUUUAGUCAAUAAAUUUAAUAACAAAAGACACACUAUGAAUGUAUUUACAAUUUUAAUAUAUUUGGGAACUAUUAUGAUAGCGUCUCAUAUAUUCAGGGACCAAAUUUUUAAUUUGUUCUUUAUCGUUAUAUACUAUUUAUUACCGGAAAAAUAUUCUGGCCCCCCGUUAGGCAAAUGUCUGGAUCCGUCCCUGGGUCCACGAUUGAUUAUUAGUCACACAUUAUUCAAAUAUCUUUAACGAUGUAUGAUGUUUUGUAGUAAUGUUACUUUUUGUUUGGGUAUUUGACAAUGUAGGUACUACUUUGGGCCAUAUAUACCUUCAUUGUAGAGGGCUAUUGUUUGUACACAGAAAGAACAUUUUUAUACUCCCUUAUCUCUAUUUAUAAGAAUAUUUAGCAAUUUUUUGCUUAUAUUAAGGAAAAAAAUUAUACUUUAGUUGUAUACAAUUUGUAUAGAAGACAGCUAUUUGCACAACAAAAAAGGUCAAUAUAUGCCGACAGAUAGAGCUGUGCAAAUGGGCUAGUUCAAAUAAGCGUAGGUCGGCCUGCCAAGCCCACUAAAAUAUAUGGUCUGAACUUAUUGAACCUAAAUUAUUUUAGAGCUUUUUAGCCCAGCAUGAAAAAAUCCGUUAUAAAAACAGGCUAGCUCGUAUGGGCUACGAGUAGACCGAAGUCGGCAUUAACAUAAAAAAAAAAACUAGAAAAAGAUACAACAAUUUAUCCUAAUCGUUUCAGCUAAAAUAUGUUGUCCGUUAAUAUUUUAUUCAUGUGUAAUUAUUCCAGUUAAAAUAGGUUGUCCGCUUGACUGAAAAAACUAGAAAGAGAAAACUAUAAUUAUUUUAACUAAAAUAAUUGUUGUCCGCUUGACUUUUAUUUAUGUGUAAUUAUUUUCAAUAUAUAUACUAAAAAAAAUUUGGUGCCUUGCGCAGCCGCUCCUCGCGAACACCUUCCAAAAUCCCUUGAUCGUAGAGCUGUCAAAAAGGGUUACGCUACCGUGCCAGCCCAUUGGUUCUGUAUUUUAACAUGGGUCGGGCCUAAAAAAAGCACCGAAAAAACAACCUUAUAUUUUUGGGUUGGUCCAUCAGGGUUAUAUUUUUCAUGGGCCGGUCUAGGCUGGCCUGUCAGGCUUGCGAGCUAGCCCACUAAAUAUUAAAAACAAAAUUAGAAAAAUAGAAUACAUCCUCAAUGGAAAAUUCAAAAUUUUCCCAAAUUUUUUAAGUGUACAAUUGAGUUUUCGUAUGACAUAAUCUCUUUUUUCCUAUUAUUCCUUGUUAACAUGGGCCGAGUCUAAAAAAAACACCAAAAGAAACGACAGUAUCUUUUUGGAUCGGUCAAUCAGGCUUAUAUUUUUCAUGCGCCGGUCUAGGCGGGCCCGUCGGGCUUGUGAGCUAGCCCACUAAAUAUUAAAAAAAAAAUUGAAAAAUGGAUUGCAUCGUCAAUCGUUCUCAUUUCUCAAUGGAAAAUUCAAAAUUUUCCGUAAUUUUUAAUUGUAGAUAUGAGUUUUCGUAUGACAUAAUCGCUUUUUUCCUAUUAUUCCUUGUUGAAAAAACCUAACUUUCGUCAAAGCUUCAACAAGCUUCGUAUCUCAAGCUUCAACGUCAUAUGACUUUGAUCGAAUUUUAGAAGUUAUUGACAAGGAGUCGGAGGAUGAUGAUGAUGAUUUUGAAAUGUUAGAAUCUCCUCCAGUUGCUAAUACGAAAAAUGUUAUUUAGAGAGACUUUGAUGAAAAACAAUACUAAUUUAUAAAGAAUGGACAAAAACAUCUGUUAUAAAAUUAUGACACUCACUUAUUUGAUGGACAAUAAUUUAUGUGUUAUGUAGUUUUAUUGUCCAUUGCAUAUUUUUCUAAAAUAAAAAAGAAUAACAUGAAAAUUAGUUGGGCCGGCCCAUUAGGCCACAUAGAUCAUUACUAAUUGAGUCAGGUUCAAUUUAGCAGCACAUGAAACAAACGAGUCGACCCACUAAAACUCUUUUAUAUAUGUUAGCCCAUCGGACCGGUCCACUUGACAUCUUUACAUAUUCGUACAUCAUUUAUGAUGGACCGUUGACACCAUUUCUCGUAUACCUUUCUAUCUUGGCAAUUAUACUAAGAUGUUUUCUCUCCCCACCUCCCGUGAAUCUUUUAUACCCCCCAAUAUUCCAAUUUUGCCCUUGCAGAAAAAUUCGGUUCGCAGUAACCUAAUUUUUACUAGUGCAAUUUCAGAGUAAAUUUCGAUUUUUAGAAGCCGAAAUUUGUUUUCAAGGCAAAAAAACACUUCGGUUUCUACGAACCGAAGUUUUUUCAAGGGCAAAAUUGGAAAUUCAGGGGGGAUAAAAGAUUCACGAGGGUGGGGAGAGAAAACAUCUUAUAUUUUUAUAUGCAAUCUUUCGAAGAUUUGAUUGAAGAAUUAUUCUACCCUAGCUUGUGCGCCAAGACGCACGUGGUGUAUUAAACUUCAGGAGGCGGUUUUACAAGGUUACUUGGUCCUCAAGUAUUAUAUAAAAUUAAGGAAUCAAAGAUUUAAUUUUAUAAUAUAACCUCUGAACGUUUUCUUGGAGCAGAAGUUUAGUGGCUCAAGGCCCACGAAGUUUCUGCUAUAUAAAGGGUGCUGCUAACCCUAUUUUAAUCAUCUAAACCAUCAUUCUUACAAAGUGUGUGUGUUUUUAGGGUUUAGAGUGUUUAUUGUUAAUUGUGAGUCUUUCUUGUGUCUCCUUGAUGCAAGCAUAGGACCAGGUUUAUUGAGUUGUAACUGUGAACUGCUCCUAAGCUUUGAAGUACGAAGUUAGUUUGUGUUUGAUUCACUCGAGAGCUUUUAAGCGAGAGUGAGAUCUAGUUUCAUAGGAGGGUGUCUCCAUCAUUGGUUCUUGUUUGUAUUGAAUAACAACGCUGUCUGUGUAGUUAAAGGGAAUUGAGACGUGGUCUCAUAUCUAGGAGUUCCUAGGUAUGAUUAGCACGGGUAGUGUCUAGGAGAUAAGUCGUAAAUCGGGGUGUUUGCUGAGGGCUUUGAACUAGAGCUAUUUUUUUUUUGAACUAGAGCAAUUUUUGUUUAUUUUAGAGCUUAAUCAAAAAUCUCAAUUUUUGUCUAAUCAAAAAUCUCUAUUUUAGUCUCUUAAAUACAAAUUAAGUCAGGCUAUUUCCUUUUAAUCUAAGAUACAAUAUCCUUCUUGUUUCCAAGACCUCACAACAACCCCCUUGAUUAUAAAUUAAUAUCUUCAUAAUCCACAACCUUACCUCCUUAAGAUUUUGUUUACGAAUUGGUUUUUGGAGAGGAAAGAGGCGAACUUUUUUCUAAAAAUUAAGAACAUUAUAAAAUAGUUUUUAAAAUAAUUAAAAAUUGAUAAAUAAUCACAUAAUACUUCAAAAUAUUUUAUAAUACUCUUAAUUUAAAAAUUAAAAAUAAGUUUUCAGCUCCCUUCUAAAAACUAACUUGCAAAGAUGACGGAUUUCUCUCUGAGACAUGCUUUCUCAAUACCUUCACCUCCCAUGCUUGUUAACAAAUUAUUUUGCUCAAAAAAAUGGUCACCCCCAUGUUUUACCUCAGAUUGGGCCCUACAUGAAACUAGUAGUAUAAAAUCCACUCUAAACAAAGAUGUUUUCUCUCCCAACCCCCGUCUUUCUUUUCUACCUCCUGAAUUUCCAUUUUUGUCUUUGGGGGUACUUCGGUUUGUACGAACCGAAUUUUUUUUUGUCAUGCUAAAAAAUUUCGGUUAAUAUAAACUGAAAUAUUGUGUUACAAUUUUUUUUUUCCAGAUUUCCUGCAUAAAUUCUGCAUGAGACCCUCAACUUCCACAAUUUAUUUGAAAUACUAAACGAUGUCUGAUUUGAGUAAAAGAUCACUUGUUGGAAAGCUUAGGGUGUCAAGAAUACAAAUAUAAUUUUUUUUUAGGGUUAACUAUCCAAUUGGUUCAGUUUGACCAAAUAAUGGGUACUAGUACAUAAACAGAGCAGAAACUUUUCCCAAACGUGUAGGUAGAUUUUCUCAUACUAUACUUAAUGAAAUUUAACAAUUCCGGUGUCAAUCCUGUAGUAAAUUUUGUCUUCUUUACACUAGAUUAAAAAUCAUUAGCAUACGACAUAUAUUCAGAGAGCUAUGCUAAAUUUACCACAAGUAUCUCUACAAUAAUUUUUGCAGAAACUUUUCUCAAACUUGUAGGUAGAUUUUCUCAUACUAUACUUAAUGAAAUUUAACAAUUCCGGUGUCAAUCUUGUAGUAAAUUUUGUCUUCUUUACACUAAAUUACAAAUCAUUAGCAUAUGACUUAUAUUCAGAAAUAUAUGCUAAAUUUACCACAGGUAUAUCUCUACGCCAAUUUUCACAUAAAUCUUUCUUCUUCUCUUAACAUUUAUGUUAUUUCGGUUUAUAUAAACCGAAUUUUUUUCCAUGUUUAAAAAUUUCGGUUCGUAGAAACUGAAAUAAGUUGGCCAAAUUUUUUCAAACCGCAAGGGGCAAAAUGAGAUUUUUGGGGGCAUAAAAGAAAGGCGGAGGGUCGGGAGAGAAAAGCAUCCUAAACAAAGCUUCAACAUUUCAACAUCCAACUUCUGGGCUUUUGAAUCAAUAUUAGUACACCUCCCCCUCUAAUUUAUCUCUUUAGGCCCCUAGUUUCUUUUACACCCCCCAUCCCUCGCCCAAAUUUCAACUGUUGUCUUGCAAGCCAGGUUCAGAAUCUUAUUUUUCAAAUCAAUAUUUAGUUCACAAUGUAGAAUUUGGUCACUAUGUUGCACAAUCUAUUCUUUGAACUUAUCCUUUAUACAUCAGCUAUUAUCCAAUGUACAUCACUUCUUCUUCAUCCAUACUCCACCUAUAUUUCUCCCAUAAAAUUUGCAUUUUUUGUUAAAUUGUGGGUCUAAAUUCUUCUUCAUCCAUACUUGUUCUUCAUAUAUAUAAACUUACACUUUAUAUAAAUUUAGUAACCACUAUAUAUAUAAAUUUUAUUAUCAAUUCAUUUCUUUUUGACUUAAUUAUUUUUUUAAUCUAUUGAUUAAACAUAUACUCUGUAGAUUUUAAGAAGUAGAAAAUCAGAAGUUAAAACCACGACCCCUUCAAUACCUUAUAUUUAAGUAUAGAUACAUUAAUUUAGUAACAACCUCAUAUAAAUAUAAAUAUAUAUAAUGGUAGUGUGAUCCGUGUUGAUGCAUAUCCUGCAAUUACAAAAUGUGACUGUGGGGGUACAGUUGUCAAAAAUGAGUCGGGUUUAUGGGUUUGCCUAUUAGUCCAUUGUCUUGGAUGAGAUGAACAUAGCUCAAUAAUAAUUAGGUUGGGUCAAUCUAACCUAUUUAUUUCGUCUCUUCCACCGGCCGGACCAUGAUGGAUUGAAUCGGCAUAUUUAACAGCUCUAUGUUUGAGGGGCAGAGGAUAAGGACCUUCAAUAAUGAUUGGUCCCAAUUUGUUUUUUGUUUUUUGCGGUACAAAAGAGAGAAUAUUGGUCCCAUUUUCGACUAGACAACCAUACCAUUCAUUUGUUGCACUUAAUAAUUAUACUACAUAUAUAGACUAUGUUAUAUGGAUAUGGAAUGCGUGCUAUGUACUAAGAAAUAUGGAAUGCGUGUUCCACGAGGACUCGAAUGUAAACGCAAAAGUACACAUCAAACCUUAGUUUAAUAGCAUGUAAAUGAGCUGGAGAAUUAGUUGUACUCACUUGGUUGCAAAAAAUAUAUAAGCUUACCUCAAAAUAAAAUAAAUGAGAGAAAUUGUUGUUAUCGUCAUCUUUAAAGUAUAUAAGAUAAGAUUAUUAUUUUCUUUCAACACGCAUAAAAUCUUUAAAAAAUUGACUAAUAGUAAUAUACUAAUAUCAUAUGUGCAUUAAAAAAUGAUAAUAAAAAAGUCUUACAUUCAAUCAAUAUACAUAAGUAAUAUUUUAUUUUUUAAUUAAUAAAAUUCAUAAUAUGCAUGUAAAAACUCACAAAGAAUGAAAAAAAAACAAAUUAUUGAACAAACUUUUACAACAUAUUCCAUUCACAAUUUUAAAGAGAAGGAAGAACAACAAAAAAACAAAAAACCUAUAAACACAAUGGAAAAACAAAUUCAAACCGUAGAAGCCUUAGUGAGUGAAGUAAUAGUAACAGCAGCACCAAAAGCAUUAUUUUUAGACUCAAAUCCAAAAGUAUCAUAAUGCAAGAAAAACUCCACCAAGAACAAUCUACACAAAAGCACAACAAGAUUCUUCCCUGGACAUUGUUUAUUAUCUAUAGAAGGCUCCUCUAUUUCUUUCCCAUUAGACCAUAAAACAUACUUCAACAACUUCUCACCUUCUCCAAUAAACCUAUUUGGAACGAAAACCUCGGCAUCAUCGAAAACCCUAGGAUCCUUAGUCGCGAACGGUUGGUAUCCAAAUAUCAUCUCACCUUUUUUAAUUUCGAAACUUGCAUCAUGACUCUUCACGAUCAAAUCUUCUCUUGCUUUUGCAUAUUGAUAAGGGACGGCAGGUUCUAUUCGCAUUGCUUCAUAAACAACGGAUUUUACUAACGACAUUUUUUCCAAUGACUGAAUUGUUACUCCGCCUUCUUGUUUUACAACGGUUCUUAUCUCGUUUGCGAGUUCUUUGUGUAGUGAAAGGCCGCUUAGACCGACCCAUUUGAAGAGAAUUGGGAAUUGAUUCUUUAAUCCUCCAUAUGCGUUGAAGCCGGCUGUGAAAACGAUAUUGUGGCAGGCUUCACUUCUUUUUAAACCGGCUUUUUCUGCUUCGUUUAAAAGUGUUACCGCUGAUGAAGAAAAUGUUUCGUAGAGCUUCUUGUAAGAAGACCUAGCCAAACACACCAUAAUAAUUUAAUGUAAGGAAUACACUAACAUUAUACAUUGUUCAAAGUUUUAUAUCUAUUUAUUAUUCAAAAUGUUGAUGAAUAUUCAUAUUUUAAUUAUCAUAUACAAAAUGAUUAGAUUUUGAUGAAUCUUAAUUCUCCACUAGAAUAAUGAGAUUCUUCCUAGAAAUCAUUAUAUAUUUGAAUAAAAAAAAACUAAUCCAUGGACAAUACAUAUCAAUGUUUGCACACGAAUUUGCUCAUGUAGAGAUUUCACUAGCAACUUUGGAAGAAUUUGAAGGACCAUACAAACAACCAAAAUGUACAUGUUAUUUUUUAAAAAAUAAAAAACAAAAUUCCAAAACAGAGCAACUGAACAACCAAUUUCUAAAUGAGAGAAAGGUGAUAGGUUACUAUUCAUAUAAAGAAGAAAAAAAUGUAUUGUAAGAGCCAUCAUUUCCUUUUGGGCUACCCUCCCUCCCAUUGUAUAUACAACUUCCAUCUCUAAAUUAAGGUGACUAAAUUAAUUUAAAAAAUUAUAAUAUAAAUUUAUAAUGCCUUUUUUUAGUUUAUCUUUCAUUGUUGAUUAUUAAUUGAGAAUAAUUUUGAUUUUUAUAGUAUAUAAAAGUCGAACUUUUUUUAAUAAUCAAACAGUUAGGAUUGAUUACUAUGUAAAUUUGUUUUACAUCGUCAAAAAUGUUUAUGAAUUAAAUCCUAAUUGAUUUAUCUUUUACUUUGUUUUUUUAAAUUUUUAGAUAAAAUGACACGUACCACAUAAAACUCACAUACUCAAAACUCAAUUGUGCGAGAUUUCAAGUUCAAAUUCAGAUUAAGAUGUCUAGCUUAAAUAUAUCAUAAUUGUUUGUUGAGUUAUGUCUUAGACAAAUUUAUCUUUUUUUUUUGUUAAUAAUAAAUUUAGCUAUACGCAUCCCAAGUGCUCCGGAUCCAACCCAAAUCCACUCAUUCGUGGAAGCAUCUUAUGCAAGUCAAAGGUAACAAACACUAUAUGUUUAUGUACACACUCUCUAGCUAAUAUGCUCCUCACAACGCUCACGGGUCAUUAAGUCCAUCUUAACAGCUCCCAUCGUUCCAAUUGUCAACUGUCACAAAUGGUUAUAACCGUCCCCCAAUAUAAAGACAAGUUUUUGCGUCAAGGUUCACAAUUCAAUCACUUUCCACUUUCGCACUCCUCCUUGAUGACAUACUGAUUUGAGCAUUGUUGUGCUAACAUAUUUUGCAGAUAUCUUUCCCACCAUGAUCCACCGCACUAGGAACCUAUCUCCACCGUAACCGUCUCAAGUCUCACCUUCGAAGUCAUCUAGCCUUGCUCAGUGCAGAUCUAUCAUUUUUUUUUUAAUGUAGAGAAUUUAAGUCGAAGAGGAUGAUAUCCAAAUUUAAAGUAGGGAAGACCUUAUCUUUCACUUAUUAUUAAGUCAUUUGUGUCUUAUAAAAAUGAUCAGAGGUAGUAUAUGAUAUAAAUAUUUAAAGAAAAUCUUAUAAACUAAAAAAUAAAUAAUUUUCCCAAUAUAGAAUCCUAAUAAAGUUUAAGGUUAUAGUAUGAAUCUCACCUUGCCAAACAAGCUGGAAAUGGAAUAGUACGAAGCAAGAGAUCUUCAAGAUAAUUAAAUAUCUUAGGGGGCCCUAAAGUUGCAAGUGGAGCAAGUUGAAAUAGUAGCCAUGUAUCAAACAUUUUAGGACCUUGAGAACCAAGGAUAGUUUCAGAAGGGUCUUUAUUAUCACAAAAGAGACGAAACAUGAAGUUAAAUGAAGCAUCACUAACAACAGAGUUAAAAUCUGCUUUACCAUUUUUACUAGCAAGCUCAUCUUCAAUCACAUUAAAAGCAUCAGAAAGUAUAGUUCUAAAAAGAGGGACAAAAGUGUCUUUUCUUGACAAAAGAGUAUUAAGAUAGAAACCUUUGAUAAGUGCAUGGCUUGGUUCAGUUGUGUCUAAGUAAGCACAAACACGGUAGCCGCCGGUGAAAUUUGUCGACGGCAUGAAUGUACCGUCGAGGACAUUAUAUUUUUCGACUUUUUUGUUGUCGAAGAGGAUCGGAAAAGAUGCGGCGUCUAAGAGUGCUAUGACUCUUGGGUUUGAGGAAAUGAAGGGACCUGGUGGCAUGUUUGUUCUAAAGAUUGUUGAAUUGUAUUUUUGGAUUCUUGUUGAGAAGAAUUUGUCUUUACCUUGGUUGUAGAAGUAGUCAUGGCGGUCGAAAAUCGGUCCGAUGAAGGGGAGACCAUAGGUGCCUGGGAUUUGUUUUAGUGGGAGGUCUUGCUGGUUGUUGGUGGUGGUGGUAGAUGGUGAUGGUUCUAAAGAUGCCAUUGUUGAUGAAACUUUUGAUAUUUUGAUGAGUUUGGUUAUGAGUUUAAGGUAGAGUUGGAUUUUAUAUAGAAUGGUAGGUAGUACUAGUAAUAUAGUGUAGGCUUGGUUUUUAUUUGAUUUAUAUUUAAUUUUUUUAAAAUGAUUUAUAAAAAUUAAUAAAAAAAAUAGAAAGAAGAUAUUUUAAAUUAUUCCUUAACAUUGACAUCCAGUAAUUUAAAUAUUUUUUUAAGAUUAUAUUAUUUUUUGUGAGAUUGCAUAAAUACUAUAUUAGAUAUGGUUGUAUUAUCGAGAGGGAAUUGGUCCCUUCCAAUCCAUUAUUCACGUGCAUUCAAUGCAAGGAUGGAGGAAAUUUGUUUGUUGAUUAAUACUAUAAAUGUGGAAAAUAAUGUGCAUGUGUUGUAAAAUUGUGGGGUAAAUAAGGAUGAAUUGUUCAAGUGGUAAGUGUUUUGAUCCUUUUAAAUAUGUGAUUAGAGGUUCGAUUUCUAGCUUAUGCGUAUGGAGAAAAUUCGGUUGAGAGAAAAGAAUCGUUGAGAGUUUGAUAUAGUAUAGAAACUAAAGAUAGGUAGUAGAUUUGGAGCUUUCAUGUUUGAGUUUUAUUAGUAUUUUUAAUAGACGUAAAUAGAAAUACUUUUGUAAAUAAUUUUUUGAGUUUAGAUUUUUUUUUGGACAUCAUCCUUUCAUUUCAAUUUUUUCUAUAAAAAAAAUUAAAUAUGUUUUUAAUCCCUUCACAUAAUUUCUUCGUAAUUUGUCAAUCUAAUUUUUUUGUUGUUUUUAAUUUUAAUAAUCUCUUCUUAAAAAAUAAAUCCACGUUGCAUGUUUUUAUGAUAUGUCAUUGAUAAAUCUUAAAAUAUAGUUAAUUUUUUAGAGCAAUCUCGAUUUGCAGAAUCAGGCACAUCGGAUUAAGAAGCAUAUCAAAUGAUUUUAAAUUUAUAUAAAUCAAUGGAGUUGAACUCGGGAUAUUUGGGUUACAACAUUGCUACCUUACCAUUGCACUACUUGCAAUCUUGUGUACGUAAUGGUUAAUUAUUUUUUUUUUUUUUUUGUCUUGUAGCUUAGUAACUAGAAAUUUCACUUUAAAGAUAAAUAAGUGGAAUAUUCGAGAUUCGAACAUCAGCUCCUACAUGAUAUAUGCGACGUUCCUACUAACUAAGUUAAACUCACGGAAACUAUAAUGAGUUUUUUUUUUUAACCAACUGGAACUAUAAUGGUUAAUUAUAACAUAAUAGUUAACAAAUACUAUAUGUAUAUAUGCUUAUUUAAAAUGAAAAUUUUGAGAUGAACCACAGUCCUUCCAAUCCAUACCUAACUCCGCACUAGUGAUGGCGGCAGCAAGGUCAAGGAGAUGAGAGAGAACAGAGAAAAAAAAUUCAUUCUAUUAGUGAGUAGGAUCGAACACCUAGGCUGGUGGCAAUUUGUUAAUUUUUUUAAAACUAAAGGUAUCCUCUGCGUGCAAAGUUACAGAGACUAAUCCCCUCGAGGUAACUGAGAUCCAUUUAAGGGGUUGACCUCUCCUAACAAAUACUUCUUUAUACGCACCGGUCAGGAAUCAAACUUAGGACCAAAUGAUUAAGGAACCCAAGUAUUUAUCGUUCGUGGAAAAUGAUACGCAUAUGUUGUCAUAAUGUGGGGUUGAAUUGAAAAUAUAGUUACCGUGAACUAUAAGAAUUUGAUUUAGUGGUUAAAUAAUAAGUUUUAAAUUUUUUUGUUCAAAAGUUUUAAAUUUGAAGGUUCUAAUAAUUUGCGGAUUAGUUUCAUAUAUUUUUUGCCGCAAGUGCAGUGUAUUUUGUUUCUUGCUUCUGCUAGUGUAGUACAUGCAGAUUAGAGGGUUGUUUAACAUAAUAAUAAACGGUGUUAAGUUGAUAAGAGAAGUUUAUAUCUAUUUUAAGAGACUUUAGGGAAGGUUUGUGUCUAUUAAAAAAUUAGAGGAGGUGCAUGUGUCAUUUAGAUCUCAGGGAAGGUGAGCGUAAUUUUCCCUAAAAAGUAUUGAUUAUAGUGUUUUUAAGAGAAGAUAAAUAUAAUAUCUUGCAACUUUUUGAUUUCUAAGGUCUUCCUUAUACAGAGAUAUUACCCUCUUACUCUAAAUUUCUCUCAUUAAAGAAAAUAUGAAUAAUGGUAUAUUAAUAUCGCAUGAAGAUUAGAUGUGAGGUAGUUGAAUUUAUUUUUUAAUGAGUAAAAAAUAGUUUUUUUUUUCACCCUAUUUAUUUUCUCGCGCGCCCUACAAAAUGGAACACCCUAUCAGAUUUAUUCUUUUUAUAACGUCCAUUACUUAAAUAGCGGAUGACAUUUUUCAAAAAUUUUUCAUUUUUAUAACGUCUGCUACUUAAGUAAUGGAAGAGUAAAAUGGAAAAGGUUUAGGGCGCGCGCAGGGACGGAUCCAAGAAUUUUAGUAAGUGGGGUCAAAAUUAUAACGUAAAAAAAAUAUAAAUUGUUAUUUAUAUAAUUUUAACAUUUUCUUAUACAAAAUUACUUAUUUUGGUUUAUUAGUCAAUACUCUUAAAAUACUUAUUAGUAUUAUAAAUUAGUCUUAUUAAUUUUAUAUUUGUUAUAGUGUAAUAAAUUGACUAUAUAAAAACGAUAAUACCAGAUAUAUGAGGUCACAUUGCAUAAAUAAUACUAGUAUUAACUAAAAAUAUAAUAGGCAAGUGGGGUCGGCUGACCCUACUGCCCCCACACUAAAUCCGUCCCUGGGCGCACGAGAAACUGAUAGGCCCAAUUGGGCCAUGUCACCCGAAUACAAAUAGGUUAAAAAAAGGAGGGAAAUCUUCUAUCCACACCCCUCAUGAUUAGUAAUUACAGUACAUCUUUAGCUGAAAAGUGGCCUAAAUUGUUCGUAUUUCUACCUAUUAGAGUGAACAAAUGUAAUGGACUCAAAACAUUUAGCUAAUUACAGCAACAUAAACCAUUUCUUUAGUUUAUUUCAAGAAAAAUAAUAAUAUAAGAAGUAUGACUCCCUUGAGUACACUUUUGACCAAUUUAGUGAUUUUAAUAUUUAUGUUCGAUCUCCUUGAGUUGGAUAUCGAGUUUUUUUAUAAAAAAAACUAUGUUCUAACCUAAUCAUAGAUGGGAGAGAUUUUCAAUUUAGAAAUGUACUACAUUUAAGAUUUUUCAAGUGGAAGCAUCCUACCCGAGAAAAGGAAAAUAUUAUAGAGGCUAUUAAGUUUUAGAUCAUUAUCCAUUAAAAGAAUUACAUGCACAUUGAAAGUGUAAAAUAUUAUAGAGGCUAUUAAGUUUUAGAUCAAAUUUUCAUGUUGAGUAUUAGAUUUUUAAUUAUGGUGGGUUGAUUUUUGUUUCUUGUUUGGAGAUUUUUUUUGGUUGUUUUCCCAUCGAAUCAUUAGAGAAAAAAUUUCCAUCAAGAGAGGAAGAUGAAAGAUGAAGGAAAUAUGUUUGAUCAUAUUAAUAGGUUUAAUGAGGUUAUAUAUAUAUAUAGAUUUAUGAUGAAUGCACAUGACAAUGUCAAAGAUGAAGAACACGUGUUAAUGUUGGCUUCACUAUCUAAAUUUUAUAAACCACUUGUGCACUUAAUGUUGGUAAGUAAGAGUACAAUGCAAUUAUGUGAGGUGGUGAGAUCAUUGAAGGAGUCAACAAAUGAUGAGUGUUCAUAUAAAUAUCCGAAAGAAAAUCACAUAUUGGUAACCAAUGGUGGACAAGAAAAAAAUAUGGUGAUUCAUGGAAGAUUUAUAAAGCCUAGAAGAGAAGACUUAAAAGUUGGAGUGUAGUCCUUCUACAAAUGUAGUUAGUUAUGAGAAUGAUAUUUUCUUUUGCAAUGAUGAAGUUGAUAAUUAACAAAGUAAAGAGAUUUUAUAUUUUGGAUGAAAGGAGAAUAUGAAUUGUGAAAGUGAUUACUUAUCCAAGUCCACAUCGAGUAGUUGAAUGAAGAAAAAAAGGUAGAGAACUAUUAUCUGGGAAUCUUAGAGUAAUUGCAGAUUGAAUAAUAAAUUUUUGGGAUGUUAUUUGGAAAAAAAAAGUUGAUAAUAAUAUAUAUAUUUUUAUCUCUCUUAUUUUUUAUUUUAUACACUUUGCACACAUCUAAAACUAAAAAGUACACACAAAAAUCACUUUUUAUGUUCAAAGUUCAAACAUCAUUUAUCUAAAUUUUAGGUAAAUUUAUCUAAAAAAUCAUUUUUUUUAUGCAUCAAAUUUAUGUUCAAAGUUCAAUAUUUUUUUUUUAUGUAUCAAAAAAUCAUUUAUCUAAAUUUUUAUUGUGAGUUGUUCUUUUGUUUAAAAUUUUUCUCAACUUACUUUUUCAACAAGAAACAAAUAAUUUUAUACUUGUCAACUCACUCCCCAGGUUGGAACAAAUAAAUAUUUGACACACACUUAGCAUUUUUCAUCUUCAAAUGAAAAUAGAUAGUUGUGUUUGCUCCUUCAUUUGAUAAUUUUUUAUUUAUUUCCAAUUUCCCUAAAAAAUAAAAUCUUUUAAGAGAAAGAACUAUACAACAAUAAAUAAAUUUCACAACUGUGUGAUUCAUGGUGGAGUAGAAUCAGUCUAUGUUUUUUUAGAGAGUAAUUGAACCAGUCUACUGUAGAAUUAUUAUAUAUUGUAGCAUAUUAUUUGGCAUGAUAAAAGAUAUAUUAAAUACGUAAAUGUCAUACUCUUUUUAUAGGAUGAAUUUUUUGUCCCCACUAAUGUGUAACAUAGAUAGCAUGUACAAUGUACUAAAGUUCCAAGUCAACUAUGUCUUUUCUAUAUACUUACCAAUUUAAUGACUUUUCCCCCUAUUGUGCCAUUAUAACAACCAUACAAAAUGUCACAUAUAUUAUGUCAGAGUCUUAUAAUAUAUCUGCAAAGCGAGAUUUGUUCGGUUAAUCAGUAUCCUCCCAAAGUCAUGAGUUCAACAUCUACUAUUAAUAUGAUGAUGAUUUUAUUAAUUAGUGGAGGUACUCCGUAAUAAGUACUUUUUUUUAAUGAAAUUAAUUUGAUUCGCCCUUGUAAUGGAUUGAGCCUGAAGACUCAAGCUCAAUCCUUGAAGAUCUCAUCUACUUGACGAGCUCGGUCCAAACUAUCCGAACGGUCCAUUAACACAUUCCUCUGCUCAACGGUUAAAGAAGUCAUGCCUUCAUCUGACUAAUGGACAUCAGAAUAUGGACAUUUACUACCCAUCAAGGCUCCUCAAUCGUUUUCCGAUAGUCAUUGAUAGUGUUGAUAUGCUCGUCAAUGGUCUUGUGGCCCAACGUCGGGAGCUAUAUAUAUAUAUAUAUAUAUAUAUAUAUAUAUAUAUAUAUUGAUCUCAUGUAGAAGAACCAGAUACAUUCUAACUCAUUCUUUUCUCAAAAAAAAAAAAAACUCAUUCUUAAAAUCUUACUUCACCUCUUAUCGACUUGAGCACGAAACACCUGUAGGUAUAAAAUCCAUCUCCAUUCACUAGAACGGAAAAUGAGCACCACCGAACUAAGGUCGAUUUUGAUCUAAGAUAAGAUCAAACCCUAAUUCCAAAUAUAAGCUUAGAAGAUUUUAAUCUUGGCGAGCUUCCGAAACUUAAGUCAAUUAUUGAAGUUUCUUGUAUAGAAAGAAAAACAUUUUUCCAAUAUGAUUCGUCAUUGCUUAGUAGUCUAGUGACGCUGCAUACAAUGAUACAAGACAAUUUUUAUGUUCACAAUUUCACUCCUCAUUUUGACAAAUGGACAAUUAGUGCUAUGGUCAACCCACUUUGCCGUCUGCGUAUAAAUUAACACGGUUAGUUAGAUUGAAUUUUAUAGUAGUUUUCAAACCAAAAAUAGAAAAUAACCUUUCUAAAUAUAAACAUCAACGUGAUACAUGAAACUAACCUUUCCAAACAAACAUCAACUCCCUAAAAUGUAAGACAACUUUUGAAAUUAUUUUACACUAUAUUUAAUCAAAUUACACCAUGUAGAUAUAUAUUGAUCAUAUAUAUUUCAAACUAAUUUAUAAAAAUGACACUAUGAGUAUGAUGUAAUUUAAUUAGAUGGAUGUGUAAAAAAAUUACACUAUUGGUGAUAGCAAUUAAUCCUAUCAUUUUAUAUCAUUUUUGGUAAUAAUCCAUUAUAAGAAUCAAGAAAUAAAUAGUACUGCAGUAUAUAGUAAUGGAUUAUCUCUACUAAAAAACUUAUUUUCUAAGCCAAAAACAUCUAGACAUUAGAAAUUAGUUAUUCCAACUAUAUUGGUAGUUCAACUCCAUUCUAUGCCUAUAUCUCAUAAGUAUAUAUAUGUAAGGGAAUUGCUAAUUUACAUCCACCUAAAAACAUUAAGUAUAAAUUAGCAAUACACACAUUUUUUAAUCGGACAAUGUAAUAUCGGUAAACGUAGGUUUUUUUAGGCAAGGUGUUAUAUAUAUUUUCUAUUGACUUGAUAUUUGUUUUGUUUAUUGCCAAACAAAAAUUGAAAAGGACUACUACAUUCUUGACUUAAAGACAUCAUUUUCCCCCACACAUAAAAAAUUAUCAAUAUAUCAAUUUUCUCAAUAAUAAUAAUAUUUUGACCAAGUGUUCGUAAGACUCCAUAUUGUGUAUAAUCACAUAAAUGUAACUCCAUACAGCCACACACAUCAUGUCCGUUCAAUUAAGAUUGACAUAAUAAAUUCUAAAAUUUAUUCUUGAUCAGACGAUCGGAAAACCUGUAAAUCCAUCUAAUAAAAAAAAAUAUUGGAUAAAUUAAGUAUCCUCUAUACGCAAACUCUUCCUAAAAAAUUUAAUGAUGUUGUAUAUUUAAACCAGAAAUCGAACGUAUAAUCUUAAUUAAGUUAGAAGAGACUCUAUUUAAUCAAAAUCCUUGUUUAAAAAUGUACACACCAAACUAUUAACCCCAUUGUGGGGAAAAGGUUAAGUGCAGUAACUGCAUUGACACACUAAUUAUAUCAAUCGUACGAUCUAAUUCAAUGAAUAAGAUGUAUUGGUGACAUAUUGAUCACAGUCGUCCGAUCUAAAACCAAUGAUUGUGAUAUAAAAUAGUGGAAAACUGUAUCAAAAACGAUAGCAGUGGAUCUAAAUCCCGCUGUUGCAAAGAAAACAAACCAAACCAAAUACACGUUUGAGAAUGGAUCUAUUCUAUCACAUGUCUCACCAAUUUUUCAACUAGAAAUUGAAACACACGCUAAUUUGAAACUUUCUACUACAAUCACUAUGCAUUUUCCUCCUACUUUCCACUUAAAAACGUUUGGUACACUUCCAACUACUUAAACAAUCUACCUUAAUUUCCUCUAAACCCCUCCCCUUUGGUCAACUUCCUUAAUCCUUCCUCUUCUUCACUUCAAUCCAACAUUGCUUUUGGUUUUGAAAAUUUGGUUUUUUUGUUGUUUUUGGACACAUGGGGUGUUAAAGAUUCCUCUUUUACAACAUGGGUUUACUCAAAAAAGUGUUUUUUUGAAGUGAAUUAGUGAUUCCUAAUUUGGGUUUGUUUCUAAUUUUGAUAAAAAUGGUGUCUUUUCUAAGAAAGUUAAGAACUUCUUCUGUUGCUUCAAUGGAGGAAACAGAACUUAGCAAUAGCAUUAGUAGUAGCAACUAUGAAUAUUCUUUUGCUGUUGUUUACACUGGUCCUCCUCUUAAUCAUUCAAUCCCUGAAAUCCCUACUUUCAAAAUUGAUCAAAUCCCAAUUGCAUCCAUAGCUCAAAAAACUCAUGAUUUCAAUGUUCCUGUUAUUCAACCUCUUGGUAAACUUCAUCACAAAAAUAAGCAGAAUAAACACAAAAAACCCACUUCAGAUUCUACUGUUUAUCCAAAUUUAGAAUCUCAUCAUGUAGUUGAAGUUGAAACAUCAAAAACUGAUGUUAAUGUUAAUGUUGAUGUUAAUGUUGGUGUUGAUGUUGAUUUGACAUCAUGUGAAGUUGUUGAUGAUGUUCCUAAAAAUUCUGAUACAAUAGAGUCAGAAUCAAGUUUAUUGUCUGGUUCUUGUGAGAUUUGUUCAAUCAGUGAAGAAUUUGAAGAGGAUGAAACAGUUAGAACAAAACAUGUUAAACAACCUUCCGCGGUUACAUUCCGCGACCCGGAAUCAAAUUACGCCGAAAGUGGCAAGCUUUUUGAUUGUGUAUCUUUGAAGCCACAUGCAAUUAGACCAGGAAAAAAAGGGUCUUGUUAUAAGUGUCUUAAAGGGAAUAGUUUAACUGAGAGAGAGGUUUGUAUUGUUUGUAGUGCAAAGUAUUGUAGAAACUGUGUGAUAAGAGCAAUGGGAUCUAUGCCCGAAGGAAGGAAAUGUAUUGGUUGCAUUGGUUAUGGAAUUGAUGAGAACAAAAGAAGGAAUCUUGGAAAAUGUUCGAGGAUGAUGAAACAGUUGCUUUCUGAGUUAAUUGUGGAUCAAGUUAUGAAAGUUGAAAGGUUAUGUGAAGCUAAUCAAAUAGAGCCUAAGCUUGUUGAAGUUAACUUGCAAUCACUUAAUAAAGAAGAGCUUAAGUUGUUGCUUAACUGUAAAAAUCCACCAAAAGAGCUUAAACCGGGAGCUUAUUGGUAUGAUAAAUCUUCUGGAUUUUGGGGAAAGGUGAAAAUUCUAACUCAAUUAAAUACUCUAGUGUAAUGUAUCUUCUUAAUGUUAAAAUUUUAUACCAAUAUUUUGUAUUUAUCUCUCUCUUUAUAUGAUAAAUUGAACACAUGAACAUAUAGACAUGAAAUUUUCCUAUGAAUUUUAGUAUGAUUAUUGAUUAACAUGAGAAGAUUCACUUCUUAGUACCUCUAGGAUUUAGUAUCUUACUCCCUCCGAUCUUAUAUAUAAGCAAAGAUUCUUUUUCCAGGUUCAUUGAAUAACUGGUGUAUCUGGUCCAUUAGUCCAUUUUUUCAGGUUCAUUGAAUAACUGGUGUAUCUGGUCCAUUAGUCCAUUUUUUCAGGUUCAUUGAAUAACUGGUGUAUCUGGUCCAUAUCAGUUAUUCAAUGAACCUAAAAAAAAACUUUGCUUAUAGACCAGAGGGAGACUGAUGUUUCCUUUUAAUGUAUUCUGAUAGGCUUUCUAAGAUAGUUUGUGGAAGUAGUUUAUAAAGACUAUAUGCAAAGUUUAUCCUUAUUCUGCUUUGAUUGUAGAAGCGCAGUAUUCAUAAGCUCUUAUAUGAAAAUUGUUUAUUAAAUAAACACUUAAUUAAACUGUUUAUCCUAAUGAUGUAUUUCUUGAUUAUACAGAAAGGUCAACCACCUUGUGAAAUCAUCAGUCCACGGUUGGAUAUUGGUGGUCGCUUGAAUAAAAACGCAAGCAACGGAAACACACAUGUAACGAUAAAUGAUCGCGAGAUUACGAGAAGAGAGCUACUGAUACUAAAGGUUGUUGUGUUAUACACUGCCCUUUUUUUUUCCUUCGUCUUGAGACUGUUAAAGUUAGACCAAUAAUGUUAUUAACAUUGGUUGUUUUCAGUUAGCAGGAGUACCAUGUGAAGGAACUCCUAACUUUUGGUUGACUGCUAAUGGAUCAAUCAGCGAAGAAGGACAGAAGACCGAUAGGGGCUGUAUAUGGGGCAAGGUGAUCAUUGUUGUGGUGCUUGUUUUCUUUUUGUUUGGUUUUUAUUGUGAUAACGGGUCAUCAUUAGCUAUAGACCUUAGUAUUUAGAGACAAGUGGCAUUCUCUAAACCCUAAGUUUGACUAAUAGAAAGGUACUGCAGCCGCUCUGCAAUCAGAGAUGUAGGCACAAUUUACCAAACUCCAUGAUCAAAUAUCGUUUCUUUGUUUUCAUUUUCCGUAUCUGCUUUCUUUUGAACUGUAGUUUCUGUUCUAAAAUUUUUCUUUUUGUAGGCCGGAACAAAGGUUGCUUGUGCUAUUCUGUCACUACCAGUACCUUCAAAAUCUGUGACUCUUGCCGAUGAAGGUGAUACAGUUAACAAUCUCAGCAUUCAUAAGAAAACAAUUCAAAAAUUUCUACUUGUCGGUUGUGUCAAUUCUGGAUCAUGUACUAUAUUUAAACAGGUUGGUUACUUCCCGAGAAUUUAUUUCCUCUUCAAUUCAUGCCUUCAUUUUGCGUUACUAAAUAUCGAAUCUUUUGUCUUAGGCCAAGCUUCUUUAUAACGCACCUUUCUCUGAAAAUGAGCUUCAAAAUAUCAAGUUGGUGAUUCAAAGCAACCUGUUUACCUACCUUGGUAUACUUCUGGAAGGGCGCGAAGAUUUUGAAGAUGAGAGUUUGCUCGAUAAUAGGAAAAGAUUGCCUUCCGAUGAAUCCACUUCAUCUGGUAAGUUUUUUUUCUCCAAAUAGUCUCACAAGUGUUCAUACCAGUAGAUUCUAUAAUUAUUCAUUACUUUCUAGUCAACUUUCCUGACAGAAGAACCUGUUUUUGCAGCCGGAGAUUCUAGUGAAAAUGUUGAUACAACACCCUAUUCAAUCGGUCCAAGACUGAAAGGUUUCUCAGAUUGGUUACUGAAAUGCAUGUUGUCAGGUAACAUGGAGGCAAUAUUUCCGGCUGCUAUACGUGAAUAUGGGCCAAUGGUGGAGGAUUUGUGGAGGGACGAGGCCAUUCAAGCGACAUAUAACAGAAGAAAUGAACUAAAAAUGCUACCUAGAAGUGCUAACUAUUUUCUAGAUAGGGUAAGGAUAUACUUCACAUAUGAUUAUUCCAUAUCAUUGAUACUCCUUUGUUCAAUAUAUCUGAAUAAUAUAUCUCUUUGGAUGCAGGCUAUUGAAAUUUCUAAGGUAGAUUAUCAACCCUCUGAUAUGGACAUUUUGUAUGCUGAAGGGAUAUCAUUAUCCAACAGUCUCACAUCGAUGGAAUUUUCAUUUCCAAAGUCAAGCAGAGAGGAUUGUUUGCCUCUUGCGUAUCAACAUGAUUCUUCUCUCAGGUCAGUUUUGUCAUUUCAUGUAGUUUUUCAUAAGCUCUUGGAUAAUGGAUUCAUAUUUUGGUGUAGAUUAGUGUUUUUAGAAAAUACUCGCAACUGUGGUUUAGGCCGCGACAUCAUGGUUUUUGAUGUUUCCGCGGUCCAACGCUACCACAAACUUAGGCUGUUGCAUCAGCAAUCACAAUAAUAAAACAUUGAUAUCAAGAAUUGUGAUACAACUGCACAACAAUCUACUGAACUCGUAAAUCGUAAUUAAUCGUUUGUGUUCUUGUGAUGUACUAUCGUUUGUGAGCUUAUUUUGUCCAAUAUGGCUCAUAUUCACACUGGUAAGUAGCGAAAUAGGUUUGUGAUAUGUAAAAUUAUACACUGCCUAAUAGAAAACUAUAUAGCAGUUACUCUGAUGUCAGAGACGUAAGCACACACAAUUAGCUUAACUCUUUGAUUAACUGUUUUUGUUUUUUGUGCUUAUAUUAAUCUAUUUUCUUUAAAGCCGGGUUUACAUGUUCUAAGCCGGAUUUAUUUAUUUCCCCUUACAGAUACCAACUAACAAGAGUACAUCCUAAAAGCCUUGGAGAAAACUGCAAGUGGUUGAACAUGUUCGAAGACACUGACGUUGUUUUGUUCUGUGUCUCCUUAAGCGAAUAUGAUGAGUACGUUGUUAACGACAACGGAGUUUUUACAAACAAAAUGUUGGUAUCAAAAAACCUAUUUGAAAACAUCAUUGCUCAUCCAAAUUUCAAGAAUAAGAAAUUCGUUUUAAUACUAACCAAAUUCGAUCUUCUUGAGGAAAAGAUCGAACAUGUUCCUCUAAAAACGUGUGAAUGGUUUUACGACUUCAAUCCAGUUAUAAGUAACAAUACAAAAAAAGGUGCUAACAAUGGAACUAUGCCUUCAUUAGCACAAAGUGCUUUUCAAUAUAUUGCUAUCAAGUUUAAGAGAUUGUUCCAUUCGCUUACCGAAAGAAAUUUAUUCGUUUCUUUGGUUACUGGAUUGGAACCGGAUACGAUCGAUGAUGCUCUUAGAUAUGGUAGAGAGGUUAUAGAAUGGGAAAAAUGGGAUCCUUCUGUUGUUAAUGAGAAAUCUGAGAUAACUUCAACAAGCAUUGAAGAAGCAAGUUCUUUUUAAUUAUAAUAAAGUUUAAUUUCUUUCAAUUAAUGUAUUUGUAUAAAGAAUCAUAAUAGUUAUGUAAAGUGCAUAGAUGAGUUUAUGAAUUCACAUAUAAUGGUGAAUUAGUGAUAACUCAAUAGGGGGUUCAUCAUUUUUUUUUUCACUAUUUGACCCCAAAUAUUUAAUUUGUAUUAGAGUUUUGUUCUUAUUUGUAAUUUUUUUUUUACAAAUUUCUAAUGUAUAGAAACAAUUAAAGGUGUAGAGGAGUAGAAAGGAGAUUUCUUUUUUUUCAUAUUUUUUUUCUAUAAUAAGUUGGAGUAACAUUGUUCGAACGUCGCUCCCUGCAUAUUAUAAGCAAUGUUCCUAUCAACUGAACUAUGUUCAUGAAAUAUCUAGUAAUAGGUUUUUCACAAUGAAAUCUAGUUAUACAGUAACGAUAUUUACGUAUGAACAUUAGCUGGGUAGUUGACCCUCUUAGUCCGUUAUUGCUAAAUUUAGGGCAUCAUUUUUUUUUAAUUUAAAAUAGGAUUUUAUGGGACUUUUUAUCAUUUUUAAUAUGAUCAAAUGAAGAUAAAUUGUUCUUUUAAUUUUUCUCAAAAAGUUGUUCUCAUAUUUGCAAAAUAUUUAUGAAUAUUGAGAAAAAACAAAUUGUUUCUUUGAUUUUUUGUUUUUAUUUUUAUUAUAACCGGUCAAUUUAGUCAAUCUCUUCAUAAAGAUACUAUGAUAAUAGCCAUUGUAGGAAUAUAAAUAUCUAUAUCUAUUGGAGAGCCUGAUAUUUUUCAGGGUUGUCAAAUAUCUUGAUGUAAAAGAACACUUUACCGCUAAAUAAUAAGUAGGGACACUGUUAAGAGUAUAAUACUGGGUCGUGAGAUAGCCUGAAGAUAUAUUUAUAAGUGAAAGCAAUCUUUAUUUUAUGAGUCAAUUUUGUAGAGUUGAGUUAGGUUCAACUUCCAAUUCUAAGAGAUACGAUUCCAAUACACACUAGUAAAUAUAUAUUGGAUAAAAAGCUCAUGUUCUAAGAACAUUUGACAAAUUCGUCAUAUCUCACUUACACUUCUUAGAAUAACAAUUCUUGAUAAUAGUUUCUAGUUUGAUAUUAGCUAGUUUUAUUUUCUUUAAAAUUAAAGCAAGUGAGGAGGAUUCAAAUUUUAGAAGAACAAUUAUUGUGUUAUCACUUAUCAAGCUCUCUUACUUUCUCAUCUAAAAAAAGUCUCUCUCACAUUUUUAAUUUCUUUACUUUAAUGUAUCAAAGAGAGUGGGAAAGUUAGAAUCCUUUAUUUAUUCUACUUCUCUAAUCUCUUUAUUCUUUCCCCAUUUCACUUCCUUUUAUCUUCUAGAAUAGAUAGUAUUCUAUUUAGAUCAAAAAGAAAAGUGGAAGAUAUGGAUAGAUAUUUUGGAAGGCAUAGCUAAAAUCCAGAAUUGACUCGGUCAGUCAGCUAUGGGCACUAAAUUGAAAUUUUACCCAACUCAUAUUGGUGGUUGAUGACUUGUAAUUUAGGAUAAGAUUGUUGGGUCGCGGGCGAAUAGUCAGAUGAUCAUCUAUACAUUUGUGCCGUCUUCAAUGUAUUCAAUGAGACUUGUCACUUGAUCAUCUUUAUCAGGAGACUUUCAAUGCAAGGAACCGGUCGAACCCUUCGUCGACCCAUCGACUCUCAUAUCAAUGUUGGGUCACGAGGAGUCAGCUGAACACCACACUUUUAUCCAAAACAUUAAGUAAUUAGAUUUAUGAGUGAUUUCAUUUAUAAACUUUAACCUAAAUAAUAUAUAGCUCCAACAUGCAUCGUCCUCUUUCUUUUGAAAAAAUAUAAACUAUUAAAUCAUGUAACCAAUAAUGAAUUGGUCUUCUUAAGCAUGUGGUUGGGGGUUUGAUUCCUGACUCAUGCGUAUGGAGAAAAUUCGGUUGGAAGGGGAGAACACACCUUGUGUGUCACACAGGUUUCCCGAUGAAGAUUAGUUAUCGCUAACGGCGAUGGAAAUAACCAAAAAAAAUUAAAUCAUGUAGUUUGACCAUAACGUGUAAAAUGUGGCAUAUAUCAGCUAUCAAUAUAAAUAUCCAUCUGCCUAAACCGACCGCGUUGGAGAUCAGAUUUUUGUAGCGAUUCAAGAUUCUCCAUUAACAUUUAUAAAAAAAUAAAUCUCCAUUAACAAUUUGAUUGGUCUUUGUUAUCCUCCUUAUCAUCAUUUUGUAAAGAAAUUUUUCCGAAAUAAUUUAUCAAAUACUAUCUCUAGUUACUAUUAUAAAAAAAAUUAGGUCAUGAAAAGAGACAUCGAGUAAUAUAUAAGCUAGAGGAUUUAUAUAUCCAAUACUUUAGAACUUUAGGUGGUCCAAUAUAAGGAAUGAUGAUCUCUACUUAAAUGAUGUGUAUUUUUUAAAUAGUUUAAUGAUUAGAAAUUUCACGCUUAAAGUGUAUAAAUAGGAAGAUUGGGGUUCGAACCCCAACUCAUGUAUAUAUAAUGUAAUGUCUCUAUCAACUAAGUUAAGUAUGAGAGUUUUUUUUUUUUUUUUUGCUUUUAUUAUAUUAUAUUAUAUAUUAUUAUAAUAAUACAACUUAUAUGAUCUGUAUUGGCGGAUGAUGUUAGAAACUUUAAUUACAUUCUUUAAUACUUUUCAAUAUUUUAUAAUACAAACAAACUUAUUUUAUUUAAUUCAUAUAUAAUAGUAAUUUCAAUAUAAAGUGAAUAAUAAUAAAUAAAUAAAAAAACACGGGAAAUAACGGUAAAACAAGUUGUUUGAGCUAAAUUAUAGACUACUUGAUUAAUUUGUCUCUUAACAUAAUUGACCUUAGUUUUGAAUAAACUUUAAUAACUUUCGACACUCAUCAAUUAGAACACCAAACUCGGUGUUAUUUCUAUCCCUCGCGGUCUGUUUCAACUUGGUUAACUAGAGUAUGAGACUGAUGAAUCCAGUUGCUUUCGCCUAUGCAAUAUUUGGUUUACCUUCACGUCUAGCUGCAAAAGCUCUUACAAAACGACCUUCUAAGUCACAAAUGCAAGCUCCAACACAAAAAUGUUUAGAUCUACAUAACACAUUCCGCUAAAAGGUUUGAUCCACGCUUGAUUUUCUAUUGAAGUAAUGACAGUAGAUUUUUAUAAUACUUUUAAAAUUGAGAAUAUAUUCAUUAUAAAUAUAUAUUUUUCAUUCUCUACAAAAACACACUUUUAAAUUGAAAAUUACUCUCUCCGUCCCAAAAUUUUAGUACUUUUAGAGUUUUGCGUGAAGAUUAAGAAAUUAUAAAGAUUGAUAAGUUAAGUCACUUUUACCCUUACUUUAUUAAAAAAGAGAAAAUAUAUUUAAUUAAUGUUUUAACUUUAGUAAUGGUAUAAAUAGUAAAGUAUCACUAAUUGUGCAUUGAUUUCUUAAAAAAACUAAAGAUUUGGGACAAAACUAAAAAGGUAAAAGGACCAAAGAUUUGGGACGGAUAGAGUAGUUUGUAAGAAAAAAUUCAUUUUAGUUGUUGUAGAAGUUAUACUAUAUAAGAGUAAAUCUUUCGAAAUAUAAAAAGAGUAAUUAAUUAGGUAAAAGUUUAAGGAAGAAAGUCAUAUUUUAUUAGCCUAAAUUUUUUUGAACAUUUUUUUCCCGUGAAAGUGAUAUUACUUCACUUUUAUGUUCCUUUUUUAAGUCAUAUGGAAACUGUUUUUCACCUACAAAACCAUCUCAAAGAAGUUCAUAAAGCUAACAUUAGGUGCAAAUCUUAAUAAAUUCAAAAAUUGGAAAAGAUAUACCAACCUAUUAAUUUUUUUUCAAAAAAAAUAAAUAUUAAUUUCAACUCAAUUAAAAUUGUUUAUUGCUUAAGCCACUAGGUUUGGUUUAGUGGUGAGGGAUUUGAGUAGUACGUUAUAGGUCCUGUGUUCGAUCCCCGACUCAUUGUAAACCAAAAAAAAAUAAAAAUUGCUUAUUGCUUAAUAAUUGUAAUCAACCCACAAAGAGCAACUAGAUCACUAAUUGUGGGAAUCAUAUUUGGUGCUGUCAAAUUAGCACACAGUAACAUGUUGUUUUCAUUUUAAACCGUCCGAUUUGAUUUUAAUGGCUGAAAUCAAUUUGAUUAGAAAAACCCAGUUUUUAAUCUAAGCCGCCCGAUAUGAAUUUAAUGAACGAGAUUAAAACUGCGUUAAACCGCAUGCUUUUUGGACCGUAGCAAAUCCAGAUCCCUAAUUGUGUUAUAAGUGCAAAGUAUUCACCAAUAAUAAACACAACAACUACAAUAUUAACAUUAUAUAUAUAUAUAUAUAUAUAUAUAUAUAUAUAUAUAUAUAUAUAUAUAUAUAUAUAUAUAUAUAUAUAACAUUUUCAUUACAAAUUUUCUUGUCUAGUAACCAAAUCAUAAAUAUAGUUGAAUAAACAAUAUAUUUGAGGGUGCUGGAACUACUUGAUGACAGAACUGACCGUCAAAUCAGAUUAGACGGUCCAGUGAGCCAGAUACUAGUAGUGAAAACAACAAAAAGAAAACAUUUGAGGCUUUGAAAUCACCUAAUUAAAGUAUUAAUAGCUAGCAAGGCACAAAUCUAUCCAUAAGCAAACAUAUUGUUGACUCAGAUAUUGUUGAAGAUUUUCUCUUUAAUUUCAUUGCCACAUCUUUCUCUUCUUCUAAACCAUCUUUGGAUUUGGAAAAUUUGGUCUUGUUGGUUAAAACCUUCUCUUUGAGUUUGGCUAGCUCCCCAAUCCAUACCUCUACCAUGGCUGACAUUUUUCUUCAAAUAUUUUAUUCACUCUUAUAAAAUGAACAAACUUAGAAAAGUUCCUUUUCUUUUUGAGCUUUCUCUUUGUUUUGAAUGAUGUUUGAAAUGAUAAUAGAACUAUAUUAAUGUGGUUUAUAUAGAGACUUAGAAAUAAUGAGAAUAUUCAUUUGGUAGAAAACGUGUAUGCUUGUUUAUUUUUAAUAAAAGGAUGUGGAUGUUUUGGAUCCUCUUGGAAUCAGUGGCACAUAGGAGGAAUACACCAAUGGGAUAUUCUUUGCAAGAUUUUAUUGGUUGCUUGUGUUACCUUUUACAUGAGUGGUGCAUAUCCACUUUCAUCAUGUUCUUUUAUUGGUUAUACAUAUUUCUUGGAUUAAUUAUUUUUAGUAUUAAGUAAAAAAAAAUUACCAACAAAAUGAAUUAAUCCAAGUGAUAAGGAUCUUGGUCUCUUUAAGCAUAUGGUUAGGGGUUCGAUAUCUGGCUCAUGCUAUGGAGAAAAAUCAGUUGCAGGAGAAAAUCCACCUUGUGUGCCUCACAAGCUCCCCGAUAAAAUUAGUCAUUGCUAACAGAGGUGAAAACUUCGUACCAAUAUCAUAAAAAAAAAAAAAAAAACUCUGUAUUUCUUAUUCACAAGUCAGUUCUUACAAUGAAACGUUUUUAAUCUUGAGAUUAAAAAAUAUUUGAGUGUCUGUCUGACUAGUCAUAAUGGUCCCUAACCUAAGUCAAGAAGGGGUGGCUAUUAUUGUGUCCGUUUCUCCCAUAAAACUAUGUGCAUUGUACGUAGUAAGAGAGCCACAAAGUUACAUGGUCAUGUAACAGGACAACACAGUGGUCUUAAUUAGAAUACUAGUCCAUAUACUACAAUUUAAUCUAGACACAAAACGUGCUUUCAUUAUAAGCGUACAAUUUGUGUCUGCCCUAAUUUGUCAAUUUAUUCAUUUCAUCUUGAAAGAAAAGGUGUAUAUGUUGUUACCAUUGCUAUGAUAUGAGAUCAUUUAAAUUUGUAUGUAAUUUGAAGUGUACAAUUCAAAAUUAAUAGUUGAGAUUAACAACUAUUAAAAAACUAUGUGAUUCGCAACACCUAUAAGCAAAACGACCACUGUUUUCACCAUGUCUGUUUCUGAAAAUUCCAGCACAUGCAGCUUGGCCUAGAUUGCUUAAUUAAUGUCGUACAACAAAGAAAACAAUAUAAUUCUAAUGAUUAUGAGGGAACUGUUGUUUUAAUUUCCCGGGUCCCAUAAAUAUCAAAGUUUCCUGUUGUUAGGGGGGGUUCGGGGGAGCUCUGGAGAAACACUGGGGCCAAUGUUCUAGGACCACGACAGAGGGAGAUAUCACAUAUCCACCAAAAAGGAAAAAACCUUAAGAGGUCACCAAUCUUAUAAAAAUCUAAUAUUCUUCUCAUAUAUAGUCGAUGUGAGACUUAGCCACUCACACUUGAAACUCAACAAUCCCCCAAGUGUAAGUUCCUACAUCAUAUAGUUGAUCUAAUACUAUAAUCCACUCUCGCUCCCCCACCAAGCCGAACCACGGCUCGGAUACCACUUGUUGGGAAGCCUGGGGAAGCUUGAGAGACACAAUGGGACCAAUGCUCCAGAACCACAAGAGAGGGAAAUAUCACAUUUCUACCCAAAACCAUAAGGCAUUAGGUUAACGGGUCACCUCUCUUAUAAAUUCACUCACACUUGAAACCGGACACCUGUUUCACGAUAAAACCAUUCCAUCAGGGGCUUGCUCUCUCUGCAAGCUCCUUUCUGCUUAAAAAAAAAAUCCAUGGAAAUGGAAUUCAAUAAUAUAUAUUUUCUAAGUAACAAAUUCACCACACAAGAACUAGUAACAAAUAUUGGUAUGCAAAGAAAUUGUCUCAAUAAUACACAAUAAUUUUGAAACAACAACAAUGAUAUGACAAAAGAAAGUCAUGUUCACCUAGCAAGAACUAGUUACACAAUGUUGGUAUGAAGUUUGUAUAAAAACACUAUAGUUUGUUUCAAUGAUAAUUCAGAGAAAAUUGGAAAAUAAUGAUAGGACAAAAUACCUUCCAAAACUAUAUAAAAAAAUCCAAUAGAACCUUGUUGCUAACAACUGUAAAAGAAGAGAUUAUGAAGAGAAAUUUUGCAUGGCACUUUGAUAAGUGGAUUGUGAUGGUGGUGGUGGAGUGAAUGAGGCACUUGCAUGAUCAAGAGAUGGUGCACAUGUAGCAUAUAAAGAUUCAUCCUUUAGCUCCUGUUUAGGCCUUAGAUACCCUGCAUCAAUGUCCAUCACAAGUUGACCUGAAAGGUAAGACUGGACAGAAUUCAUUGGUUGUGCAUAGUUGAAAUUAAUUCCAGGUAGAGAAAAAUUUCCAGAUGAGGGGAGAUUCAUUGGUAGCGGCAUCGGAAAGUCAGGGAAAAUUGAGGCAAUAGGUCCGGCUUGAGGCGCAACUCCGUGCUCAGGAUUUGUUCCAUAGGCUCCAAAUGGUAAGAUACUAUUCAAUGAAGAAUACUUCAGUUGGGAUAUGGAAGAAGGUCCAAAAUUCAUGUCACUAAAACUUCCCAUUAAAUUCGAUCUCAGAAACUCGUUGGUAGAAUCUGGUUUUCGAUCAAAAUGAGGUGCAAGAGUUUGAUGAGUUUCAGACCUUGGGAUACCGGAGGCAUGCACAUUAGCACCACGGGAAGGCAAAGCAGCAUCGUUUGCGCUUAUAUAAUUGUUGUUUCUUGCAAUUGGAACAUCAUGAUUAUGUUUUCCUUCAUAAGUAGUAAUGACAUAUUUCAUAUUGUGUGCAGCCCUUUCCACAUGUUUCCUUACAGUACAUCCAGAAGUUGUGCAUUUGUAGUAACUCCUACAAGAGAUAGAUGAGACAAAAUAUUACAUUGCAUACUAGCUUAUAAUUAUUCUAUAGUUACAAACAUUGCCUUCAAUGUUGCAAUAAUAACCGACCCCCGAACCAGAUUAGGCGGUCCAGUGGGUCGGAUACAAGUGGUGAAAUUUUUUUUUAUAGAAAAUAGAGAUUUGUUGAAAUUUCGCUAUGCACCAAUGCUAUAGCGCCGAUAAUGCAAUUAUUUGAAAAUAUUUUUGCAUUAAAUAAUAUAUCGCGAAGAAUAGAGAUUUCUUCAAAUUUUGCUAUAUUGUAGUGCUAUAGAGCCACUAUAUAACAACAUUGAUUUUUCACAAUGUGAAAAAAGAUAAUGCAAAUAAAAAAUAGUGAGACUGUCUUAAAACUCUUGAAUAUAUUUCAUGUUACAUGCAAGUGCAUAAAGAAAAGCAGUAUCAUUACCUUGGGUUUGGAUUUCCUUUGACAACCUUUUGUCCAUACUUUCGCCAGCGGUAACCAUCAUCGAGUAUGUCCACUUCACUCUCAACUUGCACUACCACUCGUGGCUCACGAAUAGCCCUCGAUGGUACCAUUGUUUGAACUGGAUAGCUCUCGUGCUUCCUGCAAUAAAAAAUUAAAGCAACAACAUAUAUAGAAGAUUAUCUUUCGAUUUAUUUAGCCAUUGCCAACAUGAAGAUGCUAUCAAAUAGAGUACAAUACCUUCUCUUUGAUUCUGAUUCAUCUUCUUCAGUAUCACCUCGAGGUGGUAAAACUGCUUGAGUAGCUCCAUCUUUAUCACCAUCAUGAUUAGCAUGCGCGGAAGAAUGCUCUAGAGCAUUGUCCGAUUCUGACAUACCAAGAGAUCUAACUCUCUUUGUAGGAUUCGAAAGCCCGGUCACAGUAAAAGGCAGAGACAUCCUUUCUUGACCAUCAAGUUUCCACUCCAUAUUGUGUUUUCCAUCUGAAUCAGCAUCAGCUCUAUCAUAUGUUUCAUUGGUUUCAACAAUUUCUGAUUUCUCAUCAUUUGAAGGUGGUGAUCCUCGCCGACUAGAAUGUGGUUUUACAUGAUUAUGAUUACCCGUAUAAAUAAUUUCUGUUAUAUGGCCGUCGUGCGAUCUUUCCACCUUUUUCUUGACUUGACAAUUAGCCUGAGUACAUUUAUAGUAGCUUCUUGGAUAAUCACUUCCUUUGACCUGUUUUUGUCCAUACUUUCUCCAAUUAUAACCAUCCUCUAAGGUUUUUGCUCCUGUUGCAUGAGUCAUCUCUUUAUGCUCAUCCUCUAAAUCAGGUUUUUGUCCAAUAUCAUCGUCGUUGAUAGAAUUUUCAGGCAAAGUGCUUUCGUCGCUAGUUUCUUCGGAACAAGAGAUUGGCAUGUCAACAUUAUUACCAUCAAUGAUCACAUCAUCUAUCAUUUUGACAUCAUUGUAGAAAUGAACUCCAUUAUUUCUAGCUGAAUAGUCAUUUGAAAAAUCUUCUGAGAAUGAAAAAUCUAACACUUGUUGAUCCUGAAAAACCAUUUGGAUGUCUCUAUGUCCUUGAGUCAUCAUAUGGCAAUUACUAGAAACCUGGUAAAUUAAAAGUAGUCAAAAUAUACAUUCAUAAAACUCACCACAUAUCUACCAUGUCUAAAUGGGAUUUUUUUUUGCCACCCUACUUAUUUUCUCGUGCGUCCUACAAAAUUACAAAAAUACCUUUAUCCGCUACUUAAGUAUUGGAACACCCUGCCAUUUUUUUUUAUAAUGUCCGCUACUCAAGUAGCGGACAGUAUUUUUCAAAAAUUUCUCAUUUUUAUAACGUCCGCUACUUAAAUAGCGGAAAAGGUGUAGAGCAGAUAGAGCGCGUGAAAAACUGAUAGGAUGACAAAAGUAAAUAUACGUCUAAAAUAGUUAACUAACACAAAGUCAUGAAUGUGUAGUUGGUUUUUGAUGGUGAAAAAUGGUUUUGAAUAAAUUUUCAUUGAAAAUGAGUUUAGUGGAUAGUUGUGUAUGUUUCGAUAUAUAAAAUAAAUAAAACUAUUUUUAUUCAUUUUUGAAUAGUUUGGAUCAAAAUUUAUUUGAGUGUGAAUAUAUAUUGCCAUGNNNNNNNNNNNNNNNNNNNNNNNNNNNNNNNNNNNNNNNNNNNNNNNNNNNNNNNNNNNNNNNNNNNNNNNNNNNNNNNNNNNNNNNNNNNNNNNNNNNNNNNNNNNNNNNNNNNNNNNNNNNNNNNNNNNNNNNNNNNNNNNNNNNNNNNNNNNNNNNNNNNNNNNNNNNNNNNNNNNNNNNNNNNNNNNNNNNNNNNNNNNNNNNNNNNNNNNNNNNNNNNNNNNNNNNNNNNNNNNNNNNNNNNNNNNNNNNNNNNNNNNNNNNNNNNNNNNNNNNNNNNNNNNNNNNNNNNNNNNNNNNNNNNNNNNNNNNNNNNNNNNNNNNNNNNNNNNNNNNNNNNNNNNNNNNNNNNNNNNNNNNNNNNNNNNNNNNNNNNNNNNNNNNNNNNNNNNNNNNNNNNNNNNNNNNNNNNNNNNNNNNNNNNNNNNNNNNNNNNNNNNNNNNNNNNNNNNNNNNNNNNNNNNNNNNNNNNNNNNNNNNNNNNNNNNNNNNNNNNNNNNNNNNNNNNNNNNNNNNNNNNNNNNNNNNNNNNNNNNNNNNNNNNNNNNNNNNNNNNNNNNNNNNNNNNNNNNNNNNNNNNNNNNNNNNNNNNNNNNNNNNNNNNNNNNNNNNNNNNNNNNNNNNNNNNNNNNNNNNNNNNNNNNNNNNNNNNNNNNNNNNNNNNNNNNNNNNNNNNNNNNNNNNNNNNNNNNNNNNNNNNNNNNNNNNNNNNNNNNNNNNNNNNNNNNNNNNNNNNNNNNNNNNNNNNNNNNNNNNNNNNNNNNNNNNNNNNNNNNNNNNNNNNNNNNNNNNNNNNNNNNNNNNNNNNNNNNNNNNNNNNNNAACAGAAAAGGUGUAGAGCAGAUAGAGCGCGUGAAAAACUGAUAGGAUGACAAAAGUAAAUAUACAGUCUAAAAUAGUUAACUAACACAAAGUCAUGAAUGUGUAGUUGGUUUUUGGUGGUGAAAAAUGGUUUUGAAUAAAUUUUCAUUGAAAAUGAGUUGAGUGGAUAGUUGUGUAUGUUUCGAUAUAUAAAAUAAAUAAAACUAUUUUUAUUCAUUUUUGAAUAGUUUGGAUCAAAAUUUAUUUGAGUGUGAAUAUAUAUUGCCAUGUCUGUAGGCUGUAGGACUAGCACAUUUGGUUCCGAAGAAGGAAAUUCAAGCUUAUACUCAUUUUCCGAAAGGUGGGGUAAAUAUGAGAAUUUUUUUUUUUUUUUUUAUAAUCAAAUAUGAGAAUUGAUUUUAUGUCACAACAAAAGCUAGAAAUCUAAGUGUGUUUGGUAAAUGGGUUUUACACGGUAUGAUGAACCGAAAACAUGAUUUUAGUGUGUAUGGUUGUGGAACCAAACAUAGUUCUGUUGGAAUUAACCUAGUGUCACCCUUAGGAUUUGAUGGGUUCAACAUUUCAACCCAUGGCGCUUAGCGCAACCCUUAAAGAACUCUAAACGAAAAGUAUAUUAAUUUGCGCUCUCACUAACAACAAUUGCUUUUGGUGUAGUGGUAAGCGUUUGGUCUUACAAGUGGUAUUGGAGUAAGGUCACGGGUUCGAAUCCCUCGGCUAACACUGGGGGGGGAGAGAUUGUCGGAAUUAAUUAAGUGUCACACUUAAGAUUUGAUGGCGCUUAGCACAACUCCUUAAAGAACUCUAUACUGCGUCUACCCUUAGGAUUCGAUAGGCUUAACAUGCCAACUCAUGGCACUUAGCCCAGCCCCUUAAAGAACUCUACACUAUAAGUAUAUUAAGUUGCGCACUCACUAACAACAAUUGUUUUUGGUGUUGUGGUAAGCGCUUGGUCCUACAAGUGGUAUCAGAACAAUGUCAUAGGUUUGAAUCCCCCGACUGAUACAUGGGGGAGAUUAUUGGAAUUAAUCCAGCGUCACCCUUAGGAUAUGUUGGGCUUAACGUCCUAACUCAUGGCACUUAGCACAACCCCUUAAUGAACUCUAUACUAUAAGUAUAUUAAGUUGCGCCGUCAGUAACAAUUGUUUUUGGUGUAGUUGUAAUCGUUUGGUCCUAGAAGUGGUAUCAGAGCAAGUUCAUGGGUGCGAAUUAUCCCUUGCCUGACACUGGGGAGAUUGUUGGAAUUAAUCCAGCGUCACCCUUAGGAUUCGAUGGGCUUAUCAUCCCAAUCCAUGAUGCUUAGCGCAACCCCUUAAAGAACUCUAUCCUAUAAAUAUAUUAAGUUGCGCCCUCACUAACAAUUGCUUUUGGUGUAGUGUCGUAAGCGCUUGGUCCUACAAGUGGUAUCAAAGCAAGGACAUGGGUUCGAAUCCCCCGACUGACACUAGGGUGGAAUUUGUUGGAAUUAAUUCAGCGUCACCCUUAGGACUCGACGGGCUUAACAUCUCAACUCAUGGCGCUUAGCGCAAUCCCUUAAAGAACUCUAUACUAUAAGUAUAUUAAAUUGCGCCAUCACUAACAACAAUUGUGUUUGAUAUAGUGGUAAGCUAGGAAGCACCGACACUCCUCGAAUUAGGCGUGUCCGUGUCGGACACGUGUCGGUGUCCGUGUUCGACACCGACACUUAUGAUUACACUAAAUUAUGUCAUUUUCCAAAUUUUUAUCGGUGUCGACGUGUCAGUGUCCGUGUCGUGUCUGGUGUUCGUGUUUGUGUCCGUGCUUCAUAGGUGGUAAGUGCUUGGUCCUACAUGCUCAACUAUUGAAAAAGGAAUGCAUAUGGUGCAAUAACACACCAAGCAUCAACAAUUUAAUAUAUAAAAAAUUCACAAGGCUAUGAUAAAAAGUAGGAAAAAAAAACAAUAAAACCUUUGGUUUUGUUUAAUGAACAAUUAAAAUACACAAGACUACCUCAUUAAGAGAAUCAUAAUAUGGAGACAAAGAAUUAGGAUCCAAGUUGGCUUGAGACUUGAAUUUGAAAGAGGCAGUAGGCACAUCCAAUUUCCUUUGUUCAUGUGUGACAGAAGUGAGCAUUGAUCUUUCAUCGGUUAGAGGUGGAAGCAUGGCAAAACUCCCAGUGGUGGGAGAUGGCAUGACCUAAAACACACAUAAAUAAAUAAAUAAAAAAUCAAAAUUUGUGACUUAUCGUUUAGAUCCUCAAAAUUGUAAGAAUCGAACAAUUUGAUCUAUAAAAUUAAUGAUCUUCGAUCAAGUUGGUCGAAUCAGUUCAAUCAAUUGGAAUAUAUUAAAAUUGCAAAUAGAGAUCAACAACAAUUUAAACAAAAUCUGAAAAUUUAUUCUAACUCAGCAUGACCAAAGCAACUUAUUGUUAUAUGACAUCUAAAAUGAAUUGACUAAUCAAUGUUAUUAAAUAUCGCGGCGGCUAUAGUACUAUAGCAUGAACAAAUCAUUAUUGUUUCGCGAUAUGUUGUUUAGUACAAAUUAAAAUGUUUUAACACUACUGUGUAGUAGUACUUGAUCCAUUCGCUAUUUUCUCCUAUCGACAAAAUUACGACUAAUAACCUUGAACUUCAAGAGCUAAUAAUUUGUAAUUACAUAAAUUUGAACGACUAAAAUACCAUUUCGAUAACCAGAAUGACGAUUUUUUUUAUAAUGACGAAAAUGACGAUUAAAUCAAUAGCAUGAGAUUAAAAAAAAAUGAAAAUGAGAUUCAAGAUUAUAGCCAAACCAUGGAAUUAGGGAGCAUGAUUGGGGAUUCAAGCAAAGCAGUUGGACUAAUUCCAGGUGGUAUUGUGAAACGUGCUGAUUGAGGUGCAGGAGAAACCAAAGGGGUUGUUGCACUAAAAUGAGAAAUUCUUGUGUUGAUCUUUGCAACAUUGUUAUUGAAACCCCUUCUCUCAGCAAUGCUUUUUUUGUUGUUGUCAUCGUCUUGUUCCAUUUUUGUUUCUAGGUGAUUGUUAUGGUGAAAUUAAACUAACAAAGAAAAAAGAGAGAGAAAAGAAUUGAAAAUGUUAAAAUACGAAAAUGAAUGUUUUAAUGUCGAUGUUGAUGGUAGGGUUCGGUUCAGCUCCAGAGGAGUGGAGCUGAAACCAAUGAAAGUGAGAAUUUUCAAGCUUAUUCUGCAAUGCAAAUCUUUAUUUCCCCCAUACACCAGUACAAAAAAAAAACAGCACCUCACACCAUAUAUAAAUAUAAGUAAAGAAUAUAAAUGAAGUAAGAUAAUAAUAUUUUAACUAAAUUAAUUUUUAUUUCUCAAUUUUUUUUAUAAUUUUUAUCAAGCAUUUUCUCCGUACUAUAUUAUACGUCCAAGUACAAUGCACAUAAAUUAAAAAAAUAUAUAAUUAAUUUUGUAUAUGAUAAAGAAAAAUAAAAAUUGUUGAAAAAAAGUUUGACUAAUAAAUAAUAAUUAGUAUAAUACAAAAAUAAAAAUUAAUGCAUCAUUAAUAUUAUAAAAUGACUUUUUUUUGCUAUAAUGAUACAUAAUAAUUAUUUUUUUACGAAAAUACAUAAUAUUAAUUACACGAUACAAUUGAGAAAAAUUAAUAUUACGUUGAAAGAUAUAUUUAAAUUUCACAUUCUUAUAUUAUUGCCUAAAAUAUCUCAAUAAAUAUUUACUUACAAGUUAUUCAUAUGUAAAAGAAAAAAAGUUUUAUACUAUCAUUAAUCUAUAAUAGUAAAACAUCGACUUUUUUUUUCUUCUUACCUAUAUAUCAUUUUUUGACCAAACAAUAAUAAUAAACUAUUCCUUCUAAAACAAAUCAAACUUUAAAGAUUUAGUCCAAUAAUAAAAAGAUAGGUCUUCGGUCUAAGAGAUCUCAAAUUCGAGUUCCGUUAAUAUCUUUGAAUUAUAAAAUUUUCUCUAAUUACUCCGGUCACUUUGAAUUAAUAAAAAUGUCCUCUAAAACAAAUUAAUUAAGUUUUCUACUUAUUUUUUAAAAUAUGAAGGACCAUUGUCAAAAAAAAAUGAAGGGCCAUUGUUAAUGUAUAUUGUAGUUUUUACAUGUCUUAAUAAGAGAGAAUGAAGCAUAAGUGUUGGUUGUAGUUACUACACAUCACAGGUGAUAUGAGAUCAAUUGUUAUGGAAAAAGUGACAUGUGAAAAAUCACAAACUAACAAACAUACCACAUGUUGCCAACCUUAAAACAACACACUUUAUAUAUGAAAUUUAGUUGGUGUUCAUCAAAUCUAUUAGCAACCAUUUUCGGAUCUCCACUCUUAUAGAUUUAAAUCUCAACAUUUAAGGUCCUAAUUGAUUUUCAAACAAAUUUAUUCUUAAGUAUAAUAUCAACAAAAAAAAAAAAAACUUAAUUACGACUUAUACUAAUAAACUUAUGUAUUGUUGUGAGUGUUAUGUCUUAUCUCUUUUGGUGUCUUCUAAGUCAUAUCACAAUUUUAUUAAGGUAUAUCACUUUUUCCUUGCUAUUGUUUAAAUUACCAUAUACAUGGAUGGCUUCACAUUGCAAUAUUUGGCCUUGUCAUAUAUAAAAAAAAUUCUAUGUGUAUUUUCAAUUUUAAAGAGAAAGAAUUGGUCAAAAAAAUUAAAAAGAAAGAUUAUUCAAUUUUAAAAAAAGGCCUUGUCAUAUAUAAAAAAUUUCUAUGUGUAUUUUCACUUUUAAAAAAAAAGAUUUGGUCAACAAAACAAAUUAAAAAGAAGGAUUAUUCAAUUUUUAACUUUUUUAAAAUAGGGAAUUGAGAUAUUGUUAUUAAAACUAAAUUAAUACUAAUGGGUUUUCUAAAACUAAGGUUAUAUUCAAGUUUGACCGUUAAAACAAAGAUUUAAAGAGGAGGACAAAUAUGAAUACAUACAGAUUUAUUAUUUUAAAUUUUAGGAAUAUUUAUUAAAAAAAAUAGGAAAAUUUAUCUUCUUAUUUUCACAACUUUUCUGUAGAGUUUUUAAGGAAAGACUCAUAGUGACUCUUAUGUCAUACUUAAAUGAUGAGAUUGCCCUUAUGAAACAAUUACAUAUAUCUUUGUAAAAUUAAUUUUAAAAUUUUAUAAAUCAAGUAAAAAUAAAAAAGUAAAUUUUUUAAUAUCUAUAUUUAAUAUUAGAUUAUAACUUUUGUAUAUUUUAUAGCGAUAAAUCAAUAAUUUUGUUUCUUAUCAUACUUUGCUGGUUUCUAAUCCAACUCAUAUUCAAGAUAAGAAUUAUAACUAUAUAUGGAGGCAGGAUAAAGCAAACUCAACACAUUUCACCCAAUUCUUUGAUCGGGUUUUGACUUCUCAGAUGCUAGGAAGUUGUGCUACUACAACAAAAGUGUGUUUUGGCUUCAAAAAUUCUAGCGUCAGCCGCGACACGGACGCUACUAGCGUCUCCAUUGUGUCUGUUGGGCGGACUCUACAUCUUUUUUCAAUUUAAUUUAAAUUUUUAAUGAGCCAUUAAAUAUAGCGUCUGCCAAAGCAGACGUUACUUAGGAGCUACAGAAAUUAAAAAUACAAAAAUAUGUUAGUGUCUAUAGUGGCAGACGCUAAAUAGAUCAAAUUAAUAAAAAUUACAGUAUAUUAUAAAACACUUAAAUUAAUAAAAAUAAAAAUAUUAGUUUUCGCCAACAAUUAUCUUCCCUCUCUGAUGAACUAACCCUCAAUCUCACAAACCCUCAAUCUUCCUUUGAUACUUUAAUGAGUAUAUUGGUAGAGAUUUUAUAUUGUUGUGAGAAAUUUUGGUCGUAAACUAUAAAAGAUAAUAAUUUUUUGAUGUAUUUUUAGAAAUACAGGAUAGGUUCCUUUCUAGGAUGAGUUUUUGAAAUUAAAAAAUAAAAAACAAAAGCGUCUGCUUUAGCGGACGCUAUAUAAUUCAGAAACUAAAAUAUAGCAUCUAUUUAGAGCAGACGCUACAUUUAGCGUCUGUCAAGCGGACUCUAAGGGUAACGUUUUAUAACACCAAUAUAUAUGUGUAGCGUCACCCAAAAACCGAAGCUAUUAGCGUCUGCCUCAUAUACAUGUCACUAGCUUCCGCUUAGCAUCUAAUGGGACGGACGCCAAAUAGCGUCUGCUGGACGCAACUGUCUAGCUUUGGGCAUUUAAGUGUCUGCCACGAUGUAGACGCUAAGCUGACGCUAAGUACCUUGUAGCGUCCAUUUUUUGCCAUUUAGCGUCUCUUUGUGGCUGACGCUCCAGAGCAGUUUUCUUGUAGUGUCUCUAUUUGUGGAUCACCGCGCCUNNNNNNNNNNNNNNNNNNNNNNNNNNNNAAGGAAAUUCGCCUAACCAACCAAGCUGGAUGCUAUUGUACAUGAGGAGGUAGAGGCUGAGGGAGAGAGGACAUCAAACUUGGUCGCAAGUAUGCGCGAGAUCCGACAACUAAUAUAGGCACUGAUGGCUAGCGGUGAGAUACCACAAGGCUCUCGUCCUUACCUUACUGUGCAACAGGUCGAGAGGUACACCAUGAGGUCUUCCUGUUAUCGUAGGAGGGGUAGAAGGGGUUCGUUUAUGCAGCGAUGUUGUGUGCCUGUAAUAACUUUAGGAUAAUAAUCAAACCUUAAUAGUCAAAGAGUCUGUACAUGUUGCGUUUGACGAAUCUUACCUCGAAAAGAACAAGAAAGGUAGUUUUGGUUUUGAUGUUUCAAGUAUUUUGACCAAGGAAAUUUUCAAAGAUUGCACCCAUAAUGACACGAGAAAGUUGAACAAGAAACCUCUCCAAAAGCUUGUCACGGUUGGGUUGUCACAAGAGACCACUCCUUAGAAAAUGUACUAGGAGAUAUAAGAAAGGAAGUAAGUAAAAGGUUACAUGUAACCAAUUUUUGUGAUUUUUGCACUUUCAUUUUGCAAAUGGAACCUAAAUCCAUUAAGGAAGCUAUAAUUGAUGAGGGGUUACUUGCAAUGCAAGAAGAACUAAACUAAUUUAAAAGAAAUGAGUUUGGGAUUUAGUACCACAACCUCGAAACCAUACGAUUAUAGGCACUAAAUGGGUCUUUAGGAAUAAGCAAGAUGAAAAUGGGAUCAUCACUAGGAAUAAAGCUUAAACUCGUAGCCAAAUGAUAUAAUCAGGAAGAGGGAAAUGACUAGGAAACUUGUGCUCCUGUAGCCCGCCUUGAAGCGAUUAGAUUACUUUUUGCAUACGCUAGUUGUUUGGAUUUUAAAUUGUAUCAAAUGAAUGUAAAGUUUGCUUUCUUAAAUAGUUUGAUAAAUGAGGAAGUUUACGUUUCUCAUACCCCUAGGUUUGAGAACCAUGAGUACCCGGAUACAUUUUUAAACUCAAGAAAGCGCUACACAGUCUUAAACAAGCUCCUAGAGCUUGGUAUGAGAUGUUAAGCAAAUUCUUGAUUGAAAAAUGUGGUAAAGUAGACAAUACUCUCUUUAUUAAGCGUAGAGGAAAGCAUUCCCUACUAGCUCAAAUAUAUGCGAAACUAUGUGAAAAACAAACUAUGGAGAAUUUAGAUCCCUUCUAUCUCUCUAACUUCAUCUUCUACUUCACACUCAAAACCUCCAUAACCAGAUGGGGCGGCCCUAUGCCAUGUGCAACAUGUGUCAUGGUAUAGGGCCUCUUAAAAAGUCUUAAAAAUAAGGGUCUCAAAAAAAUAUGUGAUAGUAGUAUUAGUAAAUUAGAGGGUGUAAAAAUUAAUUAUAUUACAGCAAAUAGUAAGGUCCAAUAAUCAAGCCCAAUAAAAAAAUUUAAUGGCUUAUCAUUGAUAGCAAUUGAGAAUCAUCUCUUUGAGGACAUAUAAUAUAAAAACUUGUGACCAAAUUUACUUUUUAGGUUCGAUCAUCUUUAUAACAAAUUUAAAAUAACAUCAAUAAUAUAAAAAAAAUAGUCAAUCAUCUUUAUAACAAAUUUAAAAUAGUCAUUCAUCUAUUUAAUUUGUACUAUCUUAUUAUCUAAAAUAUACCUAAAAAAUAGUCAAUCAUCUUUAUAAUAAAUUUAAAAUAUACAAUGAACCUAAAAUAUGCUUUUUAGGUUCAUUAUAUAUUUAAUGUAUUUUAUCCAUAUUAUCGGCCAAAUACAUUAAAUAUAUAAUGAACCUAUAAAGUGUAGUUUUAUCUAUAAACUGUUACAAAGAAAGCAAAUAGCUAUAAUUUUUGACACGGGCCUCCGAAUUGUUGGACCUGCCCCGACAAUAACCCACUUCUCCAACCUCACAAAAAUUCAAACUUUAACCAAACCUUGCCAUGUUUUCUCUUUAGACCCCACGGUUCUUUUUUCCCCUGGAAUUUACUUUUUUUGUCUUUUAAUAAAAAAUUCGAUUUCUGUUAACUGAAUUUUUCCUGAAUUUGAACUAGAAAAAAUUUUAAUUUCUGCGAACCGAAGUUUUUAGCAAGAAUAAAAUUGAAAUAUUUAGAGUAUAAAAAAUACAUGCAAAGUCCAGACAUAGAACCUUGCCUCCAAUCACUAAACCUUCAUAACAUAACUUUUCAUUCUCUCAACCUUUUUCCCCUAACUCUCAACUUUCUGAAUUUUUCGUUUCUCCUCACCUUCAACAAGGGCACGCUUUUCAUUGCUAGCAAACGACAAAGAGCCACAUCUUCACAGGUACGGUAAACUGUUUCAUAAUCAAUUGAUUGAUGCUCAGCAUUUCUGCAAAAUUAGUCUCAUGAGUAGUUAAUUGAAUUUCAAGGACUGGUUAAAUUUAUUGAAUGCUCUGAGAAAUUCCAAGAACAAUAUAUAUGUCAAAGCUUUUUGCUGUAAUUUGGAAAAGGGUCCUAGGGAUAAAGGAUUAGUCUUUAGGUUGCAAAAUAGGACUAUUACUCUUAGCCCUGCUGAUUGGUCAUGAUUUCUAGAGUAGUGAAGCUUCAAGGGGUUUUGAAUUUUGAUAGAAAGGUUUUUAUUAUGGAAAUUUCCAAACCAUUUCUGAAUAGCAAUGUGGUUUCUCCUAGGUCUCUAGAUGUAGUAUUUAAGAGGAUUGGUUUUGUCAUCCAAAAGGGUUAUCGGCGCAGCUUGUUGCACUUUUGCCUUUCAUUCAAGUAUGAUUAUCUUACAUAUAUAUAGGACCCGUUUGGAUUGGCUUAUUUUGUUAGCUUAUACAAAUAAAUAAGAUUUUAUGUAUUAUUAUUAUUAUAAGCUUUUCGCGGUAGUUUACGAAAACACAACUUAUAAAAAUACAAUUUUUGUCGGUGAAAACUUAUGAAUUAACAUAGAAAUUUAUUUAUUUACAUAAGCUAUUUUCAUAAGCUCAAAAAUAAGCCAAAUCCAAAUGGGACCCCAUAAUAUAUAUGCAGUGUUAUGUCUGAAAAACAAAGUUUGGAACCAGAAACCGGUUAGUCAGUUAAAGAAAGAGGUGAGAGAAUGGUACUGGUAGUUAACCAAGAUUAUUGAUCCUAGGAAGGCUAACUUUUCUCGGGUUAAGGAUAAUGACGUGAAGUUGCUCUAGAUACUGUGGUGAAUUUUGGCGAACCAAUACGUGAGAGUACCGUGAACUGGUACACACGAAUUGGUUUGCGUUGUUCAGGGUAGUGGAUGAAUUAUGUUACUAUGGAACAAACCGCUAUUUUCUGCACUUCGCUAUUGGCAGUACUGAUAGCUAUACAAAUCUAGCUACUGUUUUGUGAUAAGUUCAUUUUUGUUUAUCAUGGAAAUUUUCAGAAUCGUCUGUUUCUUUUAUCCUAAUUCAGUGUGAGCAAGCUAUUCUUGGAAACUAAGUGCUUUGGAUGAUUUGAAGUUAUUGGGUGCGUUCACAUGUAGUCAUUUUCUUGUAUAUAAUUCAUAUGGUUUAUUGGAAUGUUUUAUUUCAUAUUGAUUAUUUGGCGAGCUUUGCUGACUGUGAUAUAUUGAUUUGAUUCUUAUUUUUUCCUCCAAUGUUGUCUCCAAAUCGAAUCACAGGUAUAACAUGUCUGAGAAUCCAGUACAGGCCUUAUUUCAUAACUUCGAGCAAGUCGCAAAUUUUGUUCAACAUCAUGUAUCUAAUUUCAUAGGCAAUAUCCAAUCAUCAGGACCCUCUGGUAGAGGCUCCGUCAAUGCCUCCAUCAAAGUUCCAUUUGCAAAAACUACAUCUUCUGUACAACCUAUUGAUGCUGUUCUCAAGGUAUCCGUCAUCAAUGGCUUGCAAUCUUAAUUUUUUGAUAUUUUUAUCACGAAUCUUGUACUAGUGACCGUGGUUAUAAAAUAUUAAUGUGUGUGAGUAAGUAUUAAGGAUGUGUUGAGUAUUGUGUUGGUUAGGGGCUAUACGAUUGUCUUUUAGAAAGGAUGUGUUAGCAAGGUUCAUCUUGUGCCUUAGCUUCUUUGAUUCAAUAAUAAUAAUAAUAAUAAUAAUAAUAAUAAUAAUUAUAGUUCAUUAUUCCUAUGCAAAGAUAAAAUAAAAUAAUGCAUUUAUCAUUUUUAUUAGGAGGGUUGGAGGUGAUGCAGAACUUAAUACUUAUGAUUACCAUUUCCUGGCGGUAUUGUAGGAAGUUUUAAUCCAUUUAUCUCAGUUCAUAUACUGUUUUCUAUAGCUAACUUGGUUUUAUUUCUUCUAGAAAAUCAAACAAUACAUUAGGCUUUUAUAUAUUUUCUUUUUAUGGCUUACUUGAAAUCUAAUUGUUGCAUUAAUCGGGAUUAUCAAGAAUGAAGUUUUAUGUAGUGAAGGAUAUCUUGACUAGUUGAGGGAAGAAUGCUUCAGUAGCACUAGCACAUAUCCUAGAGUUACAAAUUUUAUAUAUGUUUCAAUGUUUUUAUGCAUUUUACUAUAUUUAUUAUUGGAAUAUAUGUAAACAUAGUGAUCUAUGAAGCACAAACACGGACACCGGACACGACACCGACACUGACACGUCGACACCGAUAAAAAUUUGAAAAAAUGACAUAAUUCAAUGUAAACAAAGUGUCGGUGUCGUGUCGGUGCACUAACGCAUGUCCAACACCGGGACACGCACACACCUAAUCCGAGGAGUGUCCGUACUUCAUAGAUAGUGAUUAUUUGUAAUCCAUUUAGAGAAUUUCUAUGGAGUCAAAUACUUUAUUAAUCAAGGAUUCAGAUGUGAAGUAUAUAUUUAUGCAUAUGUAUUGUCUUGGUAGGGUAAAUCAUCUUCCCCAGUGACUAAAGAAGAGCUUGGAAGGUCAACAUGGACCUUUCUUCACACUCUUGCUGCUCAGGUUUUGUUAUUGAUAUUGUUCUGAUACUAUUGAUUCUUCUCCCAUUCUGAGAAUUGGACAGAUAUUUUAGUGAGUAGUGACCAUUUUCUCCCAUUCUUGUUGAUGCUAUUGCCUGUUAACUGCUUUAGCUAGGAUUAGGAUCUUCUUUCAGCAAAUUUAACUUUGUAUUUGUAUUAAUUUUUCUCAUGGUUAAUCACUAAGAAUAAUUGUAUCAGGAGCCAUUUUUUCGUUAUCAUGGUUUUCUACCAUUUGUUUACUGAAGUUGCAAUAACUUCAAACUUUUUGUUUCCUUCAGUUCCUCAACCACGCUAAUGGAUUACUAGUUCUUCUUAGUUGAUGGCUUUCAACUUCCAACUCUUUACAUGCUGUUACUUUCAUCUACAAAGUUGAUGUGUUUUAUGUCACACAUAAUAUAUAUUAUUUGUCACUUUUGUACACGAGGAUGUUUUGUAGGGAAAACUUAGUUAAUCUUUUCCUUGUUUAUGUGGUCAACAAGUUUGAUUUUGAUGUGCUUAGCCAACUGAAACGACAAAAUGAAAAUUUUGACUUUUUUAAAUACUGAGUUCUUUUUUUUGACAACUUAAAUACUGAGUUCUGAACAACCUAGUUUGUAUUUUCAGUAUCCAGAUAAUCCGACAAGACAACAGAAGAAGGAUGUUAAAGAACUGGUAUUUUCUCUCCCUCCUGUUUCCCUUGUUAUAAAUCAUAGAAUUUCAUAUCGUCAGAAGUUAGAUCACACCAAGGACUUAUUUGAGUAUUGUAAAUAAUAGUAGACUGCAAAUCUAUAUGUACAGUAACUGUAAGAGAAAUGUUCAAGUUUCUUAUUUCUUUUUAUUGUUUGACCUGUCCUUAAAUUUAGCUUCUUGGCUCAUUUAGGCUUAAAUGCAGUUUUGGGCCUAAUAUGUGUUACGUGAGUGCUGACUUUUCAACAACUAAAUCUUGCUGACAUUAUUUUGUAUCAUCAUGGUUAGCUUUAUUUUGUAUUAUGGUUGGCCUUCUUUUGUCUCACCAUGAUUUAUUAUAUUACCAGUUUAUUUAUCCCUUACACGAAUCUCAAGUUACUGGUUUAAAACAUUAUGUUUUCUGUUUUAUUCAUUUUCUGUUUCCACAAUUUUCUAGAUUAUACACAAGUUUCUGCUUUCUCCAUUAUGUUUUUUUUUGUUUUAUACACAAAUUUCUGUUUAUAAGAAUAGAGUGUGAUGUAGAUUCAGGACACAUAUAACUAUAUGUAUUCAGGACACCAUUACAUUCGGGUUGAUAAGAACAGUAUGUAUUGCAGAUUCCGGACACAUGUUUCUGUUAUAUGUGCCGUAUCUUUUUGGUCGAAACACAAGUUUCUGUUUGUUUACUAUUAAAACACCAUUAUAUAGAUUACAACACCACCCUAAACAUGAACAUCCUCUGUGGCACGAUUGCAUCUCAACUUCUACCUAGUAAAAAAAUUGCAUCUUUUAACCCCUGAAUCUGCAUUAAUCAAUCCAGAGCUGAGUUAUGGGAAUGGACUUGCAUCUGCACAAGUCAUACCCAGAGAACUAGAAAUGCAAAAAGAAUUAUACCCAGAAAACCAUUAAUGAUUAAUCUAUACCUUAAAAAGACAACACCCAUAAAACCUAUUUCCAAGAUUUUCAUUCAUACCGUCUUCAAUGGUGACUCGAUUCCAAACCAGCAGCACAUCCUUCUUUUUUGCAAGUUUGACUUAUCAGUUGUCACCAAAGUUGCGAAAAACAUGAGGGUGGGGGGCCAAAGUUGCAGAUUUACUAUAUAAUAGGGGGCCCCAAAACUGCAUUUAACAUAAGCAAUAAUAUUGCUGUACAAAAUAUGUAUACAUAUCAUUAAGUCAUGUUCAAGUUAAAAAAAUAUUGAGUCAUGCUCUAAAUUUCUGAUGUGGCUGCUUCUAACAACUGAUGACAUUCACGAAUAUAAUACACUGUGUCGAAAUUUCCUCCAUAUAAUAGUAGUAGAAUAUGCAUUGUGUUAUCCUUGUGGAAUAUAAAAUACUUAUAUUUGCACCACAGGUACAGAUCUUGUCUCGAAUGUACCCUUGCAUGGAAUGUGCAGAUCACUUUAAAGAAGUUCUUAGGUAUAUUAAUCUUUCACCUUUUGAUUGAUCAGAAUUGUUUGUGUUGGUUUUUCUCCCUUUUUUUAUCCAUUUAAUUUGUCAUUUUUGUUUAGACUGUCAAACUAUCACUUUAUAUAAAUUUUAUUUUAGUAUGAAUGGACAAUAAAUGAAUACCCUUGAUUCUAUGAAGCAAAGACACAGACACAGCAUGGACACUGACAUGUUGGCCCCGAUAAUAAUUUGAGAAUAUGACAUAAUUCAAUGUAAUAAAAUCUAGCAUUGUCUAUAAAAUUGAUCUUAUUUCAUCAUGAUUUUCCUAUAAUAUUCAAAAAGUACAAUCCAGUCUUACAUUUUUGUUGUCGAACAAGAUCGAUUUGGAAAAAUACAAGUGUGAGAUAGAUUGAUGAAAGCAUUUUAAAUUAGCAUCCACAAACCCAUGCCUUAUUUACAACAGAUUAGACCAACAAAAUUGAGGAGACAAUUCUGUUUCACUAGUAUUAGUAUUGUUUGAGUUGGCUUAACUUCUAAUUGUUUUACUAAUAUGUUGUGACUUAAUUGUCUUUGCACUUCAAUAUAGUAGCUCUUAUGGAUCUUAAAUAUAGUAGCAUGUUUCAGACAGACACAUGCUGCGGUUUCCACUUGUUGCACUGCUAUGUUACAAUAACAACAACAAAACCUAUCUUCACUAGGUUGGGCUGGGAUGUUGCACUGAUAUGUUAUUAUGUUUGUUAUCUACAUUUUUUAAUAUACAUGAGCUCUUACAUGAGUCCUCCUUGAUAUGUUUGUCAGAUCAAAUCCUGUUCAGGUUGGGUCACAUGCUGAAUUUUCACAGUGGCUAUGUCAUGUGCAUAAUGUUGUCAAUAGAAGGUAAGUUAUGUACCAUUUUCUCUCUAUCGUGUUAAUGCCGACUAUAAUUGCUGUUAUCUUUUGACAUAGAUCUCAAACCUUUUUUUUAUCUCCGAGUUUGUCGACCAUGUUUAGUAUUUUGAUGGGCAUGUCUUGGUAAAAAAACUUAAUGAGCCUCUACUGAUCAACCUAAGCUUUUAGGGGUUGGUUUAUAUGUAGCAAAGACAAACACCGAUACUGCGUCUUAACGGAUAAUAGUUUGUGAAAAUGAAAUAAAUGUAACCAUAUGUGUUAGUGUGAACUGGUGUUGGACAUGACAUGUUUCCCUCAGACACCGAGCACGCCUUAUUCUGAAGUGUCAAUCAUACCUACAUAGAUUGUUGUUUCUUGUAGUGUAAUAACUUGCCGUAAGUUGUAUCCUAUGACGCUGACAUUGUUUUAACAGCAUUGGCAAACCAGUGUUCCCCUGUGAACGAGUUGAUGCAAGGUGGGGAAAACUGGAGUGUGAGCAGAAAGCGUGCGAAAUUAUUGGAAGCACAUCAAUUUUUGGGAAGAUAUAGCAGUUAUUUAUUUUAACAAAAUAAUAGGCAUUUAUACAAUACAAGCUACGUAUUAAAUUCGAACUAAGUUUUUUGCACCGGAGUAUGUAAGUAAAUUAUAUGUGCAAAGAUGAAAUUUCAAUCCAGGAUUUUAUUUGGAGGUCAAGAUGAGCGAUAUAGAUUAGUGUUUUUCAAAAUUAUUUUCUGUUUUCUAUGAUUAAUUGGAUGCAAUCAUACACAUAACUCUACCAUUAUCCACUACUUUGUAAUAACAUAACUCUUGUUCUUGCAAUUCUCAAUAAAACUAUGUUUUUCUUGUUUAGUUGAGGUCUUUUUUUAUCAUUGCCUUUAAUUAUUUUCUAUUAUUGUUCAUCAUGACAAUGAGUGAGUAGUUUUAUUUGUCUUGGAAUUAUGGAAUAUAGUUCAAUUGAUAAACUUUCCAUAAUUCGAAUUCCUCUCUUUCGUUAUGUAAUUUCAAAACCAUCUAAGGUCAAUCUUAUUGUGAAUAAACAUCAUUUUUAAGUAUGUUAUUAUAGGUUUAUGAUUUUUCAAUAUUUUUAAAUACCAAUGAAGUUCCGAAUAGAGAAAGUUGGUAUUGACAAAUAGAGGCUCUUUUUAUAAUUUUACGCAUCAAAUGACUGUAAAUUUAUAAUUUAUUAUUCCCUCCGUCCUUUUCGGUAAAAACCUUUUACAAAAUCACACUGGUAUUAAGAAAAGUUGUUGGAUUAAUAAUUUUGUCAUAAAAAUGUGUUACUAUUAUUAAAUUACCCUUGUAUAUUAAUACAUUUAUUGUUCAUUUUUUAUAUUCCAAGACAACUUGAUAAUAUUAAUAAGGGUGUGUUUGAAAUGCAUCUAAAAAUAUUUGUAAAGGAUCUAAUAUUUAGAGACACUUUUUUUUAAAGAGCCUUAUAAUUAAGGAUCGAGGGAGUAUUAAUUUUAAAUUAAAAAAAAAAAAUCAACUUUGAAUCUAGAUAAUUCACAGUGAAAUGAGUCUCAUGAAUUAAAUAUGACUAUAUAAUCAUACAUUUCGAUAACAAUUAUUGUUGGUAUUGGUUGAAAAUAUACACGUGAAAAAGUAUUGAUUUUCCCAAUAAAUAAUACCAACAAUGUAUAUCCAUUAGUAUAUCUUACAAAGAAUAAUAUCUUCUUUUUUUAUGUAUUAAAUAUGACAAUUUAAAUCAUGCAUGUCUCCCCUCGCUUUAAAUUUCUGUAACAAAAAAAAAUUAUACAUAUCAUGUGAGAAUGAAUAUUAUAUAUGAUUGAAAUAUAAAUUGAUUGCAAAUUUUAACUCAUGUUAUUUUAUUUUUACGAAACUCCUAUUACAUUUAUUUAUAUAUUAUUAAAUAACUUAUUAUAUUUGAAUAAUUGCAUAAAACUUUGUAACAUUCUAUUAUCUAAUCAAGAUAUAAUUACUUAUUUGUUUUGUCUCUCACAUAUUUUCAUCAAUUCUUUGGUAUAUCUUUUUUUUUCUUUCUUAUUUUCACACACGUGCAUAAAAAUAAUAGACGUUGAUUAUCAAAAAAAAUAAUAAUAAUAGACGUUGUUGGAAACACACGAGUACUAAAAAUUGUCAUGUCUCUAACUAUUAAUGUUCUCCCUCUAUUCUUUGCUAUAAGAGAAAAUCCACUUUUUAAGAUAAUUAAAUAAUUGAGAUCAGAUACAUUGGUUAGUCAAUGAACCUUAUAAAAAGAAAUAUAUGGAGAAUAUUAUUAUAAAGAAUACCCACGAGUGUCAAAAAUCUCUAAACCUCUAAAUAUUGACAUGAAUUGUUAUUAAAAAAUUAAAUGUCUCUCUAAAUACUUAGACAUAUGAUAUUGUAUUUAUUACUAAUAUGAUAUUGUAUGUAUUUUUAAAAAGAUUUAUGCUCAAAUGAUAAAAUCAAACGAACUGACAAAAAAUAUGUUGAGAUUUUGAAUCAUUCAAGUAGGUGAAAAUGUGCGUGUUAAAAGGAUUCGUGAUUUUCCUCAAAACUAUUUUAGCUCUAAUUUAACACGAAAGUAAUACAUAAAAAUGUAGAAUCGAUAGAGUUUAAUUAUGAUUUAAAACGAGAUUUUAACAACCUUGAGGACGGGUUUGUUCUUUCCCAUAAGCGUUUGCAAAAUUUUGAGGUUUGAACAUGCUGAUUGGGCCAGUGUGUAGAUACUAGAAGAUCAACAUUUUGUUAUUGUUUUUUCCUAGGCUCCUCAACACAGUCUAGAAGAUCUUCCAGAGUUGGAUUUAGGUUUUAUCCUUUGUGUGAACCGCAAUGACUUUUGUUCCUAUUACAAGAUUUAUGCAUCAAAUGUGCAAGAAUUCAAGUUUUAUACUACGAUAACCAACAAGGUAUUUUCAAGUUGCUUCAUAUUUCAACUUCUCAGCUCAUAAUAUUUUCACUAAGGCUUUACAACCAAAAAAAUUCAAUUCUUUUACCUCCAAGCUAUGCUUAAGUUUAACAUCUAUCACACUCUAGCUUGUGGGAGGGUGUUAAAUAUUGCCAAUCAAGUUGAUGAUACAAAAGAUAUAGCGAAGGACAAAGAAAAAAAGAGGUUUCGUAAUGAGCAAGUUAUCGAAUAGCGAGUGAUAGAUCAUGAUAUAUCUAAUGUUGUGAAGCUUGUAUCUUAAUUUUUCCUUGUAGUUAGUUAUGACAGUUCAUAGUUGAAUACAUGAGUUAGUUAUAAUUAGUUUGUAUAAAAGGGAACAAUGUAGCUCUUCCUCGCUAUGGAAUUGAAGAUCAGUUGUUUUCUCUCAUCUUUGUUUCAUGAAUUUUACAUUAUUCCACUCUUUCAUUGCCAUCUUUAUGACCCAUCCUCACGUCCAGAGUGGGUCCUUGGCCCAAUUCCAAUACUCUUGUCUUUAAUCUGGCUCGGAUAUAUCAUUAAAUAGGCUUCGGUCUUAUAAGCUAACUUUUGGGAUUAAAAUUCAAGCUCACGUAAUACUAGCCUAACUGUAAGGUUGUUAUCUUGUGAUUUAGGAGUCACAUGAUCUUGUAAACACUCUCUCCGCUUGUAAGGUAAGGCUGUGUACAUCUACCCUAUCUAUCCUCAUGAGCCUUGUGCACUAGGUCGCGCGAAUAUAAGAAGCACCAUGGCUCCAAAUUUUUAUGUUUACUCUAUAAAUUUCCCUUAAACUUGCAUAUUUCAAUUAGAGGGAAUCUUGAUAUCGAAAUUAAUCAUAACAAAUGGAAACACAUGCUUCUGUAUGUUCCAUUCAUAUCAAAAACUUGAUUAUCUUUCAUCUGAUCUCUUGUUAACAGAUUACUUUUCAGUUUCCAGUAGUAUUUGUAACAUAGUUAUGCAAAGAAAACAUAGCUGUUUCAUAAUAACUACAAUGUCAAUUCAAAUGGAUUUCUUAUUGAGGCUGCAUGUGAAUAUUCUAAUAUUCUAAUAUACAUGAUGAUAUUCAUUAUCCACAAUUUCUGUUCAAAUAUAUACUUGAAAAUUGUGAUUUAAUAGUGUUCAAAAUUGUGAUCAACUCUGUUCAGUGGAUGAUUAAUGAGUUGUGACACUUAAUUAUACUCAUUAACUAUCGAUAAACAUAACUAACCACAUAUUUUGAACUGAACCGCCUUUACUAUUUAAUUUGUUCUCGAAUUUUGAUGUGUCAAAAUAUCAUUUCUCUAAACCUAUGAAGCACAAACACUCCUCAUAUUAGGCGUGACAUGUCCGACACAACACCGACACUUAUGAUUACAUUGAAUUAUGUCAUUUUCUCAAAGUAUCAUCAGUGUCAACAUGUCAGUGUCCAUGUCUGUGCUUCGUAGCUCUAAACAUAUAUACCCCAACCAAUUUUGAAGUAAAAAUCAAGACAAUACAUUGUAUACAAUUAUCUCUCAAAAUAAAAAUCCAAGUGGUAUUAUUCAAAUACCUCAAGAACAAUUGAGUUCUACAUCAUAACAUCAAGAAUUACACAAAAUACACAACAUAUUUUUUUUCUGAUAUAUAAACUUACAUACANNNUAGUAUACCUUGAUUUGUAAGCAAUAACUGAGCUUCCUACAACAGUGAUUGUAGAUGGUGUUGCUGCUGAGGCUGUGGCCAUUUUUAUUAUCUGUGAAAUAUGAGAAAAAGUUUAGAAAAAUAUUGAAUUAAGAAAUGAAAUAGAAAUGUAACAAUAUUGGAGAUAUAGUGUUUAUGAGUGAACCUUUUUUUUGUUGUUGAAAUGUGUGUAGAGUUUGUGGUAAGGGAGUUUUGUAUAUUUUGAUUAAAAGGGGGGAAAGGAUAAGGUAAGAUGAGUAUGGUUGGUUGAUAUAAGAAGAGAAUGUGAUAGAUUUAUUGAGAUUAUAAGUGGCGUAUAACUUUACUUAGAUGUUGGCCAUCAAAUCUAUCUAGCUAUUGGAACCUAAUCACCUUGCCAAGUGCCAUGCCAACUAGGACUUUUUGUUGUCUUUUUUAUAGCCUAGAAUUUUAUUUUGUUGUGUUAUGUCACUGUGUUUCGAAGUUUGGUAAUUCAGAGCUCAGUUAAAAUAUAAGUAAAAUUUAGUUAAGAAAUGUUCAUUCAAGAAUCAAAUUCAAGUUAUUUCGAAAGAUUUGAUUUUUGGUGAAAUUUAUUAACUAUUUGAAUUCAAUUAUUAGAAAUUUGGUUAAUUGCAUCUAUUUUAUUUUAUAAUUAAAAAAAAAGUGUAUUCUUAUAAGUAACUUCCUAGAAGAUCAUACAUCUAAAGAGUGUUCUAAGUCAAGUACGUUUAGAUGUGGAGUUAUUUUGGAAUGUGCUAUAAAAAAGAAGAUGCAUCCAUCUUGUUGAUAUAGGUAGUGCAAAUUAAUUCUUACAAGUUUUUCAACCAUGAGUCUCAUACCUGCAUAGUCUCAGGAUCUCUCUCAUUCUGAUGUGAAUUUAGUUCGUUUAUGUGCCCUUUUUUUACUAGAAGUUGUUAGGAGCUACUCAUUGUUUAUACAUGCCUUGUGCACCGACAAUACUCUCUACCCUCGUCAGUCAUAGGCAUCACAAACGUUAUGUUGAUUCAAUGACGACAUACAUUAUUGUUUAGAAGUAUAAAUUUAGUGAUCUUCCUCAUUUUAUUUUAUUUUUUGACAAAAGUGGUCUUCCUCAUUUUUACAUCCGAAAUAAUGACAAUUUUUAGUAUUACAUUUGGUUAUAUUUGAAACUGAAACCAUUAAAUAUAUGUAAAUUUCCACUUUUAUUAUUUUGUUUUAUUAUAACUUAAAUAAAUAUAUUAAAUUAAUUUAAAACUUUGUUAUGGUCUCGUUUGGAUUAGCAUAUUUUUGAGCUUAUGCAAACAGUUUAUGCAAUUUUUAUGUAUUAUUAUAAUUUUAUCAAGGUAGUAACUUAUAAAGUGUUCAACCUCCACUUUUCUAAACAAUGUGGGACAUAACUACUCACACUUGCCACAACAGACAGUUGCGCAAAUCAUUCUAAUAGUUAAUAACUAAUACUGUACAAACCUUUUAGGCUAGCUCAUCAAGGCAAUAACACUGUCUUGUGAAUUGUAUGCCAUUAAAAUGUAUAGCAUUGUAUGCAAUAUCCGGAGUAGAAGAGAGAAAGAUACUAAUUUUUGGAGUAGAAGAGAAAUAUGAUGCUUUAUGAAAAAAGGUGAAGCCAAGAAAAAAUGGUAUCGAAAGUAGCAUCACUAAUAGAGAAAUGUAUUUAUGAUAAAAUAGUUUAUAAAAUAACAUAAAAUAUAAGUUAUUUCCAUAUACACAAUUUUUACUGUGCUAGAUAAAAUUAUUUUUAAUUAAAAACAAUUUUCUUUUUCUUUUUUUAAUUAAAAAAUAUAAAUAACUAUCUUUUUAUGAGAGAAACAGAAAAAACUGCAUUUAAAAAAAUACAUAUAAUUUUGUCCAAAUUAAAAUUCAAAUAACAAAAUAUUUAAUAACUUGACUUGCCCUUCAGGUUUGGGGCUAUAUAUAGGGAUCAGAUUGGUUAAUGGAGGGUGCCCAAUUGUCGUAACCAGGCUUGGGGCAAACACCCAACUUGCAUAUUAGUGCAAGACCCAACCACUCAUCAUAUCCCGUUUCUGCCUGAAGGAUCAUGGUUUUAUCAAAUGCUAAUCUUCUAUUCUUAUAGUAUUCAUUUUGUCCUUACUUCACCAUAUCAUUCGAUGUGGGACUAAGCAAACAAAUAUAUUUAUACAUAAAAUUACAUGUUUGAUCCUUCUUACUCCAAUUCAUGCUUUAGCUUAAUUUUGAAAUAAUGAUUUGGCUGUAGAUUCAUGUGUUUGAUUGGUUUGGGUUCUUUCUCAAUAAAUUCGGCCUAAUGUAUGAUAUUAGUGUUAAGUAAAGGGGUGUAGACUAUUUAACUUCAAAAAGAAUUUCGAUAAUUAGACGCAUCCAAUUAAAUCACAAUAGAUUGAGAGAAGAAUGUAUUGUGAAAGUGAGUAAGAGUGGUUUGAGUCUCUUGGUAAAGGUUCUUUAGAAGCAAAACUCGAAGGAAUAGGAUGAGAUUCUGGUGCAGAAUCUGUUCACAGCAGAACAUGCACAGGUUGUGCUGAAAACAACGCUGUUGCAAAUAGAUGCUUCAUUUCAUAAUGAUUUGGUAGGCAUAAGCAUGUAUCUAAGAGCAAGAAUUCAGAUUUUUUUUUGUUUAGAUGGAGCUAAUGAUCGAAUCCAGAACCUCUAACAUACCACACAAACCCCUUACCACUAACAAUAAUUCAAAUUUUUAGUCCCAUGCUUUUGUUGAAAGGUGAAGGAGAAGUUUAUGGACUGUUACAAGCAAUUCAUUGGAUGGAACAAUAUUAAUUUAGUUAGGCGUUGACAAUGUUGUGUUCUAGCUUUUGAUUUAGAACUAUAUUUAUUUAGUCAAUGCCUAGUUGCAAAAUAAAUAUAGAUAACAAGUAUAUUGUGGUAAAAUACAACCUAAAAAAGUAAUGUAGCUAAAAAGAUAUUGACAUUCAUAACAAUUUAUUUUCUUUUUUACCCGGAAACAUCGAUACGCGUCUUUUUUCAUCUGCUUUAAUCUAAAUAAGUGGUAUUCACAUAGUUUUUUUUUUUNNNNNNNNNNNNNNNUUUCGUCUCUCAAUGCGACCUUGUUUGAUUACCUCUGUUUUCGUGCGGUGUUUAUUUGAUUUCCCGUCUUCGUGCAGUGUUCGUUUGACUCGAAUUGAAAAAUCAACUUCGGUCAAAUACUGAUUCACAUAGUUGUUAAGUUCAUCAACAAUAUAGAUCCGGAGGCAUAGAUAUUUUGGUUACUUUGAUUUUAUCACAUUAUUUAUAGACAUAAGUAAACCGUUUUAUGCUAUUAACUUAAAUGUUAUAAGUUUGUUCCCAAAUUCAUUUUCAGCAGUGUUAAUUUAUACUUGAGUAUGAUGUACUCUAUCAAUUUGAAUAAAUUAAUAUCUUUUUAUUUUAGUUAAAAAAAAAUUAUUUUAAUUUUGUUAUUACCCUUAUUUUAUUGGAGGUGGUGCAACUACAAGACAUCUUUCCUCCUUUGGAUCAAAAUAUCUAAAGAUAUUAUCAUGUGAUGUUUGUAUUAAUUAUUUUUUCUUUCCACAUUUUUCAAAUAAAAAAAAUCUCUCCACCCCAUAUAGAAUUAUUUUCUUCUUCCUCUCUUUUCACCAUGACCGUCAGCGCCCACCUUUAGGCUUCACCACCGUCGUUUGGCCAGGUUUUUGCCAUGAAAUCACCAAUACUUAAAUAUUGUCAAAUGUAAUUCAUUAAAAGUAUUAAGUCUAAUUUUGAGAAAUAAAGUUGAUGAGAAAUGAAAAAAGACAGAUGCAAGUAGAGAGGGAGUUGGUGAAGCAUCACAGUGGGACGAAAGGAGAAAGAAAAGAAGAAAAAAAAUAAAGGGUUGAUGACCUACAAUAAGAUUUGGUGUAUCUAUAAAUCCAACUGUUGUGUACCAUGCAAGACAUUCCUUGCAAUUGCACAUUAGACAAAAUCUUUAUUGGAACAUGUUCAUAUAUGUACAACAAAGUACAACAGUAGAACAAAGUACAACUGCACAAAGUGGAAAUUCUUCCACACAAAUUUCAUAUAAUAGACAAAACCUUCAUGAAGAUUACAAGCUUCCAUUCACAUACACAGGCAAAAAAUGCAACAGCGCAUUCAUAAACAAACAUCAGUCUGAAUACAUGCAUUUGAAAAAAUCCAGAUGCAUACUUUUGUACAAAUUAUACAAUUCAGACUCGAUACACACAUCAGAAAACUGUCUAAAUGGAGGUUCCUUUUUCACAUGUUACAAGUAAAUCAUCAAUAAUGCAAACAAGUUCCAUUGAAAUCUGGAAGAACAUUGUUUUUCAAUAAAACAGAGUUCACAUAAUUGCAUGCCAAAAAUUACAAUUAUUCUGAACUUAGAUCACAAAUUGCAAAUUUUCUUGUCUGACAAGGUACCAUAAAAACUGAACCUUCUUUUUCAAAGUUAAUGUUGCAUAUGGGAUUAUAUUAAAACAAUGAAUAAAGCUAUCAUCAAUGUUGCUUUAUAUUGAUAUAAUAUAAAAAUUCUCUCUGAACAAACAAUGCCAUAAAUAGAUAAAUUUGAAAGGAAAACAUAAAAACUCAUCAUAAAGCAAUCACAUAAAAGCACGCAGUAACUGAGUCAUUAUAUUCAUGCAGAUGAAGCUACAAACUUCAAAACCAAAAACCAAAGAAAAAAAAGUUAAUCCCAAUUCCCAAGAUACGGCACUAAGACAAGCGUUUUGACUCAGUUUAUGAUUAAAUAGAUUGCACAGUCUAUUUACAAUCCAAGUCAAAACAAAGUAUCCAUAUCAAAAGAUUCAAAACUACCAUAACUAAGUUCAAACGCCUAUGGACAUAAAAAGUAUCAAAGUUCCAAACUGAAUAAACCAGAGAAUACCAGGAUCACUCAGAAGUAAGAGCUAAUCGACACAGUUUUGUAAUUGUCUAUCAGGAGUCAACUGUCCCUGCUAAACUUUAGCUGAUUUAGUUGAGCUAACACGGUGCUGCAAAUGAGGGUUCAACAGUUUCGCAUGGCUCACAUUUUGGAUCGGCUGCAUAGAAGGGUUGAAUAACCCUGAUUCAUCCUCUUUUACACGAAACAAAGUAACUUGCAGCACUACAUCUCUGGUUCUGAGCAGCUCGAAAACACAGACAUCACCUUCCCCUAAAUUGUUCUCUACUGUAAAUUCAUACCAUCCUUGACUUAACUUUGCUCGGCCUCCUCUAUAGAGGCAUCGAACAGGCCACUGUCUCGCAUCGGUGGUCUGAAGCUUAAUGAAUCCUGAAACACCAUUCAAAUUCUUUUCUGCAAAGCAGGAUGGCAAAUACUGGAAAACAGAAACACGAUCUAAGUACACAACACGACACAUUGAAGAAUAUUAAAGAUAAAAAAAAUAUAUAAAUGAAAUCAAUAUCUCACCAUUAUGCAUCCCCUAUAUAAAUAGGAGGGUCGCAGGACAACUCGACAGAAAGGAUUAGUUGGUUCAAAUGUUUUUGCCUCAUUAAUUGCCCUUUCUCUUUCUUCUGCUGUCACGAUUCUUUUUCUUGCAGAUGCACUUUCAUAGAAUCGAUAGCGUAUAUCUCCAUCCUCAUCAUUUUCAGCAGCGGCUUCCUGUGCACCUACAGUUCCACAAAUUAUAUUCAUGAGAAAAAUAAAAUUUUUUAGAUUACUAGACAAUAGUAGCUAUGAAGCACUGACACAAAAAGACAUGACACUGACACUGGGACAUCGAUAACAGUUAUAGUUUGAAAAGGUAAACUAUUUUAAUGUAACUGCAUGUAUCACUGUCACAUCGGUGUUGGACAUUGACAUGUGUCAGACACCGGGCACACCUUCAAUCUGAAAUGUCGGUGCUAAAUAGUACAACAAAAACAAAACUUGGCUAAGAGAGCUUACUUGGAUCUAAUUUCCGCUUCCUUCUUGGAGUUUUCUUAGUAUCACUAUUAUUAAGCCCGUCCUCGUUAGUAUAGCGCAAUUUCACUUCUUCAGUAGACUUUUUGAACUCAUUAGCAUUGAACUGAACACCUACAUCUUUGGUUGACUGAAUGGCAACCUUUGAAGACAGAGUACCACCGAUAUCUCCCCAGUUAACGCGGUUAAGUUUAGACCCGCCAUUAAACAAAUUCUGCAAUGAUGGAGUAUGAUUCUUCCCUGGUGUCAGUUGAUCCAUAGCACCAGGCGUAAGGUUUGAAGGUGAUGAAUCCAGGAAUUCAAAGGAGUCAAUAUCUUCCAUUUCUCCAAAAAUAGGAAGAUAAUUUGAAUACCCUUCGUUAUGGCUUCUCAUGGUUGAUUGAUAGUUUAACUCAGCAGUACUCAUAUUAAACAUAUGAACGAUGAAGGUUGAAUUCCCUUCAUACAUGAAUACUAGAAAGUAUCCAAUGCCAAUGGAGUAGCGUUGAACAAAUUCCUGCCAACCAUCACUCAACCAAAUUCUGUUGUCGACCUUUUUCAAUCCUAUACGCCAGACAGCACCAUCAGGAACAGUAACGGUUGCAUAAGACGAAAGCUGGGACCCAUGUUUCUUCAGAAAGUUAUCCGGAAUCCUCUGCAAUUCAAAAUAGAAUUGACCAUCCACAUAUUAGUAAAUGCACACAAUAAAAGACUGAAAUUUUAAAAUCGAGAUUUGACUCGUAAUGGAAAAAAGGAAAUAAAAUCAUAAAGUUGGAACUGUAACAUGAGACGUAUAUCAUUUAAAUCGCACUUAAAAUGCUUAUUUAAAAAAUCUGUGAGAUCUGAACCGCAGAGCACUCCAAACUUCGUAAAAUCACGAUUUUAAUGAAUUAUGCGAUAUUAACUACCGUGCUAAAAAUGGAGAUUCAUUGAAAAAAUGACUAAUUUCCAUAUUGUCAAUAGCUAGCUACUGCAAGCAAUCUAAAUUUCAUAGUUUUUUUCCCAUAUUCUGUGACUACACUAAAGAAUUUUUGACACUUGAAGAAAUUUCUAAUAUGAUUGUCUGAAGUAAAUAGCUUUGGUUCAUAUAAAAUCAAAGUAGAAUUACAUAGGCAUAGUAUUAAAACAAAUUUGGGAGAAUUAUGAAGCAAAAAACUUUGUUGUUCAUGUUCGCUAUUCCAUAUAGUUAUUAUUCUCUUUCACGCGAAACAAGUGACAAGAGACAUUGCUAGUUCUCAAUUAAAAACACAAUACUAAUGUAAAAUACAAAUUAAUUUUCAAAUUUACAGAGAGCAAAACACCCAAGAGCAUAAAUUUUAUCAAUAAUUCAAUAUGAUAGCAAAUUCAAUUUCAAUGCCACAAGUCAUGUUAUGAUCCAUGUCUUAGUCGAGUGUAGAUAAGAAUUUCUCAUUCAAAAGAGUCUAACUAUGAAGCACGGAUACAGACACGACACGUCGACACCAACUUAUGUCCAACCCCGGGACACGCCUAAUCAAAGGAGUGUUUGUGCUUCAUAUACACCACACGUCAUCAACGAUAAUAAUUUGAGAAAGUGGCAUAAUUCAAUGCAAUCAUAUGUAUCGGUGGGUGUCGUGCGACACGUGUCAAACACGCGGACAUGCCUAAUCCGAGAUGUCCGUGCUUCAUAUAUACAAACAAACCCAAUUCAAUUCUAGGGCUAAUANNNNNUUAAAAAAAAAAAAAAAAAAUCAUAAAACUUAAACAACCCAAAAACGUAAAGAAAUAACUACCCUUUAUCAAGAAUCAUGAUAACAGCAUGAAAAUUCAUGAACCACCCAUCAAACAGAAUUAAUCAAAGUAAUGAUCAAAAUCACAGAACUGAAAACAAAAGCUAAAAAAAUCCAAUCUUUAUCAAAAGGGUAUCAAGGUUUAUAAUUAAGAGUAACAAAACAUGAAGAACUAGCAAAAACCCUAAACCCCUUUUCUUGCAACAAUCAUAACACCAACAAAAUUCAAUCAAAACAAUCAAUCAAAAAACCAAUUCCAAACAACAAAAAAACACUUCAAUGAGUGAAAACAAAGAAAAAAGAGUGAAAUUUAGUUACCAGUUGUCUAGAUUGAAGGGUUGUUGGAAGAAUAAUCUUGUGAAAAGAAGGACGAGUAGACAUUGUUAGAGACUUAGAGAGAAUUUGAAGGGUUUCAAAGCAUAAUUGAGAAGGCUUUGAUUUAAAGUUGAAAACUUUGAAGGAAUCACUCAGAUCUAGUUGAUGGGUUUNNNNNNNNNNNNNNNNNNNNNNNNNNNNNNNNNNNNNNNNNNNNNNNNNNNNNNNNNNNNNNNNUCGAUUUAGUUGAUUUUUUUGUUAAUAUUUUAUCUUUUAAAAAAAAACUUUUGUAAAAAAUCUUUUAAAAUUUUUUGACACGUUUUUUUUUAAUAUUUUUAAAAUAUUUAUUAUUAUUUUUGUUAAAUUAUUUGGUAUAUUUUUAAAAAUAUUUAUUAUUAUUUUAGUUUUCAAGUUUUGAAAAAUUGAAAGAUAAUUAAGAAAAAAAACCGUAAUAAACAGCCUUAAAAAAAUUGUUGGAUUAGUUGAGAAAUUUUGUAAUAUUGUUUUGAGAAUUCAUAUUUAUUGUAUUUUCUAUUUUAGGAGAUUAAAAAUGAGGUAUAGAUGAGAGAAGUAAAAUAAGAGGUAUUUUAAUCUUCUUUUUUUAUAUUAGAGGAUUUUAAUCAUUAAUAGUGAAUGUAUAAUACUUUAUAAUAACUUAAAAGAGAAGAAAAAACGUGGGAGAAGGUUUAGAGAAAAUAUUGAAAAAACUUAACUUUUUUCUUCACUUUUAUUUCUUUUAUGUAUCUUCUAUGUAUCGUAUUUUAAUUCACAUGUCAUCAAAUCAAUACGAAUGGUGCGGUCCAAAGUGGUGGUGGAGUAGAUGAGGGCGUGUUUUGGCUUAAUUAGAGAUGUAGAGGGUUGUGGGAUUUGUGGUUUAUUUUAAAAAAAUAUUUUAUUGGGAAAUUAUUGAGAGUUUUAAAAGAAAUGUUAUCAAUCGCACUUUUUUUGGUAGUGAAUCUUUCGAACAAGAAUAUGGUUAUUUUUUUUUUGGGUAGUGAAUCUCAGCCGUCAGGCAAACUUUUCCAACCCUGAUUUUCUUCUUUUUUCUUGGUUCAUCCAUUAAAGAAUAUGGUUAUUUUAUCAAUCCAAAAAUUGACUUUCAAACACAUUUGUGUUUUUUAGUAAUGCGAGGGUUGGUAAUGCAGCUCUCUAAUAAAGUUAAGAGUUUUAUAGACUCAUUGUGUUUUUGUUAUGAAUGUUCAUGAUGAUUAUUGCUCAUAACAGUUUGAGGGAUGAGAGUUUUGUAAGUGAUCAAACGAAAAUUUUCUAACUAUCUAAAGUCAAUUUAGAAGUAUACAUCCGAAAAUAAAGUACACAUUUUGUGUCUUUUGAAAGUAUACUUUCGAACACAUGUGUAGUUUUUUAAAAACACGAGGGUGGUUAAAGACGUAAAGUAGAUCUCCAAUAAAAUUAAGAGUUUAAUGGGUCUAAUCUCACCAUUUUUUUUUUGUUUUUGCAAUGAAUCUUCGGAUUGAUUUCCAAUCAUGAUAGUUUUAGAAGUAUGAGUUUGGUCAAUAAAGGGGAUCAACUUUUUUCGCUUGCCCAAAGUCAAUUUUGAAGUAUAUAUAUCUGAAAAAUACACUAUUUGUAUCAUUUGAAAGGAGACUUUUGCACAAAAACUUUAUGUUCUUACCUGAAAGUUUACUUUCAGACACAUAUAUGGUUUACCCGAAAGUUAAUAGUUUAAUGGGCGUCUUGGAGAGUAAGAGUGAAUAAUAUUCAUAAUGAAGCUAACGUGUCUUAGAAUUAAGAGUUGAGUCUAACUCAUUCUUACAAAACCGACUUAUAUGUACAAAAGUUGUUUGAUAGAUCAUCUUAUUCUAUCAUUUUUCAUCAUUAUCAGUGAUUAAUGAUGAGAUCCAUUGGCGUCAAUACGUCACAUUUACAUAGAAGCUAAUUAAGUACCAAGAUACACUCUAACCUAAAACAAAUUUAGUCUUCCUAUUUUUUUUCUUUGUUUUGAUGUUAAUCCUACUUUUUUGUUUAUCUUAUGAUGGCUUACGCUGGUGAGGUCAAUUUCGUUAGGGAUUUCUAGGUUUUGUUCUCUCUUGAGAAUUUAUUCCUUUUGUUGAUAGAAAAGAAGAUAGAUGUUUUUUUUUUUUUGACCUUUAACCCUCCGGUUCUCAGGGGAAGGGAGCGUCGAUGUUCCAGAGUUCAGUAGCAACGUAAGUAUAGUCUGAUAAAAAAGUUGUUCUUACCAAGAAUUAUAAUCGGAUUCUCCCAAACAAUUCGUGCUAGGAGAAACUCAAUAACCACUUAAACCUAUAGAUGUUAUAUAUUUAGUUAUUGAACUAUGUUGAAUCAAUCAAUAAACAAAUAAACAAGUGAAUCAUUUAAAAGAAAAAUAUAUUAUUUCAACUAAAAUAAAUCAUUAAAUACAUUAAUAUAAUUCAACAUCUAACAUCUAUAUAAAAUAAAGUUUUGUUAUGCAAACUUAGAACUUUUAUGUCACAGAGAAAUUUUUUUAAGGGUGAGAUUAAGAACACACAGAUACAUGAGAGAAAAUAAAUUGGGAGAAUCUAUUUCCGCAAAAACAAUACAUUACAUAAAUAAAUAGUAGAAGGGGACAAAUAGAAAUAGAAAGUGUCCAUGUGAGCUUAGCUCAGUUGGUAGGGACAUUGCAUUUCAUAUGCAAGGAUUGAGGUUCGAACUCCGGACACUAUAUUUAUUCACCUUAAAAGGUGGAAUUCUAGCUAUUAGGAUAACUGACUAAAAAAAAAAAAUAGAAAGAAAGUAAUGAUGAUUGAUAAAAAAAAUUCACUAUAUGACUAGCAUUUCACCAUUCUACCACAGAAUACAAAAAUGAAUCUUUCUGUACAUAAUCUAUAUGUUUACAAAAGAAUUUCUCUAUAGUGGAGAGAAAAAAAACCAUCAAUCAUGGCUCUCUCUUUUUUCUUUUUCUCAUAAAAUGAGUACUAUUUAUCAAAGCCAUAAAAGUAACAACAUAUCACAAAAAUUUGAUCUUGAAUAUAAGCGAGCUUACUCCAAGCAGCCGAAGAGGAACUCGUAUAGUCUAUACAGGUUUGUGAGCACGCGCAUUCUCAUGCACACUCAUGAUUACAUUGCGCAAUUCGGGGAAGAUAGAUACAAGGAGAAGUUCAAGGAUUGCAUAAGCAAGUUGCUUCACACAUAUGGAAGACUACAAUGACAUAAGAUAAGAAUAAGUAUUAGUUCAGAAGAAAAGUAAGCUGUGUAAGUAGACCAAACAAAAACAACGAUAAACAGAAGAAAACAGUCGGCAAUUCUGCACCAAGUAAAUAAAUAUAUGGGAAAAUAUGUUAAUAGUAUAAAAUUAUUAUCGUGCUUUUGUAGGAAUCAAAAUGUAUUUAACUUAUAAAUCAAUGAGAAAGAACUUUAACCUGAGUAAAGUAAUAUAUAUCACUGGCAACGCGUUUGUACUGCUUCUGUCCGAUUAAACUAACUAAGGCUGCUGGAGCUCCAUCUGACAAAAAUGGAGAAAACUUUAUACAUCAAAUCCUUGAACAUUGUAUUCUAUUCACCAUAACUUUUCACUAGGUUAUAAAGACCACAAAAACAUCAUGAAAAUACCAAAACAUCCUUUCAGCAAAUGCCAUCAAGUUCACAAAAAAAAACAUCUCUUUAGUGGUUCUUAUCCUCUCCUCUUGUAUUGUGGUCUGAUAUGAUGUCUAACAUUAAUAUUGGGAAAAUCGCACACGCCAAAGAUAAAAAACGGGAACAAGCGUACUCCAUCUCUCAGACUCUUAGGGUAUGCUUCUCUUAAAAUUUUGGGUAGGGUCCCAUACAAAACCAACUUGUAAGGUGAGUAUUGCCCCCACACAUGUGGCCCAACGGAUCUUGGAGGAGUCUCUGAUGCCAUCUUAAAAUUUUGGGUCAGGCCUAACUCAACCUUACAAAACCGGCUUAUAAGUGAGAAUUUCCCCCACCCAUAAACAUAUUUUCCGGCCUCCUCCCAACCAAUGUGGGACUCAGGCCUCCAAACUACAUGCCCCAGAGUCCAAUUCUAGGCAUUCAGUGCAUGAGCUAGCAUUUGACAAUUAUAAGUAGGGAUCAGCAUUCAGUGCAUGAGCUAGCAUUUGAGGCUGGUUGGGUCAAGCCUAAGCCCAAAAAAAGAAAUCUCAAAUUCCAAAAGUGCAAGAAUAUCUCGAAUAAUCAAUGUCAAAUGAAUCAACACAAACUGUACAAAAAAUAGAACUAACCAAAGAGCAGUUUCUUCAAUUCACUUGCUCUACGAGCAGCUUCUAGUUGUUCCUCAAAACACCCUAACUGUGAUUUGCGGGUGUUCCUUCCACCAGAUUCACUUAUAGGUUGUAAUGGCUUGUGAUCAAUUACACCGCCACCAAUGAACACCCCAGGGGUCUGAACUCUUAAAAAAAACGUACCGCCAGGCCAGAGGAUCUACAAGCAUAAGUAGAUAUAAUGAGAAAAUAUUAAUUCAAAUGCAAUUUCAAGCAACAAAAGUCGAUAACACUUAUUUUAGAACAAAAUAACGAGCCAAGUGUAUUAAUUAUUAAGCGAAUAAUUGGACAUAUGUUUUAUAUUUGAAUUUAAUGAUAUAGAAAAUAUCACAAGCUAUUUAAUAAACAACACUGGAUUUUAUCAUCAAUAGCGCAGUGAAAUUUCGGCUUAAUCCUUACAUCUUGGAUCCACCGAAUUCCUUGGGCAAUGGUUUCCUCUCUCCGGAGCCAAUGAAUCUCACUCAAGAGCAAAUCAUCAAUUGCAUCUUCCAUCACCAACUGUAAUAUCUGUUUUGAUAUCCAAAAGACCUGUCUUCUGCAUGAACAAAAAUGAACAAGCAUCAUAAUACCGAGAGGGUGUAAAGACCGAACUGCAAAUCAAUUCACUAUUACAUUUUCAGGUUUCAUAAUUCAUAACAUGUCAAGAACUGUGCAUCCUAAAAUCUUGUGAUAUGUAAAUUGGCACAAGAUUAUAAAAACACAUUAAACAACACCAAAAUAAGCAUAUGUAAAUUCUUAAUCGGCAAAAGAUAAAAAAAUUCUGUAGUAAAGACAAUAUUUAAUUGCUUUGACUGAAAUGGAAAUAACUAAGAAAGAUCAGAAAGAGAAAUAUACCUCAGCCAGCCUCUUUUCUUAAGCUGAAAUAUGUUGUCAACCAAAUUCAGAAUAGGCACAGUCACAUUAGGUGGGGUCCACUGCAAAAUAGUUAAAAAUUAUGAAGAUUAGUGAAGUGUUUUUAAAAGUAAAAAAAAAAGUUAAAUUGAUCCAUAGGUCCCUAUAACUUUAUGAAGAUUAGUGAAGUCUUUUUCAAAAGUAAAAAUAGUUUUUAAAAUUUCUAAUUAAGUCUCUAUUGUUAAAGCACUGCUAUAGUGCUUUAAAAGUGGGUUGAAAAAAACAAAUCAAACCCAAAUGAAUACACAGACCUCAGGCGGCACUUGAAUCGUAUCAUCCGGAUUAUCAUGACUUAGAGUUCCGUUUAUAGCUGGAACUGGAACAUCCAAGUUACUAGACUCAUUACCAUGGUUUGUUACCCCUUGUGAAUAAUCCUUCGAACUCGGUUCAUUGUCAGAAUGACACGCAUUAUCUUCUGCUAUUUCUCUAUCAAUAUUCUCAUGGCCAUUAUUGGCUUCUUUUUCACCUUCCUCAUUAUCAGAACUCAACGCACUCUCUGUAGCAUUUUUCUUAGGAGUACUUCUAUCCACAUCAUCCAUGUUCCAAGGGAAAGAUGUAUUAGAACUUUCAGCAGUUGGAGAUGCUGCAGUGACAAUUAUUCGCUUUAUAUCAUCUGAAACACCUUUAAACUGCCGUACAAUAUCAUCCACGGCAUCAUCAACAUUGACUGCCAGUAUAAAAAAAUCGAGCAUUAUGAUAUGAGCUAAAUUUUACAAAUAGAAAACAACGGAGUGUAGCUCCUACAUUUCAAUACGCUGAAAUAAGUGUUAGAAAAUAUCUUUAUAUUAUAUUGCAGUAUCUUAGUUUAUCAUGUAAGACUAAACGAUACCCUAACCAUUCCCUAUCUCCCAAAAAACUACAAACCGAAAAGCACUACUACUAAAAUACAAAAUAACACGAAUGGAAAAAACGCCAAACACCUGGCUAAAAUUCCCUAUCUCUAUCUUCUAAUAACUGAAGAUAUGUUUAUAAGUGCGGGCAAUCCUCACCUUACAAACCAGUUUUGUAGGUUGAAUUUAUGUCCAACCCAAAAUUCUAAGCUGGUAUCAGCGCCUCCUCCAAGAUCCAUUGGGCCACCUGCUAUCGGGUUUCCGCUAUUGGUCCACCCACCAUUUAUAUCUACACACCAAGCCCAACAGUGCUGGGCAUGAGGGGGUGUGUUAAGAGUCUCAUAUUGGAUUUGAAGAUAUGUUUAUUACUAUUAGUGGGGGCAAUCCUCACCUUACAAACUGAUUUUGUAGGGUUGACUUAGGCCCAACCCAAAACUAAUUCGAACUCCUUUUGUUUUGCCUAACAUACACCCUAUUCCUUUGAUUUCGCUCCAAUUGUAUCACCAUGCGAAGAAAUAGAAUAUCUAUAACCAGGGACAUAAACUGAAAGUAUGAUCAAAAUCCAAAUUGUUAAAACCAUUUAUUUACCUGCCAGGGUCCUUAUCAUUGAAGAAGAUUUCCCAUAUGAGUAAUUCUUCAGGAGGAAAACAGCGGAAAAGUUUGUUAGAUUUCCAUUCUUCCUACCUAUAAUGGUCACUCAAAUUAAGUUAUGAUAAGAAAUACCAAACAGAAGCAAACCUUUGAGGAAACACUUAAGAAGUCCCAUACUUCAUGUUGUUCAGCAACAUUAGCUAUCGACAGGAGAUCCUAAAAAAGACAGCGUAAUUGAGCAAUGACAUAGCAAUUAAACAGUUACGGAAGGAGAUAUUUCUUCAAAGAGUCGUAGACAAUGACUAAAACAUACAUGGAUAUAUUUAUCUAGUUGAAUGCAACGCUGAUGUACAAAGGCAUCCUCUGUGCUUGAGGAAAAUAUCCUUUUCGGAGGCAAAUGUAAUGUGUAAUUGGGAAUAUGUUUUAGAUGUCGAUGCAAUCGCUCAAAGUUCCUGUAUCUGAGUAUUUCGUUAAAAGAAAAUUCAGUGAUGUCAAAGCACAAAUAUGAAUAUGAAACAAAACAAUGUUGAAACUCUAGCAUAAGCAUUUGUAUGAUUGAAUUAGAGAGCUUAUGAAAAUAGGUUAUGAUAUGUCCAUAAGCUCUCUAGGAUAGCUUAUGAAAACAGUUUACCGCAUAUAUAAAAACAGUUUGACUUUAUUUUAGCUUUUGUUAUAGAAAUAGCUUAUAUAUAAGCACUUAUAUGAUAAGUGUUUAUGUUUAAGCGUUUAACUAAGUUGUUUAUAAAUGAGUUUACACUAAAAAACACGGGAAAGAGAAUUGUUCGAUAUAAAAGGUUAUAAGCACUUAUAUUUUGUUGUAUCCUAAUAAGCGUUUAACUAACUUAUCCUAAUAUAAAAUGUUUAACUUAUCCUAAGAUUUUAACAAGCUAACCUUAUACCUUCGUUUUACAAACCACGUUUUUUCUUGCCCAUCAGUCACAGCAAUGGAAUAUACAGCAAAAGAAGUGGAUCCAAGUUUCUCAAAAUAUGCUCCCAUCACCUGCAGUGUACAAUUAGACCAUAAACUACAAUCAAAUUAGUUAAAAGCAAGUGUUCAUAGAAAAUAAUCCCGUUUACGAGACUAGAUUUCAUUUUUAUCAUUAUUAUAGUUUUUGAAUGUUUUUUCCAAAUUUCAUAAGUCACAACUUCUAUAGUCAAGAGUGCAUACCCGGCACCGAAGCUUUGGAACACCUUGUCCCUCUUUCUUAAUAACCAUGUCAGAACUACUCUUUCCUCGAAACCCUUCAUUCUUUUUAAAUUCAGGGGCAUGGAACUCGGAAGCACUGAGCCCACCUUUAUGAGGGUGGGUUCCGACGACAGAAGUACUUGCAAUUCUCUUGAGUGAAAGUUUAUGUUUAUUAAAACCAGGAUCCUUGAUAUCACUCGCUUCAUCAAAUUGACGAUCUGCUUCAAAAAAUAAAUCCUUGUCAUGAUCUGCUGAAUACUCCGGCAUAGUUGUGCUGACAUCAUAUAGUAUGGUAUCUGAACCAACACUAUGCAAUGGAAAAGCAUGUGUUCCACCAGGUUUACUCGCUGAUGUUUCAUGAUGAGCGAUAUGUCUAUCUAACAGUGACUGAUCUACAGAAGAAUAUUUUGAAGUAGAGCCGGAUUUGGCAUUUUUAUGAUUUUUCCUUCCGUAGUUCCUUCCUCUUGUCCACAUGUUCUCAAGAUUCUCAGGCAUAAGAACUUCAGUUCUUCUCUGAGUUGCAGCAUCCAGCAUUUGCGCCCAAUCAGCAGAGGCUGUGUGAUUAUCAUGAUUAAGUGUUGUAGCAUUUGAACUCUGAUCUCCACCACCCAUCCAAUUUAUAUCCCCGACAUUAAAGACAAGUAGAAGAGACUCAACCAGCUCAUUGAUAUACCUAAUCAUAAAGAAAAAAUAUCUUUAUAAAUGGAAAUUGCAAUGUAAAUAUCAUCAUAUGUGAGAUAUAAGACAAAAUAUUUAGUAACAUACGCAGGGCAUGCCAAAUUCAUUACAGGUUGCAAUAUCAAGCAGGUUAAAAUUUCGCGAGCUAUUGAUCGAACGACUGGAACGUGAGCUUCUGGUUUUCUUAGUACUGUAGCUAGUACUCCACUCAUUAGCUUCUGAAGAACCUAAUGAAGAAAGAGAAAUCAUUAGAUAAGGUAUGAAAUGUAUGUAUUCGUCCAAAGUUAAAUGGAGAAAACAUUCGGACACUCCACUCACACCUUGUACUCACUCUCUGGAGAUAUUAGUGCUGGAUGAAGCUCCUUGGAGUUCAUCAGAUGGAAUUUCAAUCUUUCAUCCCUUUCCUCAGAAGACAGUGUUAACAUAACAUCCCUACCUAUGGCAGCUUGAUUUCUUCUGAAGAGGUCGAUAUGAUCGCUUAUUAAAUCAACUAUAUCACUGCAAUGCAAGUGAGACAUAACACAAUUAGUGACAUACCUAAUCAACCUAGUACUUCCUCUGUCUCUAAAUAUAAGAUUUUGUCGACUAAACCACGAGAGUUAAGAAUGUUGAUAGUAGUAUUAAAUUUGUUGACAAUUCAUUUUAUUUUUUUCCAUUAUAGUAUUUAUUACAGGUUGAAGAAAAAGAACUAACAUAAUUAGUGGUAUGUAGGUAAAAAAAAAUUCCUAAUGCAAUUGAAAAUAUGAAAGGGGUCCGACAAAAAGGGUCAAGUAAAAAUCUCGAGAGGGUCUUAUAUUGAAGGAUAGAGGUGGUAUCAAUUGAUUCGUUAUCAACGUAGAAAGUCAAUAACUCCAUAAAUCCCUUUCUUUAUAAAAGCAAGAAAAAACAAUAUACCUUGUGAGCAAAUCAACAAUGUUUAUCUCUUUAACCCUAACCGAGACUUCAGCAAGAGCAUCCAUGAUUAAGUCACGUAUUUGCUCAGGAAACUCGCCAUCUGAAGUAAUGUCUGCAUACCACAUAUUUAUUACGAAAUCCUUCAAUAUCAAAUCAAUGAAAUCGUUCAAAGCAGCCUCUACUGCAGGAGAAUCAAUCUUCUUCUUCCAUUUUGGAGGGGCAGGUGAAGUAGAGAGGCGUUCAUCGUCUAUAAGCAACUGCUUUUUCUCUAAAUGUGAUAGGUAAGUUUGUAAUUUUGGUGGCUGAACCUUCCAACGAAACUCCACUUUGUUCAUAAGAAUCCUUAGACCAGCGCAAAAAAGAAUGGACAUUGGUAGAUUCAUCCACAUUGAUUUACUUGUAUCUAUAAUGAACAACAAAGAAAGUAUAAAUAAAAAAGAUACACUUUGCAGCCUUAAAAGCAUACUCUAUAUAGCAAGAUAGUAUAUACCAAUAUAACAAAAUAGUAUAUACCAAUCAAAUAUCCAAAAUUUGCAGUCAUAAAGUAAAACCCAACAAUGUAGUAUCGACACUUCAAAUUGAAGAUGUGUCUGGUGUCCAACACGUAUCAAAGUUUGACAUCGACACGAUAGUGACACAGAUGAUUACAUUCAAUUACUUUUAUUUCCUCAAAUUAUCAGCAAAAUAGUAUGUACCAAUCAAAUAUCCACAAUUUGCAGUCAUGGAGUAAAACCCAGCUAUGUAACAUUGAAAUUUCGGAUUGAAGGCAUAUGUUAGGAGUCCCACAUCGAGUAUAUCAAAGUGCUCAAUGUGGUACUAAAGCCAUGGGGCUCUCCCACCUAUUGGACUAGUCUUUUGGGUUGGCCUCUCCUCAUUCAUGUGCCAAAGUUGUAACACCAUGUCAGGUGUCCAACAUGCGUCAGAGUCUGACACCAACACGAUAGUGAUACAUAUGAGAUUACUUUCAUUUUCUCAAAUUAUUAUUAGUGACGAGGGUUAAUGUCACUGUCGUGUCCGGUAUUCAUGCAUGUGUCAUUGCUUCAUAGAAACCCCAAAAUGAAAAUAGCAAGUUUCAAUCAAAAACUCAAAAUUUGCAGUAAUAAAGCAAAACCCAUAUACAAAAAUAUGAAAUAUGAAUCAAAGACUCAAACUUUACAUUAUUAGAGCAAAACCCAGAUAGGAAAAAACGCAAAUGCAACAAAAAAAAUCAAUCUUUAGAAAGAUGAGAUUGAAUAAAAAUGGCGUAAUUGAAAUAACUUACGAGUUAAGAAAUAGGAAAUGGCGAAUAUACAAAGAGCCCACCAAAGAAAACGGAGCUUAGCUUCUUCGAUGAGAUCAAAGAUGGUAUCCAUUGUAAGAGGACCCAUCUUCUUCUUCUUCAUCUUCAUCUUUAUCUUCAUCUUCUUGUUCUUUUUCUCUGUUGUGUAACUGAAAGCGAAGUGUUUGAAACCUUAAAAUAUAGAGCAUAGCGUUAAAAUCGCUCUCUUUCUCUUGUUCGGUUUUAGUUUUGUCCACCUAAGACAAAUCAUACUAAAUGGACUCUAUGUUUUGCAAAUUAAUUACGUAAUUUGGAGUUAGUCCCUUCUCGCUAAAGCCUUUGUUGUGAUUCUUUUUAUGUAUUAAUAUAAACUUUGUCAACGUAGUUUAUGAAAAAAUAACUAAUAAAAAUAGAAAUUUUUAUUAGUGGGAACUUAUAAAUUAACAUAAAGUCAGAAAACUUAUAAAUUAACACAAAACUUAUAUUUACAAACGGACUUUUAGUCUCUGUCAAAUGUUUUUCAAUCUGAUCAUUUCGUGAACAUCUGUUUGUGUUAUGACGGAGGUUUCGUUAAUUUGAUACUUGAUUUAAUUUUAAAGGCUUAAAUGUAUUUUUGACACUUCUAUUUUAAAAAAAUAUGAAAUUUUGAUCUCCGUUCAAAAAACUUUUUUUUAUCCCUCACGUUAACUUUUUUUAGAAUUUUAAUCUCCUCUUAUUUUUAAGUCAUUUUUUGAUGAUGUGGUGUAACCAUUAAAAAUAUUUUUGCUCAGUUGAAAAAAAGAGAGCGCGGAGUCUAAAAACUCAUUCUAUUGAGUUGCGGUUGUUGAAUGUUGACCAACAAAUUAUGCAUGGGAGAAAGAUUCACAAACGAAAACUAAAUGAUACUCCAUCAUGAUAUGAAAGAUUGAUUAAUCUCAAGAUUAAAACCGAUUCUAUAUCAUGAUAUGAAAGUUUGAUUAAUCUCAAGAUUCUACUUUCUUUUUUUUUUUACUUGGAAACUUAAUUAGUAAUUGAUGGUUAAAUUGUUUGCAAAACUAUGAAAUUUAUGAUCAUAUUUACUUAAAUAAAUAGGCCUAAUAGGCCAAAUAAAAAGGUUUUUAUAACAUUAUGUAGUUUGAUAGGUUAGACCCACUUAAAACAAGCCUUACAUGAACAUGACACAGGAAACAACUUUUAACAAUCGUUGAUUGAAUCCAUUGAGGUUGAUAGGCUUGUUUGGAGUGCAGAUAAUAAAGGCAAAUAUUUAGUGUUAUGCAGCAGAUCAUGAGAGUAAUGUUGCCACUACUGUAGGUUCUAAAAUUAUGCAGGUUUUACAACAUGAGGAUGCUUCUCUUUUUGCUACAAUUAUUUAGAUUAUUUUAAAUGUAACAAUUUUUUUUUGAAACAAUGUUAGAGAACUACAGAGCCAUGUUUUUCAGUGUUGAUCAGGUGCAUAACAGGAACACACAGACGCAAAGCAAUUUUGGGGUUUGCAGGUAGAAAAAGCGCUUAAAUAGGUUCAUAGCUACAACAAUUGGGACCAAUUGACUUUGAACGAGACUCAAAAAAUGGUUGGGACAACUUUUUCUCCCAAACACAAGAUGUUAGGGAAUUUGGCGAUAUUAUUCUUCAUUGUAAAUCUUUAUUUUUCACUUAUUAUUAACACUCUAGUGUCAAGUGUAUUAUGAGACAAACAAAUAAGUUUGUUCACGUUCUAACUUAGAUGACCAACUAUCUAGCUGGUUUCCAAAUUACGAUCGAGAUGCAUAUCAAUUCGCAUCAAGUAUAGAUAUGUGAGACCUCAAGAUAUGGUAUAAAAGCAUAUUGCAUGUACCGUGCACCACUUAUGGGAUUUGGAUUCUAUAUAUGCAGCAAAAAAAUGGUGCAGUCAAUAAGUUUCAGGUCGUCCGAUCAAGAUCGGACGAUUCAUGCCUCAUCUCAGAAUUUUAUAUUAAAUAUAUAAGAAAUGGCUUAAUAUUUGAAUCGUUCAAUGUUAAUCAGACAGUUCUGAAUGAUUGACUGUAUACAACCUGAGUGCAUGUAAUCCGAUUCCGCACUUAUGGCACUUGUGCAUAUCAUGAGGGUAUGUAAAUCUACAUUCACAAAUAAACAACGGACUAAUUGAAUGGGAUGGAUGCAUUACAAUCAGCAUGUCACUGUUAACAGGUUACAUGUACCAUCUUUCUAUAUAAUAAUAAGACUUUUUGUUUUUGACGAAAUAUACUAAUAAGACUUAUGUUCAACUUUAUAUAGAAAAUAUAUAAGUGUACAAUAUGCUGGAUAAAGUAUAUGGUUUGAGGUCAACUAUGAUUUAUAAGGGAGAUAAGUUUUGUAUCACUGGCAAUUUAUUUUUACUAUUGAAUGUGAGAACGUCAUCUCGAAUUUAGUUCAGUUGUCAGGAAAUAUUACAUAUUUAUAUUUAGUUACUUCGACAAAAAAAAAAGCAACGAGUAAUAUUAAUCUAAUAAUAGAAAAAGAACUUGUCUAUGUAUAGUGCAAGACUAACUUAUGUGUACCCAUUACAUAACGUCAUAUUUUGAUGUUAGUUAGAGUUAAAUUUGAGUCAUGUUUUUUGGUAAAAAAUAAAUAUAAUUUUUUUCACCACCAAUAUCCGAUCUAUUGCACUGCUUAAUUUAGUUUGGAGGUCAGUUGACAAUUAUGGCAUCAAGUUGUUCUAGCUACUCCCGAUUGUACAUUUAGAAAAUUGAACAUUUGAAUCAAGCCCAUAAUGGGUUCCAGCCAACAAGUAUUUAGAUAUUUAACAUGACAUUUUAUAAAAUUGUUAGGUUGGAUGUCAUGGCCGAAGUUAGAACUUCGACCUCUCCACUUUAUAUGUGUUGAAUUUUCAAUAUCUUGCUAUUUUGCCCAUCUACGAAAAGAAAUAUAGACAAAUUUGUAUUCUACCGUAAUUUUACUCUUUUGUAUUUAAUAAGGACUCACUUUGUGAUAUAACUUACCCUUUUGUAUUUGUAUUGUAUCCUAUAGAUGUUUAGGUAGAUGAUGUAAUAAUUUUUUGUUUUUUUUGUAAAAGAUGGGAUAUAAUUUUAAACCAAUGAAACUUUAGUUCUAGAGAUUGUUGAAGAACGACCAAGUCAAUCAAUAAUUGGCUAUAAGCUUACUUUUAUUUUAGACAAUACAAUACAGUUAUAAUAUGUUGGUAACAACCUAUAUCAUCUCUAAUUAUGCUUAAGCCAAAAUUAGUGUCAUGUCAAAAUUAGUGUUUAUCUUAGUGAGAAACCAUAACACUCGGAACAAUACUCUAUUUUUGACAACUCCAAAAUAGGUGUCAAAUGUAACAAACUUUGUAUCUUCCUCAAUAUAACACCCAAUCUUUUUCUUCAUUUCCUCAACCCUUGCAUAUAUGCAACCUUGGGCCAACCAAGGUUGUUAGCCAUGGCUCACCAUUUUUCUAAUAAGGCCUUAGGUUGUUUUCUUUUCUUUUCUUUUCUUCUUUCUUCUUAUUCAACCUAUGGCCAAAGUCAUUUUAUCUUAGAUCCAAUAGAGGAUUUUGGUGAUUUUGGUGGUGAUUUUGGUGGUGAUUUUGAUGAUGAUGUUACAUUUGUAAAUAAAAAUGAUUUUGCUCCGGCUCAAUCACCAUCAAUAAUCACAGAUUCUCCAACUCCUGCUCCAGCACCUGAAAUUGAAAUUGAAAAUGUCAAUGAUAAAAAUAAUGAUGCUUCUGCCACAAGUUUUCCUAAUGAGAGGCUAAGAAGUGCUUAUAUUGCAUUGCAAGCGUGGAAAGAUGUAAUGUAUUCCGAUCCUUAUGACACAACUGGUGAUUGGGUUGGUAAUGAUGUGUGUUCUUACACCGGUGUGUUUUGUGCAUCGGCUCUUGAUGAUCCAACAUUGAAUGUUGUUGCUGGUGUUGAUCUUAACCAUGCCGACAUUGCUGGUCACCUUCCGGAAGAGUUAGGAUUAUUGAAUGAUACCGCUCUUUUCCACAUUAACUCAAAUAGAUUUUGUGGUAUUGUUCCUGAGAGCUUAAAAAAUCUAACCAUUAUGCAUGAGUUUGAUAUUAGUAACAACCGUUUCGUCGGUGGUUUUCCUUCUGUGGUACUCGAAUGGCCAGAUUUGAAGUACUUGGAUAUUAGAUACAAUGACUUUGAGGGAUGUUUACCUCCUGAGCUAUUCGAGAAAGAACUCGAUGCGAUAUUUUNNNNNNNNNNNNNNNNNNNNNNNNNNNNNNNNNNNNNNNNNNNNNNNNNNNNNNNNNNNNUUUUGAACAAUAACCGAUUCACAUGUGGUAUACCAGAAACACUUGGAAAAUCAACUGCCUCUGUUGUGACUUUUGCUAACAAUCAUUUCACAGGUUGUAUUCCAAAAUCAAUCGGAAACAUGGCGAACUUGAAUGAGAUUGUGUUAUUGGAAAAUGGUCUUGGUGGUUGUUUUCCACAAGAAAUUGGUUUGUUAGAGAAUGUAACUGUUUUGGAUGCUAGCAAUAAUGGGUUUGUUGGGACUCUACCAAAUUUAUCAGGAUUAAAGAAUGUUGAGGUUAUUGACAUAGCAAACAACAUGCUUAGUGGAUAUGUUUCAAACACUAUUUGUCAACUACCUUUGUUGAAGAACUUCACAUUCUCUCACAAUUACUUUAAUGGAGAAGCUCAAACUUGUAUUCCUUCGAAAAAUUCUGAUGUUGUAUUUGAUGAUGCUAAAAAUUGUUUACCAGGAAGGAAGAAUCAAAAGACAUCCAAGCAAUGUUUACCUGUUCUAACUAAACAUGUGGAUUGUAGCAAAAAUUGUGGUGGUGGAGGAAAAGGACAUAGUCCUGCUCCAUCGACGCCAAAACCAACUCCAUCAAAUCCACCAAAGUCUCAUCCUCCUAAGGAAGAGACACCAAAGGCUCAACCACCACCAAUUUUGCCACCGGUUGAAGAUAUUCCACCAACUCUACCACCGGUCGAGGACAUUCCACCAACAAGAGCACCGGUCGUGGACAUUCCCCCUACACUACCACCGGUUGAAGACAUUCCACCAACGAGAGCACCGGUAGUGGACAUUCCCCCUACACUACCACCGGUUGAAGACAUUCCACCAACGAGAGCACCGGUCGUGGACAUUCCCCCUACACUACCACCAGUUGAAGACAUUCCACCAACGAGAGCACCGGUCGUGGACAUUCCCCCUACACUACCACCAGUUGAAGAUAUUCCACCAAAGCGUGCACCAGUGUCAUCACCACCACCACCUGUGAGUCGUGUCAUUCCCCCUGGACUUUUCAAAUCACCACCACCACCAGUUUACUCUCCUCCACCACCUGUCCACUCACCUCCUCCACCAGUCUACUCUCCACCACCACCACCACCUGUUCACUCACCCCCUCNNNNNNNNNNNNNNNNNNNNNNNNNNNNNNNNNNNNNNNNNNNNNNNNNNNNNNNNNNNNNNNNNNNNNNNNNNNNNNNNNNNNNNNNNNNNNNNNNNNNNNNNNNNNNNNNNNNNNNNNNNNNNNNNNNNNNNNNNNNNNNNNNNNNNNNNNNNNNNNNNNNNNNNNNNNNNNNNNNNNNNNNNNNNNNNNNNNNNNNNNNNNNNNNNNNNNNNNNNNNNNNNNNNNNNNNNNNNNNNACUCUCCUCCUCCUCCACCGGUCAACUCUCCACCACCACCACCACCAACAUGGGAAGACAUUAUCUUGCCACCAAUAUUUGGAGCUGAAUAUAGGUCGCCUCCUCCCCCAGCAAUUGUUGGAUACUAAAAUAGAAGACUGCAAUACAAUUUCUAUUAACAUUAUUUGUCUUUUUAUUUUGCCACAAUUUCAAAAAUACUUACACAGGGCUGAGCUUCACAUAUUUAUGAACGUGUGAAUUGUAAUUGGACUCAUCUUAAUGACAUUUUAUAUUUUCUUAGUUCUUAUUAGUAGUUAAUGAAUUUAUUUUCUAUGCUUCGUUUCAUUUUUGUGUUGUUUAAUAACCCACAUACUUGUGUCAAAUUUCAAAAGCUUCCAAACGCAACACAACAGUUGAAUUCAAUGUAUCAGAUCAUGAAGAAUUGGAGAAAAACACAAACAAUGGAUUUUUAGCUUUUAUUAGAUCAUGGAUCAGUAAAAUAUAUCUAAAUAUCUCUAGCAUCUACUAAAAACUAAUUGAUGUUCUCUUUUUCAUUGACAACCGUUUCAUGAUAGAAUCUACCCUUAAAUUAUUAAGAAAUUCAAGUAUUCACAUUAACUUGUGUCGCAUAAUAGGUGCUUCAAAAAUUAAGUUUGAUUUAAUGGUGAAGGGUUUAAAUUUAAGUAAUAUGUUAAAGGUCCGAAAUUCGAUUCCCUCAGUUCCGUUGUAAAAAAAAAAUGAUUUUAACGGUGUUUGGAUAAAAAGUUCAAUUAAGCACUCAUAGUAUAAGCUGUCUCAAAAGAUCUCACAAAGUCUAUAAAAAUAAAUUCAAAUGUUUUAAUUAAAUAUUUUCUCCAUACCACAACAUACGUCGCUUUGACACUUUUACACAUAUUAAGAAAGUUAAUUAAUAUUGUAUAAAAAAGAGAUAUCAAAUGCAUGUUACUCUCUUGAUGGAGUAAUCAGUCAAUUUAGUCCAUAAACUAUCACUCUCUCACCAACUUAGUCCCUAAACUAUUAAAACCAACUAAAAAGUCCCUAAACUAUAUUCACAUCAUUCAAUUUAGUCCCUAAACUAUUAAAACCAACUAAAAGGUCCCUAAACUAUAUUCACAUCCUUCAAUUUAGUCCCUCGGUUAACUUUUCCGUUNNNNNNNNNNNNNNNNNNNNNNNNNNNNNNNNNNNNNNNNNNNNNNNNNNNNNNNNNNNNNNNNNNNNNNNNNNNNGUAACAACACUGUUAAAUCAUUACUGCUAAAUCAAAUUCAUUUUUAACAUAAUUCAUUACUGCUAAAUCAUCCUUUGUCUCGUUCACUACCUACUAACAACACAAAUUCGUUCACUACCUAGUAACAACACAAAUUCAUUACUGCUAAACCAAAUAAAACAUUACUGCUAAAUCAACAAAAACCAAAAAACAAACUUAACCNNNNNNNNNNNNNNNNNNNNNNNNNNNNNNNNNNNNNNNNNNNNNNNNCCAUAAUCUUCAUUACAUAAAUCAACUAAACCAUAAUCCAUCAAAUUCAUUACAUAACUCAACAAAUCCAUUAUCCAUCAAAAGAACUAACUAAAUCACAAUCCAUACUUAACUAAAGAACAAUAUUAAUCAUAAACCAUAAUUUCAUUACUAGAAAACUAGCAUGCAUCAUUACAAAAAACCAAAUAUUAUAAGCAACAAUCAAACAAAAGCACUAAGUAGAAGGUCCUUCAUUGCGUNNNNNNNNNNNNNNNNNNNNNNNNNNNNNNNNNNNNNNNNNNNGAACAGUUAAAGGAAAAUAUAACGGAGGACUAAAUUGAUGGAUGGAAAAUAGUUUAGGGACUAAAUUGAAGGAUGUGAAUAUAGUUUAGGGACCUUUUAGUUGGUUUUAAUAGUUUAGGGACUAAGUUGGUAAAAAAGUGAUAGUUUAGGGACUAAAUUGACUGAUUACUCAAUAAGUUUUGUCCCUAAAUGUAUAAAUCCAUAUGCAUGUUACUACUUACUAGCUAGCUAGUGCAUUUACGGUGCAAAUUUUUUCGAAAGGAAUUUAUACUGAAAAAUGAAAGUUUUUUUGUUCUCGAGUAAUUUAGUUAGUUGCAUAAAAAAAUUGUAGUUUAAUUGGCAGAAUUUUGCCCUUAAAAAUAAAUAUGUGGAGAACUCCGAAUUCGAAAUUUAACCCUACAUAUUACAAUGCUUCUAUCAAUUAAAUUAUACUUACAAAAAUUAUGAAAAAUUAAAAUUACAUAUGUUAAUAAACAAAUGAUAUUUUUUGGUCAAUCUUCACACAAAAGCAUUAAAUUACUAUCAAUUUUUUUUAUAAUACUAUGAAUUUUUUUUUGGUACAAUACCAAUUUUUCUUAAUAUACAUAAAAAAAUAAAAGUAUUGUGUUUUUUUCUAAAAAAAAAAACUUGUAGUAUAUGGACAAUUAGUAGAUUUUAUUUUUGGUAAAAUAGCAAUUAAAGUCGCACAUUUAAAGUUUGGAGAAAUAGGAAAUUUUGAAUUCGAAUUUUAACAUGUGCAAUAAUGUUCUUAAUAGCUGGGGGAGGAAUUGUAAGACCUGCUAGACCUAUGCAUCACGUUCUGCAGCUGGCUCGAAUAGUAGUGUUGCUAAUUAGGUCGAAAUCAAGGAGUAGUGAUGGUUGGGUGGAGUCUGCCGAAUAUAGAUGGAGCCUAUAAAGAUCAACAUGUUGCAGGUGGUGGUGGCGUGAUUCGUGGCAGUCAAGGAGAAUGGAUAAGGGGCUUUGCUAAGAACGUUGGCUUAUGUAGCGCUUUUGUCGCAGAGCUAUGGGGAGUUCUAGAGGGGUUGCGAUAUGUGUAGCGAUUGGGUUUCAAGAAGGUGGAGCAUAAUAUAGAUUCAGAAGCAGUAGUGGUUCGUGUGAUGCAAAAUAGAAGAUCAAACAGUUCGUUGGGUAGCUCGGUGAUGAAAUAAAUUUGAUGUUUGUUGGAGGUGGAUUGGAUCGAUGAGGUUUCUCAUUCCUAUCGUGAAGCAAACAAAUGUGUGGAUGUGAUGGCCAACAAAUGAUGUUCUCUUGAUUAUGAUGUGGUGUUCUAUGAUUUUUGUCCACCACAACUUGCUGAGAGUUAUGCAGCUGAUCUAGUGGGGAGUAUCACCCCUAGAUUGAUUUCUUUGUAGUUCUUUUUUUUUCUUCUUUUAUUUCUUUGGACUUUAGCUCUCUAUUUUACCAAAAAAAUAAAAUAAAAAAGAUUCUUAAUAAUUACCGAGUUACACUUUCAGUUUCAAAAUUAAUUAAUGAAUUACUUAUGAAAAUUGAAAAAUGCUAACUAAUUAAUGAAACUAAAUGAAAUAAAAUUAUUUUAAAAUUUGUGUAGCCAAUACAAAUUUUACCUUUUCAUUUCUUUAACUAGUGUCUCGAAGUAAGUGGUUAGUACAUUACUUAUUAAUAACAGUUGAAACAAAAAGAUAAUUAAAAAAAAAGAAUUUUUAAUUAAUGAUAAAAAAAUAAACUUUACAUUAAAAACGACAUUUUUUAAUUGGAUGGAAGUUGUCUCAAUUCUCCCAUUCGAUAUGGAUUUGACGCUAUUAUUAGAAAACAUUUUCGGUCACUAUCUUGCAGGUUUUUCAGGUUUCGUUCAAGGGUCACCCGACAAUUUGCUCGUUGAACUAAUGAACUGUACGCUAUCUACAAGGGCUUCUUGUUGGCCAAUGACAUGAGUAUUGAUAAACUUGUGUACUACUCUAAUUCUUUACACUGUUUUUAUGUUUGAGCAUUGUAUGAUUGGUUUUUUCUUUGUUUCUGUGACUCUUUAUAAACUUUGGUAGUCUACCUUGGCACACCUUGUGCUGAAGAGAUUAUUUGUUAAUAUAUUUCCAUUUUAGUUUUUUUAAAAAAAAAAAAAAUUCUUUACGCUGUUUCAACCUUAUCAAAGGUCCCCAUGUCGAGUAUCAUAUUAAUGCUUGUUGAUUCAAGAUAUAAAAGAAACACUUUCUUAACAACAUGACAAAAUAAUGAUUAUUUAUUGAACGAGCUUGUAAAACUAUUUUCCUCUGCAGAUGUAUAUCAAUUAAACUUAUUUAUUUAUUAGGUAAUCUCAUAUUUAACUCGUUAAACACCUAAAGAUGAAAGAACGAAUAUAGCUCUAAAAACGACGUCGACUCGUACACUUUCAAUUUCCGAAUCAAAAAUCAACAUAGCAUAGCAUAGAUCGAAUCCAACUUCAUUCAUGCUUUCGCGAAACCACCAACAUCAAUAAUCUCAUUAUUCGAAUCUUCAAAAACCAACAAAAAUGGAUGACAAAACGCACUCUAACAACAAGAAAAACGACGACGAAGAACAAGUUACUCAACAAACACAAGACGCUAAAUCACCGGUCGCCGGAGCCAGUGGUGGUGGUAAUUGGGGUGGUUGGGGAGGAUUUUCCGCGCUUUCUAUUCUCUCUGAUCUUCAAAAAGCUGCUGCUGUUGCUGCUGAAGAGAUCUCUCGCAAUGUACGUUUUCAAAUCAAUACGAUGUCGUUUUUAUGGUGGUUGGUUCAAUGCUUUUAUUUUGAUCUGUUAACUAGUUUUUUUAUUUUGUGAUUAUAGUUUGAGAUUUAGUGUUAAUUAAUUAUGUACUGCAAAUGUGGUUGUGUUUAAUUAGUUUAUUUUUUAAAAAAUGGAAUUAGGGUUGUUUAUUUGCUUUCUGUAAUUAGAAAUGUAGUUUUUUUGUUUUAUUUUUGUGGAUAAUGUUUGCUACUGAUUUAGCUGAUAGUGGAGUAUGUUAGUGUUAUAUAAGUUUCAUAGAUUGUAGAUUUUAUUUUUUUAAUUAAACUUUUAUGGCAAAUGCUAACUAGUGCCCCUGAAGCACCAGCACCAGUUAAGAGUACAAAUUUAGAAUCUUUUUCAUUGUAAUUUUGAUUUUUUCAAUGCAUUUCUUUUAUUUUAUUUCUCUUUUUAGUUCUUUAACUAGUUCUCCAGGCACUAGUUAGCAAGACCCUAUUUUUAUUUAUGAUAAAGGAGAAUUAUGUAGCCAAUAAUGAAUUGGUCUAAGUGAUAAGGUCUUGCGCCCCUUAAGCAAGUGGUCGGGGGUUCGAUUUUUGGCUCUGGUGUAUGGAGAAAAUUCGGUUGGGAGGGAGAAUCCACCUUGUGUGUCUCACAGGUUCCCCGACGGAGAUUAGGAGUCAAAAUUAGCAUGUGGGAAUGAGUAGUGCUAUUCAGAGCUUAAAUUUUUUUACGAAUGUCAUCUGGGCUGUGACAUCAAGGUUUUUGAUGCCUGCAUGACUGCGGUCACAUUUUAAAACCUCGAUGCUAUAUUUUCCUAAUAACUCCUUGUUUAGUUACUUAAAAUGGAUAAAAUUAAAUGAAAAAUUAGAGGUAUUAUUUCUUGGAAGUUGUUUAAUUUUGGGAGGAUUUAGCUUAUUGGGGACAAUUGAUAGGAGGAUAUAGAAUUUUGGCUAUGAAUUAAUGGUGUUUCGUAAUGCAGGCUGCUUCAGUUGCAGAGACAGCAUCAAAGAGCAUUGCAGAGUUGCAAAUCACUGGUGAAGAAGAGUCUGAAGCUUCCAAAGAGGAUGUAGGGGAUGAAGGAUCUGCAAAGGAAAGUGAUGAUGAGAGUGACACUGCUCCAUUGCGAAAAUCUGCUCUGGAUAGGUUGGAGAAAGCUAGUGAAGAUUCACUGCUUAGCCAGGCAUGUAUUGAUGGAUAUUUCUUUUUUAUUUUUGGGGGGCUGGGGGUAAUUUGAGAUUUAGAUUUAUUGAUCUUUAUUGCACUUCAAAAUUAGAUCAACUGAGCAUCAUUGUGUAUAACUGUAUAUUAUAUGUAGGUCUAUGUUUCUAGUUUUUACUAUGAAAUAACAAAAUAUGCAAAUUUUCCUGUUCACGAUUCAUUAUAUUUUAUCUUUUUUUGUUGAUAACUUGAUAUCUUUUCUAAUGGGUGGUAAUGAGAAUAGGUCUUAACUGAGCUCCUAGCCUAUGCUUUUAUGGUCUUUAUGAUUGUCUUGAAUAUUCUUUUUUAAGUAAGGCAGUUGACGGUUUACUGUCUUGCAUAAUUGUAUUAUGCUAUUGUUUGGUCCAUGUAGACGACCCCACAUAGUGGGGAAAAGACAUGUUUCUUGUUGUUAUCUAGUCUGUAAUAUAUCCAUCACUUAUACUUGAGCUCUGUAAUGUGUGUAGGGUUUGAAGGUUUUCGAUAAUUCUGUGGAAACUUUUGCUUCUGGAGCAUGGAGAACUUUAGGAAAUGCAUGGCGAGGGGGCAGUGAGUUAGUUCAAAAGUAUGAUUCAUUGUUUUUAUUUUUAAUUAAUUUAUUAUUAUUUUAUAUCAACCUACAUGGGGAUUGCACUGUUAGUCUAGUUGCUGAUCACUAGUAUGCUGAUAUAUUUAGAUAUUGUGAUGAAAAUACACACCGACAUAUUUUGUAACUAGUUUAUUGUGCAAUUUUUUAGAGGGAAAUCAAGUAUGGACCAACAUGUGCUUCACCUUUAUUAAAAUCAACCUGUAAACCACGAGUAUUUUCAAUAGUGUUAUGAAGUGGAUGAUUAAUUGGGCCUCUUAACAUUAGGCAAGACUCAAUCAUCUAUAACACUAGGCUUAUGAUCUUAUUGAUGCUUCAUUCCAUAAAAUUCAUAAAAGAAGUGAUUUUAUUAAAGAGAAAUAGAUGAAUGCAAAAACAGAGGAUAAGACUACUGGAAUGUAUUGUCUCUUGACUGUGUUUGAUUGUUUUCUUUCUGUCUUAUUUAUAUUUAGUGUAUCAACCUGACUUCUGUGGACCGAGAAGAGUUUUUUUAUCUUUUAUUUUAUGUACAAGUCACUGUACUUGGUUUAAGAUUAGUAUACUUCACUAAUGUAAGGACAUGGGUGUUUCCUAUCACACAUCAAUUUUUUUUGGCUUACAGUUAUUAACCUGAAUAAUUUCUUUGUUUUCUUUAGGCUCGAGAAUUCAGCUUCAAACCUUGCAGGAUCUGUACCGCAUGAUGGACCAGGAGCUCCAGGUUCUAAUGCACCUUCCCUAUUAGAGGUUCGGAAAACUCCUGUCAUACUCUAGGAUUUCUUUUAUCAAUAGUUACACAUUUGCUUACUUAUGUCUAUUUAUUAUGUUACAGACUGGAAAAGCUUUUACUGCAAAGGGAAUGCAAGUGCUUGAAUACGUGGGUAAGGAGACAAUGGACUUACUAAUCAGUGAAACCGGAAUUGAGGUUGAAAAGGCUAGAAAUGACGGGGAUCAAUUAUCAGAAGAAGUGACAUUUGAUCGAUGUUUUUACAUUUAUGGAGGUCCAGAGCAGCUGGAGGUAUCUUUCUAUUAUUGCAUGUUUCUAGAAAAUGUCUUGUAAUAUCAUUAUUAUAUCUUGCAGAAUUUGUUAGGGUAUGUUUGGUUGUGAGAAGUAAUUGAGAAGAGAGAAAGGAUUGAGAAAUAGAGUAGAUUUGUCGUAUUGUUUUGGUAUAUGAGAAAGAGAAGAGAGAGAAGCGCAUCUCUCUCUCUCUCUCUGUCUCUCUCUCUCUCUCUCUCUCUCUCUCUCUCUUUUAGUUCCUUUUUUAGCUUCGUAACUUGUGUCUUAAAGGCACAAGUUAGCAUGUUCUGCAAAGAAUUAUAUGGAUAACGGAUGAAUUGUCCUCAAACAGAAGGAGCUACCCCUGAUACAAUGGAAAACCAGGGUAGAUACAAACAAAAAAUAAGAAUGAAAUGGGGGCCAUGCUCCUUACAAGGUUGAUAAUGGAAAUUAAGAAAUAAAAGAUAAANNNNNNNNNNNNNNNNNNNNNNNNNNNNNNNNNNNNNNNNNNNNNNNNNNNNNNNNNNNNNNNNNNNNNNNNNNNNNNNNNNNNNNNNNNNNNNNNNNNNNNNNNNNNNNNNNNNNNNNNNNNNNNNNNNNNNNNNNNNNNNNNNNNNNNNNNNNNNNNNNNNNNNNNNNNNNUGUCCUCAAACAGAAGGAGCUACCCCUGAUACAAUGGAAAACCAGGGUAUAUACAAACAAAAAAUAAGAAUGAAAUGGGGGCCAAGCUCCUUACAAGGUUGAUAAUGGAAAUUAAGAAAUAAAAGAUAAACCUGCUGGUAGAAGACCUACUCUUCUGCACAUACCCAUCUCCAAAACCAACUCCUAAUUCUUUAAACCAAACAAGAGAAGUUUGGUCUCUCUCUUCAACUUCUCUCUCUCUCUCUCUCUCUCUCUCACACACACACACACACACACACACACACACACACUCUCACUCAUUGGAGUAUCAUNNNNNNNNNNNNNNUAGAUGAUCUCUUGGAAGGGGGGUUUCAUAUACCAUGUUUUGUUUUUAUAUUUUAAUUAGAGUUAGGGUUAUCGUGUUGGUUAUCUGUAUUGUAUUUUAUAGCACAUCAUUACAGACCAUGUUGUUGUUGUUGUUCAGAGUUUGCUUUCUCAUUUUCUUCGCCACCAAAAUCCCUGUAGUUUCAAUUGCACAUUAUUUUGAAUUUUUGGUGUUAACAAAAUGUUUCCUAUGCGAUGCUCAGGAACUGGAAGCUUUGUCUAGUCAUUACGCCUUGUUGUUUAAUAGAAGAAAAGCAAAAUUAUCUGCAGAGCAAAAAUCUGUAUUUGACGGGAAGCUUAAAGAGGUCCAACAAAUUUUUGAUUUGAGUAAUGAAAUUGAUGCUGGUACUGAUUCUAACAAAGGAAAAACAGUAGAGAGAGGAAAUGAGGGAAGCAGUGAUGAGAUGAAGAACUUACAUGAUUCAAGUGUUGGCAAGGCUGCUGAAAUGGCUGCUGGGUAAUUUAUCCCAUCCUUGUAAUUAUCAAUAUUUUAUUCACAGACUAUUGUUGCCACAGUCUUGAUAGAGUUAAAAAUGGUUCAUCGUCUUCUUUGCUAGUUAUCACCGUUCUCUCUCCAACGGUGUAGAACUAUCUGUUUAAAAUUUUUACAUAAUGUAGAAAAUUUGAAUGUUGGGUCGGAUGCAGGAAUAACAUGGACAAAAUGUGCGUAUACUCUUAGGAUUAGUAAAAGAAAGCUAAGUAACAUCUAUGGCUUAGGAAUGUGUUUGUUUUGAUCACUUAACUAAAAUGUUAUUUUCCUUUCCUACUUUAUGGUCCUGUUCCUGUCUGCAGCUAGAGUCAUUAUAUAAGUGUGAUCAUCAUUUACCCUUAUAGGUUGAGGAAUCCCUAUUCCCAAAUAUGUGACGCAGCUUAUUUUCAUUUUUCAGUUUCACAAAUGCUUUGGCUGGCCUAGCUGCUAAUGAUAUAAUUCAGAGAACUACUGGAAGAUUAGACUCUCUUCAUUCUGAGGGAGUUCAUGUACGAGAAAAUAUUCGGACUAUAUUUAUUAUUUUCAUUAAUUAUAAUUUAUCCUCUUUCUUUACAUUAACAUGAAAGGUUUGUUGUAAAAUUGAGUAAAAUGGCAUGCUUUUCUUUGCAGAGGCUAUCUGAAAUGUGCUGUUUUGCGGUGUCGCAACUUCUGACGUUUGGAAAAUCCAUCAUUUCUCUUGCCAACAAAACCGAGGAGGAAGAAGUUGAUGGUAAUAAAGUUAACAUAGAGUGGCCUGAAGAUGUUUCUGCAAAAGCUAAGAUUAUAAGAAUAAAUGUUCAGACAAUGAUUGGAUAUUUGGAAGCAGUUUCCAACAGUUUCGUUACAGGUUGGCUGUCUAUUAUUUCCAUCCGUGAUCAUAAUGAUAAUCAUGUUUUAAAAGUAUUUCCACCACGGGUUAACCGUAGAACAAUCGAUUUUGUUUUUACUCAAACCAUGGAAGAAUCAGUUACAACUUACAACUUAGCUUCUUUUGGCACUGAAAAUCAUAGGUCUUUUGAACACAGUCUGUAUACCAUGAAGCAGCAAUUUUGUUGUUUGACCAUUUUUAAUGCAUUUAUCAGGCAUAUCUGAUGUAACUGAGGCCUAUCAAGCUUCCAUUAAAGGUGUUACUGCUGAGUCUCCCACAGCUGUUCCCAAGACAUCAGUCCAAGAAAAAGCCAGUGCUUUCUCUGAACACCUUCGAGCUGAUCAAAUUACAGCGAUAAGUAAAAUCCAGGACGGGGUGCAAUUUUUAGCUCACCUUGUCCUUUCAACCUCUAUGAAUGCGGCUUGAACACUAAUUUUUCUUUUAUGUAAAUAGUUCAGGAUUUAUUAAUUCCAAAGUGAUACCACUCAACUAUGCUGGAGCUCAUACUGAUGAUUGAGCGGUACACACUCUUAGUUGUGUCUGUACUGGGGCAGAUUUGUCCAGUUAAAUUGAUUAUUUUUUCCCCUUAAUUUUCUUAAACCAUAAACUCAUAGAUAUAUGCAAUUCUUACUGUAUGUUAACUAUAUAUGCAAUUCUUACUGUAUGUUAACUAUAUAUUUUCUCAAACCAGUCAUAUAUUGGAUGUGUGUGCAAUUCUUGCUAUGUUAGUUUUUUCAUUUUUUUGACCGAGUCUCCUAUUAUUUAUUUAUUUUUUUAAUAAUAAGGGUUCGUUUGGAUCGAUUUAUUUUUGAGCUUAUGCAAAAAAUCUUAUGCAAAUAAAUAAGCUUUUGUGUAUUAUUAUAAGAUUUUCAAAGUAGUUUAUGAUAAAAACUUAUGAAUUAACACAAAAUUAUUUAUUUGUAUAAGCUAUUUUCAUAAGCUCGAAAAUAAGCCGAAUCUAAACAGGACCUAAGUAUUCCUAUGCUAGUUAUAUGUAUAAAUAAAAUGAAUAUUUACAUAUUAUUUAACGUAUGAUAAAAAAUGGAAAAUUUGAACAAAAAACAUAUUCAUAUUCUAUUUUGAUAUUUUAAUUUAUAGUAAUAUUUUUUUUUAAAUGACUAUUGGCUCGAUAUUUAUUUAUCAUAAUUUUUCUAAAUCUGAACAGUUUUUCACUUUAAUUUAGGUGAUUAAUAUUUUAAAAAUCAUUUCAUAAAAGCAAAUAUAGUAAUCCAAAAAUUGUCUCCUAUUCAUAUUUACACCCUAUUUUUAUCCAUAUUCAUCCUUAAAUUACAAAAACGUCCACAUUCGUUGUACUUACUCUGAUCAUGUGUUAUAAACACGUGACAAGAAACAACAAAGAGCUCAGAAAAAUCUGUGUUGUUCACGUAUCUACAACUCAUUUCAUCUAUUGAAAGUGUUUUAUCAGAAAAACAGAAACCAAAAUAAUCAAACAUGGGAGACAUAGAUCCAUCUUUCAUACAAUCAACAGAACACCGUCCCAACUUAUCUACCUUCAUACAAGUUGAUGAAAUUCCAAUCAUUGAUCUCUCAGAAAGCAAGCAAGAAAAUCUCAUCUCAAAGAUUGGCAAAGCAUGUGAAGAGUGGGGAUUUUUUCAAGUAANNNNNNNNNNNNNNNNNNNNNNNNNNNNNNNNNNNNNNNNNNNNNNNNNNNNNNNNNNNNNNNNNNNNNNNNNNNNNNNNNNNNNNNNNNNNNNNNNNUAGAGGAAAAGAAGAAAGUGAAAAGAGAUGAAGCUAAUGCUAUGGGGUAUCAUGAUGCUGAACAUACUAAGAAUAUAAGGGAUUGGAAAGAGGUUUUUGAUUAUCUUGUUGAGAAUACUACACAAGUUCCUUCUUCUCAUGAGCCACAUGAUUUGGAGCUAAGAACUCUCUCUAAUCAAUGGCCACAAUACCCUCAUCAUUUUAGGUAAUCUUAAUCUUAUCAAAUGAUUACAAGAAUAUUAAAUAGAUAUAAUUAGGCUUGUUUUGAUUUCAUCUGCUUAUUUAAUUACUUGUGACUUGUGAGACACUGUUUGAGAGAGAACUUAUUAAAAUUGUAGUUUAAAUGGAAUGGUAUUUUUUUGGUUGGCUCUCACCACCAGUUUAAUCUGGUUCGGGGUCAGUUUAAAUGGAAUGGUUUUGUUUUGUUAUUGCAAAUAAGUGAAUUGUUGACGGUAGAGAAUCUUAAUUCAAUAACUUUUUUAAAUAAGUUCCUUGAAAAUUAAGUAUAUGUCAUGCUUUAGUGAUUAAGAAAUAGAGCUUCGAAAGAAAUGAAAGGAUUUUGGUAUAAAUCUUCUGUCAUUGUGUUCAAUAGUUGGAAUUUGAAUUGUUAAAAAUAAGUUGUUAGUAAUAAAGUGAGAACAUUAAGGAUCGAUAUUUUAACCAUUCAUGAUUUGUUAUGCAUGUGCAUAUAAUAUAAAGAGUUGAUAUGUUUAUCAAUAAUUGAUAUCAAUCACUUACUCGCCUAAGUGAGUUGAUCAGUUUUGAGGAUCCUUAUCGAAAUAGUUGAAUGAGUUUCGUUUUGAUAGUCAAUUGAUUUCAUAUUAAUAUCAUUUAGAAGUGAAACCCUCGUUACGAUUCGGUGCAUACUUAGAUUGACAUUGAAUUUGAAGGAAUCACAAUGCCACUAUGAUUUUAGUAAAAGUUACAUGUGUGAGCUUUAACAAAAUCUCAGUGCCACUGUGAUUUCACCAAAUGUUUCCUCUAAUCCAAACACGUACUUAGUCUUACGGUGAAAGUGUUUUAUAGUUAUCACAUGAUCAUGCAUAUGGAUAACUUCAACAAUGAUCACAUGAAAUCAAACUCCAUUAUAAGUACAGAACUAAAUGCAACAGAAAAACUAAAUUGAAGAUUAUAUUUUUUUAUUUUUUACUUAGGGAAACAAUGCAGGAGUAUGCUAGGGAAGUGGAAAAGCUAGCAUACAAGUUAUUGGAGUUGUUUUCAUUAAGCUUAGGCCUAACUGGUGACAAAUACCAUGACUGCUUCAAGAACCAACUAAGCAUGGUGAGGCUCAAUCACUAUCCUCCAUGUCCUUCCCCUGAUUUGGCACUUGGCGUUGGUCGUCACAAGGAUUCUAGUGCAUUAACUGUGCUUGCACAAGAUGAUAUUGGCGGCUUACAAGUUAAGAGAAAAUCAGUUGGUGAUUGGAUUCCUGUUAAACCUACUCCUGGUGCAUUUAUCAUCAAUGUGGGUGACAUUGUUCAGGUAUGUUUUUCCAACAAUACCUGAGUUCGAAUUAUAUAUUAGUCGAAUUUUGUUGGUGACAUUGUUCAAGGACAGAUCAAUUUGGAAGAAUCCGAGUUCGAAUCUUGACUAAAACAAUCUUGGGUCAGACUUCACUUACCUUCCGGUAGAACUUCAAAUUACCAAAGUUACUUUUCUCUAGAAAUUGGAGGCUUAAGACAAAGAAAAACUUUAAAUUGAGUCAUUACUACUUCCUUGUUGUUAUAUGUUAUGUAGCACCGAUAUUUCAUAUCGAAUUUGUGUUUGGUGUCCGACUAGCGUUGGUGUCUGACACCACACAUGUAUUUAUUUAUAUUCAACUAUUCUAUUUUUUCAAAAUAUUAUCAGUCUCAACCUGUCGAUGUCUGGUAUGUAUGUAUCUUUGCUUUGGAGGUUAUAUGAUGUUUUGUUCAUUUCAUUCAAUUGGUUCCAUCUGAAUGUUGUUUUGUUUUUUCAGGUUUGGAGCAAUGACAAGUAUGAGAGUGUAGAACACAGGGUGGUAGUAAACACAGAGAAAGAAAGAUUUUCAAUUCCAUUCUUCUUUUUCCCAGGUCACCAUGUUAUGGUGAAGCCAGCAGAUGAGCUAGUGAAUGAGCAAAAUCCUGCAAAAUAUAAACCAUACAAUGUUGGUAAAUUCUAUGCUAAUAGAAACCGUAGUGAUUUCAACAAACGUGAGGUUGAGAAUAUCCAAAUUCAUCACUUCAAGAUCUUGGAUUAGCUAUAUAAAAUAUUAGCUCUUUUUUUUUUAAGUCUUAGGCAUCCCCUUUCUAUGGAAAGGAACUCCGGUAAUUCGAGUUCGACCAAGUAAUAAAUAAAGUUUGACAAAUGAUUGUUUUCAUAUCCCUAUUAUCCGGUGAUAGAAUAGAAAUAUAAAUUAGACGAUACUAACUUGAUCUAUAUUUGAGUUGCAUAUAUGCAAAAACUGAGUAUGGAUGUAUGUUUCAUCGUCGCCUCCGAUAGUUGGUUAGAAGGCGAUCAUGCAUUGCCAACCACCUAAAGGUUUGAAUUUUGUGCAGUCCUUUCCAAUUUCAUAUCAUGGUCCAAUCUCCCUCUAUCCGGUGUACAUUCUGCCGUUGCAAGUCAUAAGCACUAUGAGUAUGACGAAUAAAAUGACAAAAAUGCUAUGCUAGAGUUUAGCCCUUGGGUUCGGUGUCUCUAGGUGUAGGAAGGGCAUCCAACCAGUACACGAUGUUGGGCGAAAAAUUAUCAUUCAGGAAAUUAAGAUCCCAGUUACCUUCAUCCGUUAAAACAUCUUUCAUACAAUCCAAAAAACCAGACAUGGGAGACAUUGAUCCAUCUUUCAUACAAUCCACAGAACACCGUCCCAAAUUAUCUACCUUUGUAGAAUUUGAUCAUGAAAUUCCAAUCAUUGACCUCUCAGAAAAAAGUCAACAAAACCUCAUCUCAAAGAUUGGCAAAGCAUGUGAAGAAUGGGGAUUCUUUCAAGUAACCAAUCAUGGAGUUCCUUCUGAGGUUAGCACAAAGGUUGAGAUUGAAGCCAAGAAGUUUUUUGAGUAAAUUAAAGCUUAGAGGAAAAGAAGAAAGUGAAAAGAGAUGAAGUUAAUUCUAUGGGAUAUCAUGAUGCUGAGCAUACUAAGAAUAUAAGGGAUUGGAAAGAGGUUUUUGAUUAUCUUGUUGAGAAUACUACACAAGUUCCUUUUUCUCAUAAGCCACAUGACUUGGAACUAAGGACUCUCACUAAUCAAUGGCCACAACACAAUACCCUCAUCAUUUUAGGUAAUCUUAAUAUUAGCAAAUGAUUGCAAGUAUAUUAAAUUAAAUAGAUAAAAUUCCUCCAUUUGGAUUAUAUUUGAAUUACCUUCAUUUCUAAAUGUGUGUUUGGGUAAACUAAUAGGAAAUUUAGUUGUAAACAUUUUUGGGUCACUUUAAUAAAUUUUAAAAGUUUUGGGUCAAAUUUAAAAUUUGAAAAUAGGGAACAAUUUGCAAUUUUAAAAAUGUAAAGGACCAACUUGAAAUUUUUAGUGGGCAAUUUGAAAUUUUAAAAAAAUUUAGGGAUCAAAUUGCGCUUUUGAAAACAUUUACAGGGGUCAAAUUGAAAAUUUUGAAACAUAUGGGGGAAUGAAUUUCAAAUUCUUACAUUUUAGGUGUAAUUUAAAAUUCCUUAAAUUUAGCUUCGAGAAAUACUUCAUGAAUUCUCAUCAUUUUGAAAAUUCUCUAAAUUUAUAAUCCAAACAAAAAAAAAACUUAUAAAAAUUUAAUCUUUGAAAAGUUAUUUUAUCUCAAAAUCCCUUAUCCAAACACACUCAGUUCUUUCACAUCUUGAAAUUGAGUAUUGGGCUAUAAGCGGAACCUCACUGGGUUAGAUCAACAUAUUUAAUUGAGAGCAACCACACACGUGACUUUUGACACCACACUUGCACCCAAAACUUUAAGACAUUGGGUUUUUAUGGGUUUUCUUUGCUCAACUUCAACUUUGUCAACCAAUGUGAGAUUUUAACUCACACAUGAUAGAUCUCAACAUAUCUCCUUAAGUGUGAUUUUCUCCGCGCAUAUACUGUUCAAUACCAUUCACUUUUUGUUCCCACAUCUAGUCGAACCAGACUCUAAUGUCACUGUUGGGCAGUAAGGGGGAGUCUCCCUGGGUUAGAUCAACACAUUAGGCUAAGAGUAACCACACAAGAGUUUUUUAAUACGACACUUGCACCCAAAACCUUAACGCAUUAUCUUUGUGGGUUCUCACCUAUACGUUACUCAAUUUCAACCAUUUUUAACCAAUGUGGACUUUAACCCACACUUGGUAGAUCUCAACAUUGAGAUUCCAUUGUUCAUUAAUUUUUUUGAGUGAAGAGGGAGAAAGUAGAGGAACUAGAGAAGCAAUUUUUGAGUGGUUUUAUUAAAUCUCUUAUUCAAAGAAUUGUUCUCUCUCUCUCAAACUUAGUCCGUUCUCUUUUUUAUUGGUCAAGUAGCCUAGUUAGUGGCUAAAAAUUCUACUUUAAAGGUGAAUAAAUAGAGUGUCCUGGGUUUGAACUCUAGCUCCUACAUAUAUAAUUCGAUGUCCAUACUAACUGAGCUAAGCUUCGUAUUCCAUUCUUUAUUAAGAACACCAUAAAUGUUUAAUAUCUUGGAACUCAUUGGACCGAACUAAAUAACAAAUUUCUUGGUGUUAUUUUUCUUCUUAUAUGUUCUUGUUAUUUGCUUUGUUGAUUUGUGCUUUUACACUUAGGUUGUUAGAAUCGUUAUUGCUUGGAUUGCAUAGAACUUUUGCUCCACUUUUAUUAUUGUUUGAUUGAACAAGAGGUUUAGAAUUCACAACAAUACGGAUGUCUUCAACAUCGAUCAUAUGAAAUCAAACUCACUCAUCAUGAAUAAUGUAAAAAUUAAAUUAAACCAAAAAACCUCUCUAUAUUGAAGAUAAUAUUUUUCUUAGGGAAACAAUGGAGGAGUAUGCUAAAGAAAUGGAAAAGCAGCAUACAAGUUAUUGGAGUUGAUUUCAUUAAGUUUAGGCCUAACUGGUAAAAAAUUCCAUGACUGCUUCAAGAAUCAACUAAGCAUGGUGAGGCUCAAUCAUUAUCCUCCAUGUCCUUCCUUUCCCUCAUCUAGCACUUGGUGAUAUUGAAGGCUUACAAGUUAAGAGAAAAUCAGUUGGUCAUUGGAUUCCUGUUAAGCCUACUCCUGGUGCAUUUAUCAUCAAUGUGGGUGACAUUGUUCAGGUAUGUUUUUCCAACAAAAUACAAAUAAGUAUUUUAUUUUUUGGAUGCAAAGAUAAUAUGUUUUAGACUGUUGCCUAAUUGUAUAUGACUCAUUCACUAAUAAGUAGGCAUACACUCGUCUCGAGAGCUUAGCUCAGUUGGUAGAACAUUGCAUUAUAUAUGCAGGGGGGUCGGCGCUCGAACCCCGGUCAUCCCACUUGUCCACCUUAAGGGUCUGUUUGGUUCGAAGUAGAUGGAGGGGAGGAGAAGGAAGGUGAGGGAAUAUUAUCGUUGUAAACAUGCAUAUCUGUGUAUUUGUGCUUAAGAAGUUAAAAGUUGUUUUGUUCAAUUGGUUCAAUCACAAUGUUGGGUGUUUUUGUUUUUUAGGUUUGGAGCAAUGACAAGUAUGAGAGUGUGGAACACAUGGCGGUAGCAAACACAAAGAGAGAAAGAUUUUCAAUUCCAUUAUUCUUUUUCCCAGGUGAUCUUGAUGAACAAAGAGAAGUCUUCAUGUUGACCAAAGAGAAGUCUUCCUGGGCUGCUUCACAAUUGGAUCUUGCUCCACGGUCCGAGAGAGGAUUUCCCCAAUGAUUGGGUGUUUUAGGCCCAAUCCAGAACAAUAGGGAAGAAGGAGAAGAGUGCUUUGAGAGAAAUAAAAAUUAAUUUUUAUAGGUUUCUUUCGUUAAAAAGAAAAAAACGAAAGUAUAGUCCUCCAAUUUAAAUGAUCAUUUAUUUUUCUUCACAUUACAAAAUUCCCCUAAUAUGUAGAUAUAGAAAAAUGUAUUUUAAGAACCUCAAUAUAAGAAAUCCAGUGUUUUAAACAUAUUUAUCUCAAGUGAAAGAAAUCCACGAUAAGAAGCAAGUCUCUCACAACCUAACAUUUCAUGUUUUAUAAUAGUCUUAAAAUUAAAAAAUAUAUUAAUCAUAAUUUCUUUUUUGUUAUUUCAUAGGACUCUCUCAUAUCAUGUUAAUGAUUUAAUUCUCAAUCUUUUCCGGUUCUCCUCUCUUCCUCUCUCUUUCAAAAUCUUAAAGAGAGGUUUAGCUCAAUUAUUAGAUGCUUGAAAUUGAUGAAAUUGGAUCCUCGGCUGCAUAUUUCUCUGCUGCUCUUUCUGCUGCACAAUCUUCAACCAUUAGAUUCAUCCAACAGCUGGGAUACACUACAAGAAAACAAGGCUUUACUGGCGGCCAAAAGCCCUCAAUAAUGCACAAUUUUCGUCAAAAUUACAUGCAUUACUGACGGCCAAGGGCCCUAUGCAAAUUAUUCGCCGGUAUUGAUUACUGACGGCCCAUGACCGUCAAUAACAUUACUGACGGCCUAUAGCCCUCAAUAAUGACUGUCAACUUUUAAAAACGUUAUUGACGGCCUGCAGCCCUCAAUAAUGCAUAAUUCAUUUUUAAAAAAUAAUGUAAUUAUUUAAUUAUUUAAAAAUCAGAUUUUUUUUAAUAAUCAGAUUUUUAAAUAAUUAAAUAAUUACAUUAUUGUUUAUAAAUCAGAAAUUGUUUUUAGAUCAUUAACAUAGAUCUAAAAGAAUUUUGUAACGAAGUUGCAUCAUCUCCCCCAUUAUAAAAAAAAACAUAGAUCUAGAAGAAGAAAAUAGAUGAGGCAUACAAUAAAAUUUCUUAACAGCAUUACACAAUAGCCAUUAGAGUCUUAGAACCAUAAACUUUAUAAUCCUAAAAUUGUAGAAACUGAAUCACUGAUAUACACAUUCAAAGAGAAUACCUUAUUAUUCAAUUCAAAGCAAACUGUUGGCUAUAUAGCCUUACAAAUUGAAAACAGAAACAAAGCACUAACAAACCCACGUUUUACAUACUUAGAAUGAAUCACCGAGAGAAAAAUCUAAUUCCUUAUGACAUAUUAUUUAACAAACUGAUAAACAUAAAACAAUUAAAUAUUAAAGAAUAAAUGGCAGUAAAUCUAACAAAAAUCCAUCACAGUUGAUAAAGAAAAAUCCAUCACAGUCAACACAAAAAGAAGCAAUAUCAUAUAAUUUACUUGUUGAAACUGAGAAAUAGAAGCAGAGUUCCAAAGUUUGAGCUUAGAAAUUGUGAAAUAGAAACUGAGAAAUUGAAUCUGUGCCUUGCAAAAUAGAGACUGAGUCUGAACUUCGUGAAUGAGCUUCGUGGAAGGGAGUUUGAACUUCGUGAAUCAGCUGCGUUUUAGAUCCAAAUCAAGAAAGUGAAAAGGAAGAAACUUUGAAACUUAGAAACGAAGAAUUGACAAGUCCAAGAGAGAUUGAACAAGACCCGGUUGAGAAAAAUGAAUAAUUGGGUUUUGAUUUGAGAGAUAGAAGAAUUUUGAAGGAAUAAUAUACAGAUUCGAAAUUUGGAAGCAAACAGAAGAGAAUCCAAACACCAACUGGGGCGAGAAUUGAUGAUGGAGAUGGAGUGGUGGUGGUACGGUGCAGAGAAGAGAGAAGCUUCUGUUAUUGUUGUUGAUUUUUGUUUUUGGCUUGGUAAUGAGAGAGAAAUGAAAGAAUGGAAGAGUAACUAGGUAGGGGAUGGAAUUAAAGGAACCGAUCACGUGUUGAGAGUGUUUUUUUCAUCUUUCUUUAACUUAUUGGCGGCCCAAAGCCGUCAAUAAGCGUUCCGUUAGUCUGCUAGACAGCUUUCCAGCUUUUGCAUUUUUCAGUGUGUAUUAUUGACGGUUCCCAGCCUUCAAUAAUGUUUAUUUUAUUUGUUUUAUUUUUGUAAGACUGAUUUUGUGCAUUACUGAGGGCCUUUAGCCUUCAAUAAGUUCUAAAUACAUUAUUGAGGGCUUCUAGCCCUCAUAAAAUUUGGUCAAUAAUUUGAGGUUUUCUUGUAGUGUAUGAAGCCCGGCCCGUGUAAAUGGAUAGGGCUAAUGGGCCGGCCUGAUAGCCCGGCCCUUUUUGACAUCUCUAUUGACGAGCCAAGUCUCUAACUUAGAGAGUUUAAAAUUUGACUUUUUGGAUCUUUUGAACUAUGUUUGGGUCAAUGAAAUAUGAUUGAAUGGAAUAAUGUUCCAUCGUUUGGAUUUCAAAAUUAAUAAUGGAAUGAAAUAUGAUGAAAUAAAUUCCAUUUCAUACCCCCACUUUUUUCCAUUUUGUUCCCCUCCAAUAUGGGAGGUAAAGGAUGGAAUGCAAAAUUUGUUCCUCUCCAUCAUAAAAUAUCCUAACAAUGAAAUGAAAGAUUUAUUUUAUUCCAUUAUGCUCCAUUCAAUUUUACUCUAUUCUGCUCCGCUCCAUCCCGUUAUAUUCGAUCAAUUCAAAUAAAACCUUGGGCUAGUGGUCCAAAAAUAAAAUUCAGGGGUUCAAAAUACAAAUAUAUAAGGAUAUAUNNNNNNNNNNNNNNNNNNNNNNNNNNNNNNNNNNNNNNNNUUUUUAUGUUUAGGAAGUUCAGCUGAAUCCCCUCAAACCUCAUUUUGGUCCUUUAUCUUUUAUUUAUAACAUUUUGGUCCUUUAUCUUUUAUUUAUAACAUUUUGGUCCUUUAUUUUUUUUAUUUGUAACACUUUAGUCCUUUUUUUUUGUAACACUUUGGUCUUUAUCUUAUUUAUUUAUAAAAAAUAAAGGAUCUAAAUGUUACAAAUAAAAAAUAAUAAAGGACCAUAGUGUUACAAAAAAAAGAUAAAGGACCAAAGUGUUACAUAAAAAAGAUAAAGGACCAAAGUGUUACAAAAAAAUAAAAUAAAUGACUUGCGGUGUAAUUUUGCCUUUAUUAAAAUAUUUCUUGCGCUACUUAGGUAGCAGAAUUUUUAUAACAUACGCUAUUUAAAUAGAAUAAAAAGUAAAAUAAAAAAUGCACAUGACGACGCACGAGUAACUAAUAGAUAAAUCUCAAAUAAGAAAAUGAGGUUAGGAAAAGGACGAAAAAUAAAACAAAACAAAAAAACAAAAAGAGGCACAUAGAGAGCAUACGUAUAUAAGAGCAGAGCGUUGGAAGAAAAGGCAGAGAAAGAAACGCAUUGGACGUAAUGGAAUCCUCCGGUGCGCAUUUCUACCGUUGGCAUCCUUCAUCCUCUUCUCCUUCUUCUUCUCCAACCGAAAUACCUUCCAGUAACAUCUUCAUAAUCGGUAUAUGCAUAACCAUUCUUCUUUUUCCUCUUUUAUUUGCAACUAAUUAAUUCCUCUUUUCCAUCUUUUUGCUUCAUUGCAAAAUUCAAUCUCUUUCGCUUCUUCCUACAUACAUUAUACGCACACGCCGCGGUUGCUUGUUUUUGCUUGAUCUGUUUAACGGAUUUGAUCGUGGAAUUGAAAAUAGAAGAUGAAAACAUUUAUUACAAUAAUUUUCCUGCAUUUUCUCGGAGACAUGAUUUGAUUCAAUUUUAUUUGCAUUUUUCUGGUGAAUCAGGUGUCUCUGGAGGUACUGCAUCGGGGAAAACUACAGUGUGUGAUAUGAUUAUUCAACAGCUGCAAGAUCACAGAGUUGUUCUCGUCAAUCAGGUUACUUCGAUUUUCUAGUUGUAAUUUUGUAAUGUUAAUGGAUCAUAGAUCAAUCAUGAAGCUAUUAAUACAAAUUGGUUAAGAUUAACUACUAAUUUACUAGAUCAAUCAUGUCACUGCGAUUUUCUAGUUGUAAUUUUGUAAUGUUAAUGGAUCAUAGAUAGAUCAAUAAUGAAGCUAAUACAAAUCAGUUCAGAUUAAUUACUAAUUUACUAGAUCACAGAAUUGUUCUUGUGAAUCAUGUCACUGCGAUUUUCUAGUUGUAAUUUUGUAAUGUUAAUGAAUAAUUUGGGGAAUCAUGAAGCUAAUGCAAAUCAGUUCUGAACUUCUGAUUAAUUACUACCCUCUCCGAUUUUGAAUACUAUAAGCAAAAAACAACUUUUUAGGUUCAUUGAAUAAAACAUGUAUCUAGACUAUUUAUGGUCCAGAUACAUAAUCUUUUUAAUGAACCAGAGGGAGUAAUUUACUAAUAACUCUUUAGUAAUUCAUCUGUUGUUGUUGUAGGAUUCGUUCUAUCGUGGUUUAACAAAUGAUGAGUGCAAACGCGUUCAUGAGUAUAAUUUUGAUCAUCCUGGUAUGGUAACACAAAGUUUAAUUAAGAAUUUAAGAUUAUUAGGCAAAAAUUUUGGCAAUCAUGUGAUCUGGAAUAAAUCUUUUUGGUUUUUGUUUUAGAUGCAUUUGAUACAGAGCAACUUGUAGAAACACUCAUCAAGCUUAAAUCUGGACAGUCAGUUCAGGUUCCUAUUUAUGAUUUUAAGCUCCACCAGAGAGCUUCUGAUAGACACCGACAGGUAACCUUUCUGAUA